rnacentral:lncRNA from 1 species
AUUAAGGCGCUGUGGAAGUCCCAUUUGCCGAGCUCGGCGGCGUCAAAGAAUGGAGCUGGUGGCGGGUCGUGGUAGUCCUUAGCCGAGAAGGAGCCUCGCUCCGCUACCACUUCUUUCGUCAUCCUUCCUUGAUGAAGUAGUUGGAAGCGGUGAAGUAGGAGAUAGACAAACAGAGAGAGUGAGAUGGGAGUGGUGAAACAGAGGAUAUGGUUUCGGGGGUAUAUAUGGACACACAGUACACUGACCUCAUCUCAUUUUUCAUUUUUUUUUAUCCCAAUAUUUCCUCUACUCAAACCAAUUAUAAAAUUAUAGGGAGGCUCCACAAUAGGAAAGUUCGGAGAUGGUUAUGUUAUACCUAUUAUUUAUUUGUAUUGUAACGGUUAUUAACCAUAAUCAUCCUCGUUUUCAUUUGGAUGACAAAAUUAAUUCCAUCACCAUACAGAUGCGGUUAACGGUUAUAAUCACUUCCAACGGUUAUAACCACUAUCCAUUAUGAAACAUUAAAAAAUCAAAAUGCAUCCACUUUAAUUCAUCUUUAAAGUAGUGGAUGAAAUAUUUUUUAUCGAAGAAUAAUAAUUGAGCUUUAUAAAAAACGAGGAGGCGAAGAGAUAUCGUCGAAGUCAAAGAUGACAAAUGAGAUAUGUUUGAUGAAGGAAUGAGUAAAUGGAUUAGAUUUAGUUUUUUUUCAUUAAUUUCAAGUACAUUUAUGUUAUCUAUCGGGCUUAUUGAGCUUAUGUAUUGACGGGUAAAUGUUGUUUAUAUAGCAGGUCGGUGAAGGUUAUGUGUAUUAUUACGGUGAUGGUGCGGUUACCACAAAACCCAUAAUCUAUCCUUACACAUUCCUAACUGUUAACGAUUAUAACCGUAUCCUCAAAAUACCCAAUCAAUGCAGUUAAUAACCGUCAAACUCGAUAAAAUUAUAUUCAAUUAAACGAUUAAAUGAUCAACAUUGCCAAACAUGAAGCAAGUAAAAUCCACGAAAUCGAAGUUGUCAGAGUUGCACACUUCCCAUGGAAGAAAGUCGAGUGAGCAUAUAUAGAAGAGGCAUACUCCAUCACUGCUUUAGCUUUGAUAGAAAAAUAUCGGCUUUGUGUAAUGAGUAAAUAUAUUGGUUUUGUUCAUCUUUGAAUUUUCUCGUACAAAUUUUUCUCUUUCAAUAUGUUUUUAUAAGUGGUGGAACGAAUAUAUUUGAGUCUCUUUUAUGAUUUCUAUAUCUCAAAACUCCAUGUUUAUAAUUAGUGUUUCUUACAAGUAUCUGUCAUGUAGACAUUAAAAGCAUACAACGUUAAGUUAGUUUUCUCGCGAUGAGAUCGAUCUUAGAAUUUGGACCGAUUCUUAAACAUACAUGCUUGCUUUCUCAUCUCUCUCAUUUAAAAUUAUAUUUGAGACAACUAAAAUUAUAUUGUAUCAGAACAAACGUUUGGUUCAUAGAGUUGAAAGUUAGGUUAGGUUUGAGCAGUAUGAAAAGACCAAAGUAGUAAGUAAACGAAGCAUGCCCAGUCUCCACCACCGUCCACCGCCACCCCACUUAUUCUUGUCGAAACUCACUACUAGUAGCCAGUAGUACUGUACUGUUCCAUCUCCGUUUCAUUAUUAAUUUACCCCACCACUUGUAUUAAUUGGCAACCUCACCUUUUACCAACUUUCUUUGAAUCUACGUAAUGGACGAUCACGAGACGCACGAGCAGCUCCAAAAUUAAUGCGGUAAGCUAACAGAAAUUAUACUAGAUAACGUCGACAUACGAAACAAGAAAGCACGACAUGAAGCGAGUGAUAAUCUGAUCGAACUCCGUAGAAAUUUCAUUGCCCACUAUCGCCAACAAACAAACGGCCACAAAUUACUCGGCGACAAUCAAACUUUCCAACCCCCACUCUUUAAUUUAAUUUUGCAUAAAGAAAUGCAUUUUGUGACCGUUAAUAAUCUACUACGAUUGAACCCCACUACUACAACGUCGUAAUAAUCUUUUGGCACAUGCUGCAAAUCGAUAAGGGCUCCACGCUUGUCUCUAAGCUAAUUAAGGAUCUAGCACUAUACCACGUACAAAUAUUUUUCUGUAUAUUUUCAACGUAUUGGAAUAUUAUCCAAAUUAAAAUCCCUAUCAAACAGUAAGGAGUUGUUGUAUAAGUUAUUUUAUGUGGUUUUUUUUAUAGAGAUGAUGUGUUAUUUGAUAAUAAUGUAUGAGUUAUUUUGGUCGAAAUAUUUCAAAUAUUAUAUUUGAAAUAAUUGAUUGUUUUGAGUUAGUCAAGUGAGGUAAUUUCUACAUCAAAAGUUCAAAAUAAUUUAUAAAUACCACAUUUUCAAAUAAUGGAUCAUUUUGCUUCAAAAUACCUAUUUAAUAUUUGGUUGACGAAAGAACCAAAAUAGUCUAAAUAUUAUGGUGCAUAAGUAUUUGCAUAACUCGAAAUGAAAUGAUUUGAAAUACCAUUGUUACGGAAAUACCAUUGAUCUAUGCCAAACGAGUUAUUUUUACAUCAGAGGACAGAUGAGUUAUGAUGUGUGACUACUCCCAUGAACUUGCUAUCUCAUUUGGGAAAUUGCGUUACGCUGGAGGUGAUGACAGGGAAACGAGUAUGCAUGCUAAUUAUAGUGCCACGUACGCUAGUGGGAUAUACAUAAUGAUGUGUGGGAGGAAAAUGGGGUAAAAAUGACAAAAGUAUGGGUAGGUGAGGUGAGUCGAAGCUGAGUGGGAUUUUGGUUUUUUUUGUCCUAAUUAGCUGGAUUUUGAAUCGUGUAGUUUCAAUAAUACGACAUAUCAAAAUUGGGUUAAGAAUUGGUCUAUAGUUAAUCACGUAUCAUUUUCUAAAAUAAAUUAAAGAUGCACGCAUAAAUACGUAACAUGAAGAAGGGGAUAGUAAGCUUAUGAGGUUGAAUUUCAAGAUCGAAGUACCGCAAAAGAAGAAUGAACAAGGCCGGCGAUGCAUUGUGUGUGAGAUGCACGAGGACACUAGCUAGCAAAGAAGAGAAGUUUUAUACCAUCACCUCAGUGUUGCCAGAGUGGUUAGGUGGAGGUUCAAAGCAACUAUAUGAAAAGUAUCACCAAGUGCAAGAGCUCAUAACAACACAACUGCAUCACAAGGAAGACCUAAUAUCUAACUCAUUCGACUCUCGAGAAUAAUGAUCCGAUACAGGUAACCUAAGACACAAGCACUACAACGAAAAGAAAAAAUUGUCGUCGCAGGCGGAUCCGAAAUAUAUCGCAGGCUAGACAUGCGACGAAAGCCAAAAUGCCUACGACAAUUUUUGCUGUGAGAAAGCUAAGUUUGUAAUAGACAAAACUCGCGAGACCAAUUUGGUCGCAGUCAACCUACAACUAGCUUUGUCGGGUGGGGUCAAAGAUGGAUCCGUUUUUUCAUGCCACCCGCGUGAAACCAUCAACAGACCCCUUUGACCCGGCCCAUUACAAAUGUGUUUUUGGUGUGGUAAAUUAUUAUUAGAUCGGUACCUGAGUAAUGGGUUGGGCCUGGAAAGCCUACUCUAAACGGGUCGGUUUAAAAACCCAUAGCCCAAACAGGUAAUAAUGUCAAAAAGUCAAAACCAUUUGAUUCGACAUGCUUUGACAGCUGAAGGCUGAAGGAGUAAUAGACAUUGUGAUGCUCUGUGGUAUCUGAUUGGCUAAUGAAAAAGCAAUAAAUCAAAAUACAGCAAAUUUUACAGAUCGGGACGGGAGAAGAGAAGAGAAGAGAAGAGACGAGAGGACGACACCAUCAUUAACUGCAAAACCGAUAACCGAUAGUUUCUUAUCGCUUCCAUUUCUGAUCUCUCAACGCUCACACUCUCUCUAUUCACGCCUCCGUCUUUCCUCUUCCCGUGACCGUUCCUCCAAUUCAUACUGUAAGCUCUUUUUCUCUCUGUCGAGACCGAUCGGUUUCCCUGGUGCCUCAAUUUCUUCAAUGUUUGUCGUCUUGUUUCCAGGGGAAAAUCGGCUGCCAAAAUGGGGCUGCUAUCUGGAAUGUUCUUGGGAGUGACGUUCGGGAUCGCACUUAUGGCUGGUUGGAACCACAUGAUGAAGUACCGUAGCAACAAACGAAUUUCAAAGGCACGCGCCCCCGUCCGCUCUUGUUUCUUUCUAAUUUCGUUUUCAGAGUUUACGUUUUGCUUGUAGCUGGUGGAGUGUUUUGAAGCUUCUGUUGCAGAAACCGAUUGUUUGAUUGUGCUGGAAAUUGUGAAAGAUGGCUGGAACUUCUCUAAUUCUGUUGAUGAUGCCUUGAGCAACUAUCUUUCUUGCCAAGAUACUGAAUGCAUGUUAGCUGUUCGAGUGUCUUGUUUGAGAUUGUGGAGUUAUUUUUUUAUGCUGUUGAUCGUAUGAAGUUCGAACUGGGGAAGUGGAGGAUUUCCUAUGGAAUCAGUGUUCACCAUUACUUCUUAUUGUUCCAUGUCCUGCAGGCUGCUGAUAUUAAACUCCUUGGAACUCUGAACAGAGAUGAUUUGAAGAAAUUAUGUGGUGAUAAUUUUCCCGAGUGGAUAUCUUUCCCAGUGUUUGAACAGGUUUACUUCUCUACUCAAUCAACCUGCUAGAGUGAUUCGUGGCUUUUCUUUCCUAUGUGUUGUUGUUCUUCUAUUUCCUGGUGAUGCUUCCUCAAAAAUAAUGUUCUACAUUUCUAACUUUACUAAAAGCAUCAGAAGGGUGUCAUUUCGAAUUUUGCCACCAACAACAGCUUCUAACACGUUAUGUUUUGUUAAUUAAUGUGUUAAAAAGAUAUGCCGGAAAGCCAAAAAUUCAAACUAGCUCCCAGUGUGUAUUGUAUUCUUGGUCUGUAUAUGAACUCAAGCAUGCAAGGUCAUCGUAACCUGGUUUUGUCUCUCACCGGAUACUGUGGACAGUGUACUUUGCAGGGUGAAAAGUGUUAAGGUAGCAGUCUAUUUCCCUUGAUAAAGCUUGGUUUUAUGACAUCGCGUUCUUGCUGAUCUUGCAGGUGAAAUGGAUGAACAAGAAACUAGGCAAGCUAUGGCCCUAUGUCGCUGAUGUAAGUUCUUACUUUUCUUCUCAGAUGCUUUUGUCAUGGUUACAUGCAUUUUUAGCCUGGUAUUCUUUGGUAUUGUGCAUACAUCUGGACAGAAUAGUCAGACUAUGUCUAAUUUGAAGUCUAGGUAAUAUGAUAAAAUUCAUCUUUCACAAAGAAUUUGUGUGCCUUUUACAUUUUAUCAACUACCAUUGGAAGAAGCUGAACUUUGAUGGGUAUGUUUGUUGAAAGGCUGCGACUAUGGUGGUUAAAGAAUCUGUUGAACCACUGCUAGAAGAGUACAGACCUCCUGGUAUCACUUCAUUGAAGUUUAAUAAGUUUUCCAUGGGAACUGUGCCGCCUAAAAUUGAAGGUACAUGCUAGAUUUGUCCAUCUUUCACCUAUUCGUCAGCUUUGUUGGUGUUGUCUUCACACCUUUGUCACUUUAGAAAUUUCUUAAACUAUGUAAAGUAUUAUUGGAUUUCCUCGCUUUAAGUUCUGCAAGAAACUAUAUGAAAAUGGCUUUACAAAGACUUAUCUUCUUCUAAUAGGAGAUCUAUCUUAUUCGGAACUGUAAAAAGGCGUCAUAAGUUAGAUUUCUAUUUGCAGGCUCUAUAUUUUGAUGUAUGCAUUGUGCAUCCUUUCUAACAAUCUCCUCCAUAUCAAUUGUACAAAAAAUGAAGGUAUACGUGUUCAAAGUCUGAAGAAAGGUCAAGUUAUUAUGGAUAUAGAUUUUCGAUGGUGUGGUGAUCCAAGCAUCAUCCUAGGUGUUGAAGCUGCAAUGGUUGCCUCAAUACCAAUUCAGGUUUGUUAAUUGUACAACGACUUUAGAUAAUGCAAGACUUUACAGUUUUACUUGCUUUUGUCGUUUCCAUCAUUUAGUUUUAUAACGGAAGAAUAAUGAAUGAUUUCGUGACGCAACUUGGUGCAGCUGAAGGAUCUUGAGAUGUACUCUGUUAUUCGGGUUAUCUUCCAACUUUCUGAGGAGAUACCAUGCAUUUCUGCUGUUGUCGUUGCUUUGCUUUCUGAGGUAUGUCUAAGUUUCCUGUUGAAGUUAAAAAAAGUAGAAAGAAUAUCUAGGAAAUGUUAUCUUUUAAGAUUUAUUCGCAGCAUUUGACAGAAUUGUCAAACGCAGUGAUACUAUAUUGACAUUUCUAGCUUAGUAAGAUGAUGUUUGCCACAGGGCAUAGGCUCUUCAACCAUUAUUUUUUGUUUGGGAUGGAACUGACUCAUUCAUGUCUUAUUACCCAGCCAAAGCCUAAAAUUGAGUACGUUCUAAAAGCUGUUGGUGGAAGCAUAUCUGCCAUACCCGGUUUGUCAGAUAUGAUCGAUGUAAGUAAACAUUGGCUUACAUGCAUGUCUUCACUCCCAUUUCUGUCUUAUUCCAUCGAAUAUAUUUGGCUCAUCAUGCUGUUGCUUAUAUCCGCAACAGGAUACAGUCCAAUCAAUUGUUACCGAUAUGCUUCAGUGGCCUCACAGAAUUGUUGUUCCAAUUGGUGGCAUACCUGUUGAUACCAGGUAAUAAUUCCCUCGUAGCUGUCUUCAGCUCUUCUUUAGAUUAUCAGCUGAGUUGACUUUGAUUCCAUGUGUUGCAGUGAUUUGGAGCUUAAACCCCAAGGGAAGCUGACGGUGACAGUAGUUAAAGCAAAUGAUUUGAAGAACAUGGAAAUGAUUGGAAAGUCCGAUCCAUAUGUUACUCUACAUAUCCGACCGGUGUUCAAGGUCAAGACACAUACAGUGGAAAACAAUCUCAAUCCUGUCUUUAAUCAGACGUUUGAGUUGAUCGCUGAAGACAAAGAGACUCAAUCACUUAUUCUCGAGGUGCUAUACUCUUUACAUUCCUACUUUCACUGCUUUAUGGUGCACCCUUGGCAUACAAUGCUCCUUCACUUCAGAAUUGAAGUCCUGCCUCUCUAACUGAAAGAUCUCAUGAUACCCUUUCGGCAGGUGUUUGAUAAAGACAUCGGCCAAGACAAGCGAUUGGGAAUCGUGAAGUUACCGCUCGUUGAUCUCGAAGCAGAGUCUUGGAAAGAUAUGGAGUUGAGACUUUUGCCGGCGCUUGAUAUGAUGAAAAUUAAAGAUAAGAAGGAUAGAGGAACUCUUACGCUGAAGGUCAGACUCUUUUGAAUCCUCCCUCUGUCUUUUUGGCUAUAGAGCUGACAUCAGACAACCAACCUGCCUUUUAUUCGUAGGGGGUCCUUACAUCUUAAGGAAGUUGCCCUGGGCCCAAAACCAGCCUUUUCCCAGUACUAGAUUUAAGUAUAAAUUGAUAGCUAUUGGUAGUUCGAUCUAGUGAUGACGUUGAAUGAAAUAAUAUAAAUUUAGGUGAAUGAGUGAAUCAAUUCAAAAUUUGCAUUAGUUGAUAACCGAGAAUUUACUACAAUUUAAACCAAAUUAUACAUUGUUGAUCUCGAAGCAGGGUCUUGGAAAGAUAUGGAGUUGAGACUUUUGCCGGCGCUUGAUAUGAUGAAGAUUAAAGAUAAGAAGGAUAGAGGAACUCUUACGCUUAAGGUCAGACUCUUUUGAAUCCUCCCUCUGUCUUUUUGGCUAUAGAGCUGACAUCAGACAACCAACCUGCCUUUUAUUCGUAGGGGGUCCUUACAUCUUAAGGAAGUUGCCCUGGGCCCAAAACCAGCCUUUUCCCAGUACUAGAUUUAAGUAUAAAUUGAUAGCUAUUGGUAGUUCGAUCUAGUGAUGACGUUGAAUGAAAUAAUAUAAAUUUAGGUGAAUGAGUGAAUCAAUUCAAAAUUUGCAUUAGUUGAUAACCGAGAAUUUACUACAAUUUAAACCAAAUUAUACAUACAUGGAUCCAAAAAGUAUAAGAAAUUUAGUGUUGGAACAUAAUUUCGAAUAUUUAAAUGAUUUUUAAGUAGUGUUGUGAGAUUUUCUGGGUGAAAUUCAGGGCGUUGAUGUAACAUAUCCAUCAUUCAUAAUUAAACGAGUUUCAGAAACACCAAACAAAUCGUACAAUAACUAAUAAGGGAGGGAUGGAUCGUUAAGCUCAAUAGAAUAGAAUCUUAGAGACGAAGAAUGACCUCUAUUAGCUACCAUGUCAAUGUAAGUUUUACUUUACGGUAUUAUUUUUUCUAUACAUGAUCCCUCUUAUUUAGUUAUUUGUCCUACAUUCGUGGCAUCACAACCCACUUGGUAUUAUUUCCCCUGGCAAAGGUACUGUACCACGAAUUCAGCAAAGAGGAGCAGAUGGCUGCUUUGGAGGAGGAGAAGAGGGUCUUAGAAGAAAGGAAGAAACUGAAAGAAGCAGGAGUAAUAGGGAGCACAAUGGACGCCCUCGACGGUGCAGCUUCGUUAGUUGGCACGGGUCUAGCCGGAGGGGCUGGGCUCGUGGGGAGCGGCAUUGGAGCCGGAGCUAACCUGGUAGGAAGCGGGGUGUCGGGUGGGGUUGGCAUGGUUGGGAGUGGGCUUAGCAAAGCUGGAAAGUUCAUGGGGAGGACGAUUACUGGUCAGAGCAGCAAGAGGAGUAGCUCUAAUUCUUCUACCCCCACCGGUCAGGAAAACGGCGCAGGAAAGCAGCUCUAGAUGAAGAGAGUAUUUUGCAGGGUACGUACUCUUUCGCCUCUCUGCUCAAAUGUGUGUACGAUUGUGUUGUUUUCUGUUGGAUUUGGAUUCUUGUGUGCCAAAUGUUAGUAGAUAUGGAUGAAUGUUUUAACCAACAUUCUGUACAAAAAAAAAAAAGAAAUAAUUUGAUUGCGCUCGCUAAAAUAUUAUCCACUUUUCUCGUGGACCUUUUGCUUUGGUAUAGUUAGUUGAUUGGAUUGCUUUCUGUAGUCUUUGUUUGUUUUUACUUUAUAGAUUAAACAUAAGGAGGGUUAAUUAAACAAACUAAUUUAAGGAUGUAAGACAGAUCGAUUAAUCAAAUACACAAAGCACCAUUAAAACUAAGUAAAGGCAGGCCAGGCCAGGCCGACAAGGCGUGAGCUUAGAGUGGGGGAAUCAAGCUGGUUGGGUGGUGAAGUCACGUGAUCUCAUCACCAGUUUUAGUUUCCUUGGGGCCACAGCUUCACGUUUCCUUUUUUUCGAGGACGGGAUUCUGGAUUCCUGCCAAAUAAAUAAGUCAAAUUUACAGGCUUGAAAUUUACCCAACUUGUGAAAUUAGUAGAGAGAGAACGUCCCUUUCAUCGUUCUAAGAUUGAGGUCAAACCUCCAAUUGGCGGCAGCAGUUGACUCAACAGUCUUCUCCAUCUGUUGCCUCUCAUGAAUGUCAAACACUAUAUAAUUUAGAUGGUGACGUAAAUGGGCCGGCUUGGUUUACUUCAGCCCUAAUUCAAUAAAUUUAUAUUAUAUAGUUUGAUUGUAAUCUAAUUAACGUUAACCUUUCCUAUGUGUUUCGGAAAGACAACUUGUUUGGCUCAUACAAGUUAUUUUGGUCGUAAAAGAAAACAUUACAACUGCUUUGUUAUAACUAAAGAUAUUAGUUACUCGGUUGUUAAUUUUGUUAAUGUUAGUGAUCUACGUGUGAUUUGAGAAGACAUUCUUCAUGGUUAAGAAACCACAAGUGCCAAGGACAUACAUACAUACAUAGGCCAACUAGGCACAAUGGUCAAAGGCAAAAGGUUGCGUGAAAAGCUGUUUCGACCCGUGAACCGACUUAGAACCCCAUUGGCCAAACCAAACCUUGAUACCCCCGUGGUUUCAUAACUUUGUCAACCCGGAGAGAGAGAGCACAAAUAUCAUCAUCAUGCUCAUUGAGCCACGUGACCCAUUUCUCUGUCUCUGUACUCCCUGUCGCCCUACAUAAAAUAUUGUUACCAGUUCUUCCCAAGUCAAAGAGAUAGCUGUAAAAAUGGAUGUAACCAACUCCUAAUUUCCCCGGUGAAAUUACUCGAAAAUAGACAAUAAUACCUUCACAUGACAGUUAAGAGAUGAAACCCUCACUGCCCAACCAAAACACGCCACGUAUCCGUCUCCUCCCCUGCCUCUCUCACGUGCCUCUGUCACCCACCACAUUCCUUUCCUCCUCCCUCCUUCUUCAGUCCUUAUCCUUCACUCACUCGCUCACUCCCCAACACAAACCAGCAGCUGGAGACAGAGAGAUAGAUUUUUUUACUUCUUCAUGAAGCCCUGAAACUGUCACCUCCACUUUCCCUAAUAUUUACGCACCAUGCCAUCCCGCCUUCUCCUCUCUCUUCCUUCGCCGGAGCAUCACCACCGUACACACCACCACAACCACCUCCCUGCAAUCCUCGCGGGAUCAUUGGCUUUCGCUCUCAUCUCCCUCCUCUUUCUAUUCGUCUUCCUCUACCGUAAGCUCUCCCGCCACCGCACCGCCCCAACUUCUUCUUCUUCUUCAGACCUCAAAUCGCCCACUCAUCUCCAAACCACCAACAAAUGCCGUCACUUCUCUUACUCUCUCCUCCGCCGCGCCACUGCUUCUUUCUCCACCUCCAACCGCCUCGGCCACGGCGGCUUCGGUUGCGUCUACAAAGCCGUCCUGUCCUCUUCCUCCUCGCUCGCCGUCAAGGUCAUGGACCCAAACGGCUCACUGCAAGGCGAGCGAGAGUUUCACAACGAACUCUCCAUCGCAUCAUCUCUCGACUCGCCCUACAUUGUCAGCCUCCUUGGCUACUCUACCGACCGCCGGAAGCGGAAGCUGGUGCUCGUGUACGAGCUGAUGGAGAACCGGAGCUUGCAGGAGGCUCUGAUGGAUCGCAAGUGCGAGGAGCUCAUGGACUGGAGCAAGCGGUAUAGUGUGAUGACUGAUGUUGCUAGAGGCUUAGAGUACCUCCACCAUUUCUGUAACCCUCCCGUGAUUCACGGCGACGUUAAGCCCAGCAAUAUCUUGCUGGAUUCGGAUUUCAACGCCAAGAUCGGCGAUUUCGGCCUCGCUAGAUUGAAGACGGAGGAAAUCGCCGAGUGCGCCGUCGGAGAAGACAACGGAUCUAUUCUGGAGGAGGCGGCGGAGAGUGUUGCAGCGACGACUGGAUACGAAGACAGCUCCACCACCGCGGCAGCAGGUGUCGAUCAAUCGCCGGUGAGUUUGUCUAGUAAGGUUUUGGAUUCGGAUGCGUCGCCGGAGGCGGCGGCGAGGAGCAUGUCGGAGGCGGAUCGAGUGAGUAUGGAGAGUGGGAGAGAUUUGGAGAAUGGAGGAGGAAAGAAAGGUGGAUCGAGAAGGGAUUGGUGGUGGAAGCAGGACAAUGGAGUUGAAUCGGAGUCUGGAAGAGUGAAGGAUUACGUAAUGGAAUGGAUUGGGAGUGAGAUCAGUAAAGAGAAUAGAUCGAAACCUGGAUGGAAUAAUCUCGAAUCCCCAAGCUCCGUCGAUAACAGUCUUUUGACGACGACGACGAGCUUAAAGAUCGAGAAGAAGAAGAAGAUAAGGAAGCGAUUGGAAUGGUGGGCGUCUCUAGACGAAGAGAGGAGGAUGAAGAAAAAGGAAAAGAAUCGGAAACCUAGAGAAUGGUGGAAGGAAGAGUUCUGCGACGAGCUAACAAAGAAGAACGGGAAGAAGAAGAAGAAGAAAAGCAACGGCGGAGGAGAGUCAUGGUGGCAGAAGGAUGAAGAUUCAGAUUGGACUACUUCGACGACGGCGACUAAGAAGAAGAGGAAAAGCAGAGGGAGCAUUGACUGGUGGAUGGACGGAUUAAGCGGCGAAUUCAGAAGGAGGAACAGCAGCAGCCACGAUUGGGCAAGCGGCGAAAUCCCAAAGAGCGGCGGGAUAAGCAGCACCCCUAGCAUGCGAGGAACGGAGUGCUAAGUCGCGCCGGAGUACGGCGGCGGAGGAGCUGGAUGCCAGCUGUCGGAGAAGUGUGAUGUUUACAGCUUCGGCGUGUUGCUACUCGUGGUGGUUUCAGGGCGUAGGCCGCUCCAAGUUACGGCAUCCCCCAUGUCCGAAUUCGAGAGAGCUAAUCUGAUCUCGUGGGCUAGGCAGCUAGCUCACAACGGCAAGCUAUUGGAUCUCGUUGAUCCUUUGAUACAUUCGUUGGAUAAACACCAAGCAUUGCUUGUUAUUACGAUCGCAUUGCUUUGCCUGCAGAGAUCGCCUAGCAAGCGGCCGUCCAUUAAGGAGAUCGUGGAGAUGCUCUCCGGCGAGGCCGAUCCACCGCAUUUGCCUUUCGAGUUUUCGCCCUCUCCGCCGUCCAAUUUCCCGUUCAAGUCAAGGAAGAAAGCUCACCGGUGAGUAGUUAAGUUGCUUACUGUAGUCUGUGUGUCUCUCUGUAUCUUGUCUUUUGUACAAGUUAGUUGCCAUUAUUGAAUUCAAUACAGGAAAUCAGGAUUCUUCCACCAUUACUUUCUCAUCUGAGUUUUGACCUCUGCUACUCGAAUCCAAUGACUAACAGUAGACGUAGAGAGUAAAACCUUUUACUGACAAAGUGCUUAAAGCUCAUAUCUUUGCUCAAGUGCUUAAAGCUAGUGAUAGUCAGCUUUAGCACUGACUUUAAUGGUGCUCUAAAGUUGCAUGAAAUUCAGUACAGCAAGCUGCAAAAUCAUCAUGGCUGGCUGGGUGGGAAAAUGAUUCUGCUCUCUGCAGUCACAUUGCACAUUAUGGUUUUCAUUUGUCACUAAUGUUUGUGCCUCCUGGGUCCCAUCCAUGGAUGCUCUUAGUAGCACUGAUUAUGGAGGCAAUAAAAGCCAUCAUCAAUCAAAAUCAAAAGCUACCUCAAAUUGCAGAUAAUGGUUGGUUCCUUUUCCUUCCCUUUUGCAUUGAUGUGUUUGCUUAAAUGAUUGCUGAGAAUGCUUCAUUUCUACGAAACUUGUAAUGAAAUGAAGAUCCCCACUGGUUUAGUUUUGGGACAGACGCUAAUAAGCUUAUCUUUGUGUUCAUGAACCUGUUCACUGUUCAGCUUCUGGUUUCGGAUUGAUUUGUUGAAAAGACAGAGACUUGCUGCCUGAAAUAUAAGAUAAGCUUAUAUCCAACUCGUAAUUACUUGAGAAAACCUUGCAAGUUGUGAUGUUUCUCCCCCAUUUCUACUGCGUUCCUGCUUGGUGAGAAAUGUUUAGCCGUGUGUCGUUUUCUUUUCUGUAUAUUCUCGGCAUUGGUAGGCGGAUCUUUCUAGGCAGAUAGGUCUGAGAAUUGGUUAUUAAUUAUCGAUCAAUUUGGUUAUUAAUCGUCUCUUUUGGUCGGUUAACUGCCUUAGCCGAUUGGAUUUGGUUGGAGAACCGAUCAUUAACCGACCAUCAUGGUUAUAACCGUUGGUAAAUUGAAAGACCAAUUUAACCGAUUGGUUAAUAUCACAAUUGUGGUAGUUUCUAUUGAAUUUGGGGUAAUUUACUUAGGAUUUGGGGAUAAUGUCACUUUUCUUAACCGACAAUUUAACCGUUUUAAUAGAUUAUCUGAUUUCAUCAAAUGUGUAGAUCGUUUCAUCGACCGAUCUAAUUUUGGUUAAACUGUUUUAACCAGUUAACCAAACCAAGAAGCCAGCCCUAGUAAGAUAGACAUACUAAUUUUGUAUGUCACCCAAAAGUCAAAACCACCUGUUACAUUCAUCUCUGCUUACCCAUUAAAGAAUGGAGUGGACCAACUCAGGACAUCAACGGUCCGGAUCUCCUGAUUUUAGAGGGACAAAAUCGUAAAUUUUGAAACUUGAAGUAAAUUUUAUAUUUGCUAGCAACUGUACAUAAAAUCUUAUCUAGAGUCCGACUAUUUUAGAAUCUGCCGUUGUCAUCAUCCACCAUAACAUGAGCAUGCAUCAUCUUUCUAAGUGGCGUUCCGGUAAAAAAGAAGGUUAGCAUAUCUCCAAGCUCCAAUUCAAAGUUGGGUUAGCUGACGGCGACCCGCCCAGCUCCGUAAUGGCACAGAUAGUGGAAUUUCCGGCCGCUCCCCACGAGCUAUAUCAACGCUGGUUACCUCCCCCGCCUAUUGUGUCAAUUUGUUUUUGGGUUUGGAGUUUAUAGUUUUGAUUUACUAUAAUCGCUAUUUUUUGUUGGUUUCUUUAGUUUUAUUUAUUUAUAUUCAGCGAGUAUUUGUGCCGUGUCUUGAGUAUUUUUUUAUCUGUCGUAUUAUUUAAAAUUGUGAUUUGUGAAGAUUAAAACCGCAAGAAUUAACUGUUUCUCCUUUACGCUCCGUAUGCGGGAAGCUCCUUGCGUAAUGGAACGCGGUGCGUUGAAUAGGCAAACAUUAGGAUGUUUUUUCUUUUGUGAUUAACUAUUGCCAUGUUUUAUUGUUUCUCAUACUGUUAUAGUUUCCUUGAUUUCUGAUAAUAGAAAGAUUACCACUAUUUCUUCUAUCAUUACUUCUCUCAUCCACGUCUGUUUAGUGGCCUAAAUAUAAAAUAUGGGAAUUGAUGUAAGACAUCCUACUUUUUAUUAUCCUAAAUAUAAAAUAUGGGAAUUGAUGUAAGACAUCUUAUUUUUUAUUAUCUUAAAUAUAAAAUAUGGAAAUUAAUGUAAUACAUCCUAUUUUUUAUUAUCCAAAACGCACUGACAUUUGAAUUCAAUAAGUAAAAUUACGUGAUGUCCUUUAAACCUAAUGUUUAAAUACACACAUGACGUAACUCAAAUCAAACACACUAUCUAAUUCGAAUCUCUCAGCUCUCUGAAAUACAAUCCUCUUCUCCUAAGAGUUGGGCCACAGCCAGCCGUCGCUUGCUCGCCAUCUCCAGCCACUCGCCGCCGCCGCUCGCCUCACACGGCCCCACCCGCUGGAAGCUGCCAACACUCUGUCGCCGCCGCCGCUUCCUCUACUCUCAUAUCCGUCGCAAGUCCGCCCCAAGCCGCCGCCUGUCGUUGAGGUACGAGAUUCAAAAAAAAGUAAGGACAGUCGCCAUUGGGAAAAAAAUUUGUUGUAGGCAAGAUUAAAUCAGAAAUUACGUAAAUAAUCAAGUCAAAAAGUAAAUUACUCAAUUUGGCAAUUCCCGUGACUUACAACGCGUCGCGCGUCGUAGGAAUAUGUUUGUCAACGUUUAUUGUUUACAGUUUCCUAUGUUGUGUGUUGCAAUUAAUUUCAACUUCACGUACUUGUGCUAAGGUUUAGGUGAGUGUGUAAUCAGGGUAGUGUUGCUUUAAUUUCAAUCCAUUUCAAGUGUUGCUUUAAUUUCAAUCCAUUUCAAGGGUUGUUUUAAUUUCAAUCCAUAAAAGUCAUAACACCAUACAAGUGGUAACAACAAACAAGUAGAAACAUCUAUCAAUAACAUUAGUCAUAACACCAUAAUAAUACAACCAUAAUGAACCCAUACAUACAAGCAUACCACAAUCAUAAUAAUAUGAGAAGUCCCUAAACCAAAAACACAAUCUACAAGCCUCCCUCUCCAGGCCUCCAAUGAGCUACUCUGGGAUGGUCUUCGGUGUCGCACAUGGCCUACCGAGGGUUGGUUCGUAACCCAUGUCGAAGGUCCCUCCGAGGUGCUGUGUCCUCCUCCCUCUGUCUGACUAUCUGCUCCUUGAACGUCAUCGUCUCGAACUGAGAGUCCGGAUGCUGUGUCUCACCGGCCCACUGUGGGUGUGAGCUGCUGGCUUCAUCGUGACCCAUCUGGGAAACCACUGCACGGACGGAGGUGGCUGGGACCACUGCUGUGAUGGAGGUGGCUGAGACCACUGUUGAGGCUUCAUCGUCGACUGGUACUGCGGGUCGCGAAAGGCAGACAUAUCGGGUAUCUAUGCCCGCGGUACGAACUCAGCCUCGUGGGUCCUCCGGCGUCGGGCACGUCUGGUCGGGAGGAUAGCCUCGGACUCAGUAGAUUAACAGCGUACAAGUCGUAAGCCUUGUAGAUCAGUACGGUGGGGGCCAUCAGUAGGUCACACCCCGAGUCAUCAAGCUUACGCUUCAUACCUCCGCUCUCGUACAUCAUGGAACGCAGACACUACUGAACCGCAUCGGUGUCCUCUCAGCCGAGCUGCUCCUGUGAACCUACCCGGACAGAUAGGUUCUCCAACCCGUCAAUCUGCAAAAUGAAAAAGAAAAUAUGUUAUCGUUGCAUGAUGCGGGAAGCCCACUAAUCGGAGGGGUGCUAGAGUACGUACGAUGGACUGUUGCACUGUCCCACGUCUCGAAGUCUACCGACGAGUGUACUGACGGUACCACACCAUGUACUCGUCGUGGCAGUGCCACCUCUCCGGAUCGUCGAGAAACGCACUUUUUGACACGUGGUCCAAUAUGAUCCCCCCAUUGGACAAGGUACUGAUCCACUCUCACGUCUCACGCGUGCCCGUUCAUCCUCGUUAGUCCGAGCAAGAACAUGACCUAUCCCUCCACAUAUCCACAGUGGGGAUGGGCUGGGACAUCCCAAACUGUCCGACGACAUGGUCUGGCCAGUGCCAAGAGAUGUUGUGAGGUAAAAUCAGUUGGGCAACGACCUUGUGUGUCGCCGGAGAGUGUGUCGAAUUUACACAGCUGCGGAAGGGGGCCUAGUGGAAGACAAAGAAAGUAUAAAUACAAAUAACAUCCUAAAAAGGGAUUACUAAAAAGAAACAGAAUGACACACUAGCUCUUACCACGAACGAGGUGCCCUCAUCGAACAGUUGUCUUUAUUCUGGAAGCAAGAGGCCACGAGUCCUCUCGUGCAUCUAGUUCUUCCACUAAUAUAGACAGGUGUUUCCAAUAAUCCCGACGCAUCUGGACCUCCGAGCAUGUCCUCAUGCAAUCACUGUGAUAUGAUUGGGGACCUCUCUAGUGCCCAAUCUGUAAGCAGCACGUUCCAACCACUGAUGUCACCCGCCCCCUUUGUACUAAAAGACUCCAACCUAAACGUUGACGACCGAGCUCCCGAUAGAGCAACGACAGAACCGCUACCCUCAAGCGAACGACAUCUCUUCUUGCAACCCUAACAGGUACGGUAGGUGGACGUAAGCAGCUGAUCUAUCCGUGAACAGGAACCACCUAUGCACGCCAGCAUGUAUGCCCGUGUGUACUGUCCCAACGUACGACCGUUGUCGGCGGGAAUGCGCUCCGGCUUCUUGAACGUGGAGUGCAACCACCCAAGCCUCAGUCGUCCGUCCUAUAAGACCUCAUUCACCAUCGGCCUCGCUCCCAAAUCCUCCUAUACUAAGUCUAGCAUCUACGGUCCAGAACGCUCGAGAGGGUAGUACAGCGGAUCACCGUCGACUGGAAAAUCAGUCAACAUCGCCACGUCCUCCAGAGUCAACGUGCACUCCCCAUGGUAUAUCAUUAAAGUGUUCGUCUUCGGCCUCCACCUCUCGACCAGCGCCGUCACAAGAUGCGGAUUCGAUGAAAGGGUCGCAGGAUCAAUAAUUGGUAAGAGUCCGACAGCCUCUAGCAAAGGGUGGAAGUAGGGAUGGUAUGGGGGAUGUGAGACAUCCUACGACACGAGAGGGUAAUGCUAGGUUCCUAUUCGGUAUUGUAGGUAGUGAUCAUUAGUAUCUAACUCAUUAAUUAAGUACCUAAUAUGUACUAAUAAAUAAUGAAUCUAAAAUAUUAUGAAUUUUUAUUAGUAUCUAACAUAGUAUUAGGAAACUAUAAAUAUUUUCUACCAUUAGGGAUAAGCACACUAAUUCCUUCUAACACUAGGCAUAAGCAAGUAUUAAUAUUUUCUAACAUUAGGCAUAAUGAAGUACUAACAUUUUUAAUAUUAGGCAACAUUAUUUAACACUUGGCCGUUAUUAAUAUUCUCUACAUAUUAUUCAAAUGGUACCAACCUCAUUGUCAAAAAUUUCAUCGGCUCGAUGUCGGUUGCGCUCGCCCCAAAGUAGUUCUGCAUCGAUCGACUCGGGGUUGACGCACGGAGGUAUCGGUCCAUACAAUUAAUCCAUCCUACAACGAAAAAAUAUUGUAGGGAACAAAUUGAGAAAAUUACUAAAAAAUAACUAAUAUUACCGACUAGUUGAUUGCGGAAAAAGAAUUUACUUCUCGGUAUUGAAAAACCAAAGAAUGAAGAAAUAGAGAAUUAGUGAAUGUGGAGGAAUGAAGAAGGGGAGGAGGGGUAUUUAUAGAAUCCGUUGGAGGCUAUCUACAACGCGUCGCGCGUCCUAGGAUGUGUGGCGCAUUGGAGGCUACCUACAACGCGUCGCGCGUCCUAGGAUGCGUCGCGUGUUGUAAGUCAGGGGAAUUGUCAAAUCAUGUAAUUUACGUUUCAACUUGAUUAUUGAUGAAAUUUCCGAUUUAAUCUUGCCUACCAAAAAAAUUCCGUCGCCCUUGAAAAUUAGUAAUUAGUCAUGCUAAUUAAUGUGAAUUAGUAAAUAUUAGUAACAAUUCAUUUGGAAAUUAAUACUUGAUAAUUGAAUAUCUAUUUAAUUAAUACUUAAAAAUUAGUAAUUAGUUAUGAUAAUUAAAGUUAAUUAGUAAAUAAAAACUUAGAAUUUAGUAAUUAAUUCAUGUUAAUUAAGGUAAAUUAGUAAAUACAAAUUUAGGAUUACAAUGUAAUUAGUGUAAUGAAAAUUUUAUUUAAUAAACUAUUUUCAAUUAGUAAUUAGUCAUCAUAAUUUAGAUGAAUUAUUAAUUUUAAAUUUUAAAUUGAAUGUUUAUUUCAAAAGUAGGGUUUAGUGUUAGUUUUCUAAUUAAUAGUUAUGAUUUAAAUUGCAUAUAUGGUUGGAAGCGAUGUCACAUGGAGAUCAUCGUUUGUCGCGGUUUAUCGAUUACUCUAUUUCUGCCUCAAAUCGAAAAUUGAAGGAGGAAAGAGCGAAGAGAAAUAAAUUAGGUUAGGGGAUAUUGGUCAGACGAGUGCGCAGUUUCAGAUUUCCGGACCGAUAUAUAUGCACCACGCAUUGCAGUCUGCUGGGAGAGAGCUGACGGUUGAUGAGAUCGCUGGGAACUUCUACCGCGGGCGCUACACGUGGCAGAGCUAGGUCUUCUACCGGGGUACAGUCCAGCUGCACCCGCGAGGAGUGGAGGCUUACACAUCUAGCACCUGGUAGGCCAUGGAUCCCCACUCUGAUCUCUAGUUUUGGCGGUCACAUUGCCCAUCACCUCCGGAGCUCGGUUUGGACCUGAGGAGUGGAGACUUACUACGUGACACGUAGAUUUGAACUUCUCCCACCAUGACGGAUCCCUUGCAUUCUGCCGUCUAGGAGGUCUGCCUUUCGGAACAUCAGAUGUCUUCGGAUCAUGAAUCCCCUCAGCCUCGGAUGUAGCUGGAACUGGAGGAGUCUCGUGUAUGAUCGAACUGCUACUUCUCCUAAACUCUCGACUUCCUCAACAGUUUCACGCCAAACGUUGCGGUCAGCACCGACAACUUCGCACUCAGCACGAUGGCGGGACCGCGGGGGAGUGGGGGGGGGGGGGGGGGGGGGUUGGGGAUAUUGUCCAGCUGGGUUUACAUAUCGUCCAACGUAGCUCAAACGCGAUGUAGGUGUCUUAUAUACAACAAAGUGUCCUCUAUACACCACCACUAAACUUCACAUCUGCAAGGCAACCCGUUAGUAGUUCGCAACACACACGAACAUUAACUUAGUAGUUUGCAUUCUUCAUGCAGUAACUGAAUCGCCCAUAAGUUGACUUCCGUGUUCAACUUCCCGUACAGUUUCUCCCAAAUCAUAAAUGACUGUAAUUAAAUAAGUGUAAAUCGAUAAACACGGUCCGAGAAAGUCAUAAACUAAUACAGAAAGUAAGCUACGUACCUUCAUUCGUGAGUUUUCAAGCAACUUCUUUAUCUCUAGUAUUUCCCCGUCAUAAGUCAAUGGUAUGCAUGGAAAAGUCUGCCAUCCUUGCUGAUCGAGGUGUGCAGCCAAGCCGUCAAGGAGGAAUGAAACAAAUCCACCUUAUUCGUACUUGUGUUGCCGAGAUGGAACACCUGGUUAGUGUAGCAACACGCCCAUUUCUAUAUUUGCAAGGGAGCCACUCUGAUGUCAGGUAUUGUAACAGCUAUGGACUCCGGCCACCUUCACCCAAAUCGUACGACUUCGUAAAAAAUAUUCGACUAGUUCGUGCAUUCAGAACUUGUCCCCACAGACCAGCUACGAACUUCUCAGAGGUCUCUCUAUCAUACAACUUGGUCACCGUUUCCUCGAUGUUCCUCUUUAUGUACCAAACACAAAGUAAAUGUGCCGAAAAAGGGAAUAUCUCUUGUAGUGCAACCGCCAAACCUCUCUCCUUAUCAGUAACAAAGACAAAAACACUCGACAACCAAGAAUCAUUUGCAACUGACUCAGUGCCCAAGCGUAUGACUCCUUCAUUUCAUCUUCCACAAGUGCAAGCCCCAUGUUGACGUUCUUCUUAACCGGCGUCACACCGACAAACUGAAUCACCGCCUUCUUGUACACGUUCGUCUUAUACGUGGAGUCGAUCAAGAUGACAUAAUACCAUGCAUGCAACAUCCGAAGUGACUCCACAUGUGAGAUGAAGAGAUGAGUGACAUAGUCUUUGACAUCCCUGAGGUACGUAGUGAAGUACCCCAAUUUUCACGCUUCUGUAAACAUCUAUUUCAUUGGGUUCAUACCGUCAAACUCAACCACCUUAUCUUUGCCAUCUCAUUGUAGAUCUGUUUCAUAUUGACCAUACUUCCAUACUCACUGUUGAGUAUGAUAUGCAUUUGUCUCGGGGGCACGAGGUUUUUCUCCAACUGUCUAAUGUGGUCUUUCAUCUCGUCUAUGAGCUAAUUCCAUUGUUGUGUUCCUUCACGCCACAACUCGAAGUUGUGGUUGUGAAAUGACCUAAGAAUCUCACGUUUUACAUCAUCUUUAACAGUGUCAGUCUUCCAUUUCAACUCAUCAUCAACGCGCUUAGGCCGCACGCACACUAUGAACGUACAACCUAAGUACGAUGUUGUAGUCGUUCGUGAACUCUCUGAAGAUGCAGUAGACUAUGAUUUUCCCAUAUCACCAUGCGAAUAAUACAAGUACAAACAUUUUUCUUCUUCACGGGGGUUCUUCUUAUGUGACCCUUUAGUAAACUGAAACCCUAAACUUAAAGCAAUAUCCUUCGCUGCAGAACUCGCAUCAUUUUGUGUGUGUAAAACAAAUCGUUUACGAAAUAACAACCAUAUUUCAUCUGUCCUUCAUCAUCAUCAUCAUCACUAGAACCUUCCUAGACAUGGAAUAACAAAAACUAUCAGUCGGUGUACUAUGUUCAAAAUAUUUGUUCACUAAAUGCGAAACAUUAACUCUACGAUCCACAACUAUUUAUUUUGUACUAGGACUUACUAUAUGGCUCUUCACUGCGCUUCUUGAAGACCACGGACAAUAAUUCUACCGAUCCUUAACUGGAAUAGUUAGGUACAUUCAAUAAAUUAAUUUAAACUAAUCAUAUAAUGACAUGUAUGAAUUUCAAUAAUUCAUAUUAUUAAUUUCAAUAAAUUACUAAUUAAGUAACAUAAAUUUGAAUAACAAAUUAUUUAAUAACAACAAUUAGUAAAAUACCACAGUCGCCAAUGUUGUACAUACACCAUUGAUAUUCAAUGGCAACUCAAUUAUCGAUACUGUCGCCAUUAGAUGUCGACUUUGCAACGGGUACGGUUGCCAUUGAAUGGCUGCCGUUGUUCAUUGCACUGUUGCCGUUUAAUGGCGACGACGUUUAAUUUUUUUUUUACCAUUCCACGUAACAGCGACGGUGAGUUCUGACUACGACUUGAAAUAGUAAAAUUUGAUUGGCUGGAAAAAAUAGACGUUAAUUGGUUGAGACUCCUUAUAUAGAAUUCUAAUAGAGACAUUUAGGUUAUUUCAUGUAUUAAAUUCAAAAUUUAAGACAUUUAUAAAUAAAAAGUAUGACGUUUUUUAAGAAUUCAAUAAAAUAUAGAAAUUAGUUAGUCCGUUUGUAUCUAUAUACGUCAGUUUCAUAUCAACAAUAGUAAAAUACUCUUACCAAAAAAAUAAAAAACAACAGUACAAUACAAAUCAUUCAUUCAAACAAUAGAGUUUAGUCUGAGCAAAUCCACCAGAUGGAAUCUCUGGCGGCGCAGGGUGACGAUCUCCCCCUGGUCUUGGUUCUAAUGAAGAUCCCGUUCUUUGACCACCACUUCACUUCUACCAAAUUCCGCUACUUGAACGCCUUUGAUUCGACCCUCCCGCUUCAUGAGUUCCUGACCGCCCACACGCGGUCAAUACGUGCAGUGUUCGCCUCCGGCGGUGCGAUCGUAGAUGCCGGCGUCCUCGAUCUACUUCCGGAGUUGCGUGUCAUCGUCACCGCCAGCUCCGGGCUUAACAAGAUCGACUUACUCGAUUGCCGACGCCGAGGGAUCAAGAUCGCUAACGCAGGAGAUGUAUAUUCGGCCGACGUGGCCGAUUGCGCCGUAGGGUUGUUGAUCGACGUUUUGAGGAAGAUUUCGGCCGGCAAUCGCUACGUCAAGAAAGGCCUCUGGGGCUGUAAAGGAGACUAUCCCCUCGGUUCCAAGGUCAGCCACUCUUCUCAAUCCACUUUUCCAUUUUCUGUACUGCGGUAAAUCUCUUAAGAAAAAGGCUUUUAGAUGUCCGCAACCCUCCGCGUAAACUUAUAAAUUAGACCAUCACGUCAAAGUCACGAAUUUCCCAACUACCCAUCCUUUGACACGACACAAAUACUCGUCAGGAAACAAUUUUAAAAAACCAACAAAGAGUACCGACUAUAGUCGAUCAAACUAACAGACUCCAAACCCAAAAACAAUUUGACACAAGAGGUAGGGGAGGUAGCCACCCUUGAUGUAGCUCGAGGGGAGCGGUCGGAAACUUCGCUAUCCGUGUAAUUACUGCCUGGGCGGAGCCGCUUGUAGGAAUAUUGCUCCGCCUCAGUGAUCUCGUUGGCUUUUUUAGCGGUGCCCCUUUCUAGAAGGUCCUCCCCCGAUUGUUGAUUUCAGCUUAAACGGACCAUGAUGAGCGCGUCGGGAGGAGGACGACGAGCGAUCCGGCGAGAAGAAAGAGGGCGGUAUAACAGCAAGUGAGAGCGGAAAGUCCCACGUCGGGUGAAAAAAAAUAUUACCGGGUGAAAAAAAAUAUUAAUAAUAUGGUAACAGUGAAAUAUGCAUAUACAAUUGGCUAAAUCAGAUGAUUCGAUUUGGGUUUUAGUGUAAUUACCGGUUAAUCCAAUCACAAGGUAAUCGAGUUACAAAUUAACCGCAUAAUCACAAAUUACUCCGCAACGCCAGCACAUCCACCGCCAGAUGGAUUCUCCGGCGACGCAAGAGGACGAUCUUCCCCAGGUCCUGGUUCUGAAGAAGCCGCCGUACUUCUCCGCAACAGAAGGCCAUCACUUAACUUCCACCAAGUUCCUCUACUUGAACGCUUUUGAUUCAACCCUCCCGCUUCACGAGUUUUUGACCGCCCACGCCCGGUCAGUACAAGCACUGGUCUCCUCCGGCGGGGCAAUCGUAAACGCCGCCGUCCUCGAUCUUCUCCCGGAGGUUUGUGUCAUCGUCACCACCAGCGCCGGUCUUAACCAGCUCGACUUACUCGAGUGCCGACGCCGAGGCAUUAAGAUCGCCAACGCAGGGGAUAUAUAUUCGGCUGACGUUGCGGAUUGCGCCGUCGGAUUGUUGAUCGAUGUUUUGAGGAAGAUCUCCGCCGGCAAGCGGUUCGUCAAGAGCGGGCUCUGGGCCUCUAAAGGAGACUAUCCCCUCGGUUCCAAGGUCAGAGCGUAAAAUAUUCUUCAUUUCCAAUUGCAAAGUAAUUUGGGGCUUAGGGUUUCUUAAUUAGUCAGAACAUUAAUGGCAGGUUUGUAACUUAGAGAAUCAGGCACUGAAUUAAGAAUUGUGUGAUUGAUUCAAGAUUUGAUGAUUUGCUCAGGUGGGAGGCAAGCGGAUCGGAAUAGUAGGCCUAGGUCGAAUCGGCUACCAAAUUGCGAAAAGGCUCGAGGCAUUCGGUUGCAGCAUCUCGUACAACUCCAGGAAGCAAAAGACUAACGCAACUUACCCUUUCUACGCACAAGUCCCGGACCUUGCUGCAAACUCGGAUGCUCUUAUCAUCUGCUGUGGGUUGACCGAGCAAACGCGACACAUCAUAGACAAGCAAGUGAUGGCGGCCCUAGGUAAGGAAGGGGUGAUCAUCAACAUUGCGAGGGGGGCAGUUGUCGACGAGCAGGAAAUGGUGAGGUGUCUUGUGGAAGGUGAGAUUGCAGGUGCUGGACUGGAUGUGUUCGAGAACGAGCCGGAUGUUCCGAAAGUGCUAAUGGAGUUGGACAAUGUUGUGUUGAGUCCGCAUUGUUCUGCUUUCACCAGGGAAUCUGUGAUGGACAUUGCUGGACUUGUGGUGGGGAACCUGGAAGCUUUCUUCUCCAACAAGCCAUUGUUGUCUGAGUAUAAGGAUCAUUAAUGAUGAUAUUGCAUGAAUUGUCCUACUCGAUCGGAUAGUUAAUAUUUAAACUCUUAUUGUUAAUUUGCGGCAUUGAAUUAAUGAAUAAACCAAGGAAAUAAUUGUAGAGCCUCCACUGUUUUUGGUUGUGGUGAAUAAUGAGAUAUAUAACACUGAUUAUAAUGAUAUGAAGGUUAACAGUGCGACAACUAAUUGAAAAAAUUGAAUGUAUAAUGAUUAUUGAUACACCAAAUAUAUUAAAGAGUUUAUUGAAACUUUUGACCUUUUCAGUUAAAGGCCACACGCUCUAACCAACUGAAUUAUUCCGGCUAAUUCAUCAAUAAUUUAAUUUUCUUUGUUUAUAAACCAACAGUGAAAUAAAAUCCACCGGCAACAACUUCUUUUUGUAUAUAUGAAAAACCAAAUAGAAGAUAACUCGCCAUUGCAAAAAUCAACAAUCACACCAAGAAAACAUGUCAUGAUCACCGACGGAGGAUGAUCACCAACCGCCGGUUCUACUCCUGAAAUGUCCACCUUCCUUCCGACGAAUCAGAGAAGAACACUUCACUUCCGACAAGUUCCGCUACCUCAAAUCCUACGAUUCCCCUCUUCCCUUGGACAAUUUCUUAACCACUGACGCCCAAUCCGUACGAGCUAUCUUUUCCACAGGAAAAUUUCAUGCCUCUGCCGACACCCUUCAACUCCUUCCCAACGUGGAAGCAAUUGUGACCGCCGGUGCCGGAGUUAACCACCUCCACUUGCCCGGGUGCCGUCGCGCGGAAUCAAGAUUUCCAAUGCAGGGUACGUCUUCUCUGCCGACGGCGCCGAUUACGCUGUUGGGCUGCUCAUCGAUGUCUUGAGGAAGAUCUCCGCCGGCGAUCGGUAUGUAAAGGAUGGGAUGUGGGCCUCAAAAGGGUACCAUUGUAUUGGCUCCAGGGUACGUUGGUCAUUUCCACACUUAGCUUACUCUGUUGAUGUGCUUGCAAUCUUAAAACUAGAAACUGAGUUAGAUCACAUAGGAUUAUAAAUUAUGCCCACAAAUUUAUCAUACCUUUUGGUUGUAGUUAUUUAGGUUUGUGAGUCUAAUACUCAAUCGGGUUAUGCAUCGAUUCGAGUGACAUGAUCAAUGAGUCCUUUUUAUUCAGUUUAGUGUCUAAUUACAUUUCAUGUUAAAUAUAAACAAGUUGUGAAAGAUUUUAUUAUAUACGAAAAAUAACUACUUCUCUCUCUAAAAGAGAGGUCUUGAGUUUGAAUUUACAUAAAAAUUUAUUUUUUUUGAAAAUAAGAUAUGUUUUGUGAUAUAUAAUGGUUAAUCAAAUUGUAUUAGUAGAUUACUUAAUUGGUAUUGUUUAGAGUUGAUUUUGAAUGAAUUCGGAGUCAGCCAAGAAUUAUUAAUCGAGGCAAGCAAAUCUUUACUCAAAUUGUUAGGGUUCAACCUCUCCAACUUUCAAAUUUAGUUCUUAUAAAUUUGAAAUUUUGCUAAUAUUUUCGACCAUCCUAAUUCUAUUACUUUACUAUCAAUCUUUUAUUUUUCUGUCAGGGGAGUGAGUGGUAAGGGGAUAGGUACAUUAGUAGAAUACUUAAUCAAUACCAUUUGAGUUGAUUUGGAAUGCAUUGAUCAAAGUCUACCACCAUGGGAUUAAUGUCCCUAAAUUUUGAAAUCCUGUCAGGAUAUUUCCGAUCAUCUUAAUUCUGCUAUUGUUAUUCAGAUAGCCUGAUGCAUGUUUCACUUAAUGACCCAAAAAUAUAUUCUUUCCUGUCAGGUGAAUGGUAAGCGGAUAGGAAUAGUGGGACUGGGCAGAAUCGGUCACCAAGUCCCCAAACAGCUCGAAUCCUUCGGCUGCACCAUCUCCAACGUACAAUUCGAGAACCCCCAUAAUCACCAACCGUUCCAUACAAAGACAUCCUCGAAAUGGCGGCUGAAUCCGACGUUCUAAUCCUCUGCUGCGCGUUGACCGAGCUGACCAGACAUACGGUCAACGCCCGGGGGAUGGAGGCUCUGGGGAAGGAAGUAGUGAUCAUCAACGUGGCUCGAGGCGCGGUGGUUGAUGAGGUGGAGCUCGUGCGGCGUUUGGUCGGAGGAGAGAUGGCCGGCGCUGGAUUGGACGUGUUUGAGAAUGAGCCUGAUGUUCCUGAGCAGCUGAAGGAGCUGGCGGACAAGGUUGUAUUGAGCCCUCGUUGUGGGAUUGCCAGCGUGGAGGCCAUGGUGGAUUUGAGCCGCCUUGUUGUCGGGAAUCUUGAGGCUUUCUUUUCCGGGCAGCCGUUGUUGUCUGAAUACUUGGGCGAUUGAUUGGUUUUCGAUUCGAAUCUGUUUGUGUUGUUUUGCUUCUUUAAAUGCCGUAAUAAUUUAAUUUCAGCAAAUCCGUACAAUAUGGAAUUGAUGAUUGUGAAUUCCAUUUCCAGCCUGAAUUGAUUCAAUUUUCGAUUUAUAAUUUCAUUUUUAAUUGAGAAUCAUCGUCAUACAUAUUGCCGACAAUUCGAAUAAUAUAACACAUUAACGGUAACUUCAAACCGUUAAUGCGUUACUUUACCAACAGCUACUAGAAUUCUAUCCGGCCCAUGCAUGCACCACCCAAUUAUUUGUUAAACCCAUGUCCUUAUGUGGGCUUUCCUAGCUUAAUGACCCACUUGCCCUAUAGCAAAUAUGUUGGAAUAUUCUUAUUUAUGUUCAAUAUAUAACGGUCCAAAUACAGUCUAAAAGUUUUUCAAGUUUAGAAUUUCGAUAUUAUAUAAUUUUUCGUGAUUAAUUAAUAUAUUUUCACAUACAAUCAAAUUCUAUACACACUUAUAAUAUUCCUCUGCUCGGAAUAAUAUUUGGUUCAUCUAAGUAUCUAAACCUGUCGAGGCAAUCAAUUUGGCCAUUACUGAAAAUAGAAGCAGGUCAAAUGAAAUGGGACUACGCUACUCGAUUCGAAUAAUUGAAUUAUAUAUUUAUAUGUAUAAUAAUUAAGGAUCUGUGGAUGGCCACGUUACUCAUCAUCAAAUUAAUCUUGAUUUGGUUGAGGGGACUAAUCGCUUCACUGUGCCAAGAUUUCAGACAGCUAUUGGCCCAUUAUCCACCGGUGUCAUUUAUAGGUUUUCAUGUUUCGCUACGAUCAUGUGAUAAACCAACAAGUUGUUGGUGCAGUGGUGACAUGGGCUGUAUUUGGAAGGAAUCAAGGUUCGAUCCCCAACAACAAUAUUAAAAAUGAUGAGUAAAUCCUUAACCCUGGACCAUUUUUCGAUUAGAUUAAUCGGUCGAUAGGUCAAAUAAAAAAAAAUGAUGGUGAGUAGAUACAGAAUCGUUGAUAAAUAAGUGAAGUGGAGAGGGAAUAUAAGAUAUGAAGAUGUGCGAUUACCCCCCCACAUGUUCCUCCUUAACUCUUGUGAUAUCUGGACAUGAAGUUAGUGACGCAACCAUGUAUGUAUAUAUUAUACCAAAUACUAUAAUUCCGGUAUACAACGUAGGAAAAAACAUACAAGUAGAGAUCCAAAUCCAAUUGGUGCCCCAUUUGGCACCCUAGGUAAAACAACAACAUUCCAUUUCUAUGUUCAAUAGUUGAUCCAUUCGAGUCUUACUCAUCACGUUUUAACUCGUUUUUUAUUAUAUACGAUCUCGUACAUUGAUUUGCAAUUUGGAAUAUACACUACAUCAAAUUAUUUCUCAAUUUAUUGUAAUAGUGUAGUUGGUUUGAAUUUAUUUAUAUAUGAGAUAUAGAUAACUAUAUGUUAUAUUUAUUUCCUUUUUUUUUCUUUCAAAAACGCCUUUAUACUUCGAUUGAAAAAAAAGAUAUAUUUUUCAAUCUCCGAAAAAAUAAAUUUCUCUAUUUAUUCUAUUAAUUUUCAAUUUUUCAUACCAAACAGCUACUUAAUCAAAACAAACAACUAUAUACUUUAACCGUUGGAAUGAAGACAACGAUGGAGUUUAAUUGGCAAUUAAUAGUGCAUAGGAGUUGGAAAUUUUAAGUGUAAACUAAUUAAAGGUAAAGCAUAAAAAUAGUCGGUAUUAAAUGUCAAAAUCAUAACCUAAGAGAAAAAAAAAAAAAAAAUAACGACAAUGCAUCAAACAAAACACCUGCUUAGCUAACAGUGCUGGGCUGCUAGCUGCAUCAAUAAAAGAUUUGCAAUUAAGUGUGCAGUUUACGCGGGAGACUCUUCAUUAUCAUUAACCUACAAUUCAAUUAUUUGUAAUUUUUACUUCCAAUCCAAUCAUAAUCUAAUUCGUUUGUAAUUACUUCAAAUUAGGUCUCAUUAAUCUUAUAAUUCAAAUAUCAUACGUGACAUGUCAAUAUUAUCUUUUAAACAACGCGGGGACAUCUCAAUAAUAAAAAUACCAUAAAAAUCAAAACUAUAUUAAAACUAAUUUCAAAGAUUUGAGACUUGAAACAUAAAAACCUCAUCAACCCCAAAAUUCAUCAUUCUCAGAUCAAGAGACCCUGGACGGCGGUUUAGAUUAACCCACCCCAAUUCUACCACUGCUCGACCUGGAAUAACCACCCCUACGACAAUACUUAAAUAUAAUCCGAUAAACUCAACCCGCAACCAAAAAUGUAGUUAGCUUAGCUAUAGUGUGGUGUAUUAAUAAUAUGUUAACAUUAGAUUCCCUAAUUUGGUUUCAUUACCAUUUCCCACAGCGACCGAAUUUAAACGUCCAUCGCUUUUGGCAUUUCCUUCUCCUUUAAAUUCCUCACAUCUUCCUCCUCCUCUCAGUCAAUUCAUCAAACACCUUCUCUGCAUUAAUCUCCUGCCAAACAAAUAAAAAUAACCAUGCCUCCUCCUCCUCCUUCUAUGGCUGAUUCAGCCGAGCCAUUAGUUUUCGACGCUUCUCUUCUCCAGAACCAGUCCAACAUUCCGCCGCAGUUCGUCUGGCCCCACGACGAGAGGCCGGGAACCGAAUCCCCGCCUGUGCUGGCCAUCCCGCCGAUCGACCUACACAGCUUCAUGUCCGGGGACCCCGCCGCCGUGUUGACGGCCACCAAGGCGGUGGACGAGGCGUGUAGGAAGCACGGAUUCUUCCUGGUUGUUAACCACGGAGUGGACGCCGAACUGGUGACUCAAGCUCACCGGUGCAUGGACCAGUUCUUCGGGAUGAAGAUGUCGGAGAAGCAGAGAGCGCAGAGGAAAACAGGGGAGCUCUGUGGCUACGCUAGUAGCUUCACGGGGAGAUUCUCGUCCAAACUCCCCUGGAAGGAGACGCUGUCUUUUCGUUACUGCGCCGAUCGGAACUCGGCCGCCGCCGAUGAUAGUAACAUUGUUCGUGAUUACCUCUUGAAUAAACUGGGAGAAGACUUCGCACACUUCGGGUGAGUAAAGAUCGAGUUUUUUUUUGUUACCAUGAAGAGUAAAGGAAUAGUAUGCACUUUAGUCACUAUACUAUGACAAUAUAACAAAUAAACCCUUUUUUAUGUUAUGCUAAAAAUUAAGUACUCGUAUAAUUGAUUUGUUAACAUAUUUUGUCAUCAAAUUUUGUCAGCAACAUUGACUCCAAACAACAUUUUCACUCUAUUCUUGUUCAAUUGGUCACAAUAGUGAUAAUAUUUACCGUACAUCUUAUCACCAAAACUAAGUAAUAGGUUAUCAGUAAAUUUUUCUCAUUUGAAUCGUAAAUUACCUUUUUCAGUUUGAACACGGUCAAAUAAACAUAUGGUUGAGGGACUAAAAAUAUUAUUUUGUUAAUUUACAGGGAGGUGUACGAAGGGUAUUGCGAAGCGAUGAGCAAUUUGUCGUUGGGGAUAAUGGAGCUACUGGGAGUGAGUCUAGGAGUUGGAGGAGAGCAUUUCAGGGAGUUUUACAAAGGGAAUAAUUCAAUAAUGAGAUUGAAUUACUACCCACCUUGCCAAAAGCCAGACCUAGCACUUGGCACUGGCCCUCAUUGUGACCCUACUUCCUUAACUAUACUCCAUCAAGAUCAAGUUGGUGGCCUCGAGGUCUUUGUCGAUGGCCAAUGGCACUCCGUUUCACCUCACCCGGGCGCUUUUGUCGUCAACAUCGGUGAUACUUUCAUGGUACGUAAAUGACUCAAUCUGCAUUAAUUCAACCGAGAAAUUGGGUACUCCGUACUUAACGCUUUAUUUUGUUUUGAACACCAACACAAUAUAACCCAACCUCACUGUUGGGUGAUGUUUUGUUAUGCCGCAGGCACUAUCGAACGGGGUUUACCGGAGUUGCCUGCACCGGGCGGUGUUGAACCGGGACCAAGUGAGGAAAUCCUUAGCAUUCUUCUUGUGUCCAAACGGGGAAAAGGUGGUCAAGCCUCCGCAGUCGCUGCUCAACAAUCCAAGAAUAACAAGAGCUUACCCAGAUUUCACCUGGCCGACAUUGCUGGAGUUCACACAGAGUAAUUACAGGGCCGAUAUGAAAACCUUCGACGCAUUCACGACAUGGCUUCAAACACAACAAACAACAAAAUUGAUUACAUGAUCAAUGGAUACAGCUCAAGGAAAGUGACAAAAUUUUUGCAUUAUUUGGGCCCAUAUGGAAAAGACAGACAGACAGACAGAGGAGCUAGUUCAAACUAUUGUUCUUGUUGUUCUUGUUAAUGUAUCCGAUUUUGGUCACUGAAAUAUUUCUUCUGUGCUGUUUUCUCUCCCAAGUAUAUGAAAUUUCAGGUUAUGAUUACGGUGCCACCUAGUUGUCAAUGUUUGGUAUUUGAAUGGGGUCUUGAAAUUGAUACAUUUGGAGUUGCUGCAACUGCUUAGCUCUCAAUCCCAGCCCAUCAACUCAAAAUAAAUCUCUACACCGGACACACGCUCAAUCUCCCCGAAAGGAUGAUUUAUAUAGAAGAGUAAUGAUGAUUUUAUUUUAAGACAUGAAAUAGAUUGGAGUUCAUUUCGUGAAGUAUAUUGAAUUCGAAUUUGAAAUUUUUGGAUAUCCAGACACACGCUCUAUCACUAGAGCAACCUCGUUCGACAGUAUUUUUUAUUUUGUGGUUUUUGUUGUUUGAAACUUUUUCCCUGGUUUUUCUUUUCAUUGCAUGAUGGACACUUUGAUAACGUUGAUGACUUGAUUAUGAUUUAUGUUGUUAUGAGAGUGUCCGUCUUAGAACUUGUUCUUAUAUUUCGGUUAACUAUUUAGUUAUAGUUAUAAUUGCAUUUAGUUUGUUACUCAGAUUAUUAUUAAUUGGAUUAGAUUGUGUAGUGUAAUGCAUGCUUUAAGACGUACUACGCGAGUUAGUUUAUGUUGCAUGUUUGGGUUGAACUAGACUACUAGCAUUAACGAUGAGAACUUAAUUCCUAUAGUAGGCAAAAAAAUUGUAGUCUAAGAUUCAUCAAACCGGUCAAAUCGUGAACUAGUAUUUACCAAAAUGACUAGCACGAUCCUAAAAUAAUUAUAGUUUAAAUAACUGUUCAAAUAUAUGAUCUAUAACAGUCUAAUCUGUUUUAAUUAUUUAUCAAUUCGAUGUGACGAUACAAUUACGAAGACCAUGCUAACUACUAGCACUAACUAGGAGGACUAUUCCUCUAGUGGAUGCAAAAGUUGUAGCCUAAGGUUCAUAUAAAAACAACCCUAUAUAAUAUCCUUUCCCACAUGUUUUAAUAAACAUUUCUUUUUCCUGAAAGGAAUGAGUUAAGCCUUUUGAAGGUUUUUAAUAUUAUCGAAAAUCCUUGUUAAUGAGUUUUUAGGAAAUGGAUAGAAUAUAACAUUUAUGUCUUUUAAGAUAGUUUUUGGUUUCAAUCGUUUAACCCCAAAUUAAAUGAGAAGAGCUAGUCAGAUUUGAUAUUAUGAUACAUAGAAUACAACAUUCAACUUUUGAUAUAAUUUUUCCCUUUUGAUAUUUGAAAAAUUCGAUCAAGUGUUACUCUAAAGCUAGGAUUUGAUAUAAUUACGAACUAUAUUAAAUGUUGAAUGAUUACCAUGCUAAUAACAUCAAUUUCAAAACAAAACACAAUUAAAUACUAAAUUACACAAUUGUAAUUUUUCAUGAUUCAUAACCUUUCAGACAUACAAUAAACAAAAGUUUUAACUUUUGGACCAUAACAAAAGAGACCCCAAAAUCCGUCAUCACUAAUUUCAUCAGAUUUGGAUGUUUUUAUUGGCCGGCUUGGCAACGGGGAGGUUCGGGGAUGGUUAUGGCAUACCCAUUACCCAUCCACCUUUGUGGCGGUUAUUAACCAUAGUCAUCACCAUUUCUAUUUUGGUGAUAGAUUUCGUUCCAUCCCCAUACCCACCCGGUUACGGUUAUAACCGCUCCUCCUUACGGUUAACCACCGAUAUGCAAGAAAAAAAAGGAAUGAAUAGUCGAAAAUGCAUACACAUUCAUUCAUCUGAAAAUUUUUCAAAUCUAAUUCCAAACAAUAGUAACAAUAGCAUUCUAGAACACUAAAAGCACUUGUGACUUGUUCUUGAAAUUAAAAGCAAAAGUAUUGCGUUGGGACAUAGGGUUAAAAUGUAAGUGGGUUGAGACACUUAAAUGGUAUUGGGCUUUAUUGCUUUAAUAAUAUACAGGUAAAUAAAGGGUAAGUUACGGGUUGGGGAUGAUUAUGGGUAUGGUUACGGUGAUGCUAACCUCACCCAUUCGUAGCGGUUAACGGUUAUAACCAUAACCGCAAACCCAGUUAACGCGGUUAAUAACCGUCAAACUCGAUGAAGGUACGGUCAGUUUAACGGUUAAACGAUCAGGAUUGCCAACGCUAAAUGGUUCCAUAACAUCAACCCGAUUAGUUUGUUAUCUAACAUUUUUUUAAGAAAACCAUACUAGACUAAAAAACCGUUUCAAAAGUCCAAUUAGAAGAAGAGCGGAACUAGGGGGGACGAAUAUAAAUUACUGCUUAGGGUCUUUCAGUUUCAAAGUGACGAAAUCAUAGAUAACAUUUUCAUUUCAAAAUCGAAGUUAAAAAUCCUGCUCAGAGUCUCCGACCAUUAUGAUUCCACUAUCGUGUUGGAGAUUGAAAAGAGAAAAACAAGAAACAUUGAAAGGAAGAUGGGAGUUGGGGUUUGGUCUAGUCAUAGAUUGUGGCCAAAGCACAUGAUUCCCUCAACCCCCUCUCCAGUACCCUUUAUGCUAUGUUUCAACACACACAUAUACAUGGCAUAGCAUUGCACACCAAUGUUAACAUAUAUAUAUAUAUAUUUGAUUUGGAUUGGACUAUACGAGGAAAGGAGCAUAUCAAAAUCUGGUUCCUUAGCUUGGUUCUUUCAUCAAUUCGCCUGUGCUGGGAACAUGAUUUUGUCACCACUACUGUCUUUUUUUUCUGUUCAAGAGAGAUCAAUCAGACCAAUGAAACCGUGGGAUUUAGAUUGCUUUCUGAUCUUACUUACUACUGAUGAUGCUCUUCCAUCCGUAAGUCAGAAAGCCAGUACGGAUAUAUUAAUAAUAUUAAUAAUAUUAUUAUGCUAUAAACUAUUAAGGAGGAGACUUACCACAUUAAUUAAUUCCCCCAUAUUCGUUCGUUAGUUCCAGAAAACUGGCAAGCAAAGAAUUUGACGAUACAUGCAUGAAUACAACACCACCCCACGAGCAAAUUUGAUACCUUUUUCUGCAAUUUGACGAUGGGAUCAAUGCGAUGGAUACUCACAGUAAACACACACAAAAACGUCCGGAUGUAAAGUAAAGGACAACGUGUCCAGUUUGAAUCCACACUCAAGCCGAGGACGCUAAUAGAUAGAUGCACUACUCGGUCCAAACUAGUACCUUUUGUUUAAAUCCACCACAAAAUGAGCGUACGGCCACCUGAUCCAAGUCAACUUUUUUACUCAAGAGAGUCAACUCCAGCCAAUAAAAAGUUUAGAUUUGAACUCAAAACCUCCAAAUAUCGAUAUACUAGUAGACAACCUUAACUAAUGGGCUUUGGGCUAGGAGCAUUUGGAUAAAUGUCAUGCAUGAGGUAGGAUGCCCACAAGGGGAAGUCGGUGAUUACAGGUCUGGAUGGAUGACCUAAAGGUUUGAAGCGAAAUCAUAACGGCCAAGGACACGCGCGAUAUCAUUUUUACAUAUACCAAACAAGCCACAAAAGAUUCGGAUGACUGAGUUCAAGACAAACACGUCUCCCGAGUUUGUUACUACAAUUAGUGUCUACUCCUGCAAUCGCAAAUAGAUAACAUGAGCACGGGACACAAAGAUUUGUUCGACAUAAUUAUUCUUUGGAUGACGAGUCGCUGUCGAACUAGGGGUACCAAACCAACUAUUAUGUUAUGUUAUGACGAUACAUUACAUAUCACAAUGAGAAGCUCGUUACAAAUAUGCUGACGUAUUCCUUUACUAAAACAAACAAAACUCAUAAUGUCGGCUCCAUAAGUGUUUAGGCCAUAGCAGUUAUACACACGAUCUUAUUAUUGUCAAUCCUUAUCAACUUAAGCAGCAAUGACGAAAGAAUACAGAUACAGAGUUAGUUACCCCUAAAUGAACUCAGUUCCUCAAACCUUGAGGACAAAAACACAACUAUAGUCUAUAGGUACAAUAAGUCUGCACAUUUGACAAGCAGAUCAACAUGUGCACAGUAGGAAUUUUAUCUAUCAACUGCUUCCCACUGAUGAAGCAAUGGUGGCAAACGAAAUCAAUGAAUCGUAGAAGAAUAAACAAUGCAGAACAGUAGACGGAAAAUGUGCAGCACUGAAUUUUAAUAAAUUCAGUCGCAUUCCCUUCUCAGCUUGCGACUAAUCGAUUUAGCUUACCAGUAUCAGUUUCUAGGUAGGCAGGCAGGCAUGCUCAAAUAGUGAGACGACAGUUGCGGAGAUAAGGAUGAUCAUAUUUGAUGUACUUUGUCCAAUACGGCCUGUACUUUGUCAUUGCCAACUCGAGCCAUGGUUUCAUGUUGCCAUUAUAGUGAACAACCGCAGCACGCUCAAUCUCCCCUUUAUCGACGCUGGGAUUGUAACCUAGACCGAGCACAUGCCACGACUUCUCGAGAGGAUGUGUCAGGCCGUAAAAUGUUAUCAACCCUGGAGGAAGUGUCCCAAGCUUCCAAAGUACCCUAUCUUCAUUCUGUUACAAUACAAGAUAAGAGAUUGUUAUUAAAUAGCAUGGAAUGAGAAACAGAAGCUACAGAUGUAUUCAGCAGUCACAAAAACUCACCAUGGUUUGCCACUUAUGAUAUAUGCCUGUGAUAUCCUUCCUUUUCCAUUCUUGAAGAUCAAACAUGUUCAUACCAUAUGCCCAACCACAAGCAUUUGGAUCAAAGUUUCUAGCAAUAUGAGGAUUCGAAAAGUUAAGGUACUUGUCAAACCGGUGAAAGCUUUCACCACAAGUUUCCACCGCGCCAUUCACUUUUCCAUGCAGAUCUACAGACCACAGUCCAGUCAGAUCCUUCUGUACAACGAUGUCAUCAUCGAGGAAAAGGAUCUUGUCCAGUUUCGGGUAAACCUCUGGAAGAUAAAACCUUAGGUGGUUGAGCAUUGAAAGAUACUUGGGAUUUCGGUACUUCAGAUUCGAUGCACCAGCUGAAAGAGAUGUAGGAUGAUUUGCCUUGAAGUAAUACUCUUUCAUUGCAGAUGAUUCCAGCUGACGGAGUACAGGGCAGUAAGAUGAGUUAAGCCACUUAAACUCAUCUACAUUUUCAACAUGGAUAGUCGCCUUUCCAGGAGGGUUCAAAAGAAACCACAUGUUCAUUGCUCCAAAGUUUAAUUUAUCAGUAACAAGGUGAAAUACAUGUUUGGAAGGAUCCUGCAACAUUGGCAACCAGAUUUUUUUUAGCAAGCAGGCAAGUAGUAUGAUGAGUCAAGAUCUUGAGAUGUGAACACGAAUAGAAAGCAGCAACAGACAACAUAUCACCUUUGCAUUCAUAAUAGUUGAAUUGACAACGACUGAAGCUGCCAACACAUUGUCGGAGAAGAGGGCGUAAUGAUGCAAAUUUGGAUUUUCCAGAUUCUCACUUUGCGGGAACUUUCUCUUCUCUGGAGGAAGGAGAUAGUAGUCUAUUGUUAGGCGCAUAAAAAAGCAAUGAAUUCCAUUAGGAACCGUUUUUGCAGCCAAUUGACUCAGGAAUGUGCUCUGCUUUUUCAAGCUCCUAACUUGCUCGUCAGCUGUCUGGAGCAUUGCUCUGAGCUUGCCAGUGACCAUCUUACAAUCGUAUAAAUUUUCCCUGGCUUUCGACAGAACUUGCCCCAUGUUCUUAAUUUUCUCCGCAGCACUGCAACAGAUAGACAUGCAUCAGCCUCAUCACAAAAUGAAUAUCUAACAAACUGGGCAUGUGAACUGAAAAAAAUGGUUACAUUCAUCACGGCAGUUACCUCUGUUGUAGUUCAAAGUCAGCUGUUGCAUCACCUAUUGCACGAUGGCUCUCCUUUAGCCGAGUUUGUAGCUCCUGUUGCAAAUCAAGCUUGUUCUUCAUCUUUGCAAUACUGAUAUAUACCCUGGCCAUUAUCAUCUGAUCUCGAAUUAAGCGUACGGUUGAAUCAGCAUUCUCAUUGUCAAUCUCUUUCCGCCAUAUAUUGUAUUUACCCAGAACUGCAGAAUCAACUGAUUUAGAUCGUUCAAUAGCUGCAUUUUCGAGUUUUAUAGUUGCUUCAUCUCCAUGCCGGACCAAGUCAGCUGCACGCCUCUCACGUCUUUUUUCUCUUAGUUGCUGAACGAAAACAAAUAUCUAGUGUGAGGAAGUGAAUUUACAACUAGAAAUACCACAUUAGAACUCCAACAUCACCCUUCAUUUAUUGCUCAUGAUAGCAACAAUCAACAGAUAGAUAAGGACAUGAAGCUAAGAAACAAUAGUAAUUACCCUCCGACUAAGUUUUUCAGGCGAGACAAUGAAUUGAGCCUCAUCAUCUACAGGAAAUAAACAACAGAAGAAUUGAUCAGCACAUAAAAGUUGACCAAUGUGCAAAUAUCAGGUUACAAAAUUUUGAAUAUAUCACCAGACAGCUUGCUAUGUUUACUCUUCGGAGUUUCUGACUUGAUAAUAGUAGCUGAGUGCUUCUGCUUUACCUAAAACAUUAACAAUGCAAGCAGAAUGGGAAAAUCAGUGGUAAUAAUGAAGCAAUCUGUAUAUGGAAGGGAAUAAAAACCAAAACAAACUACAAAUUAUAAUGGAGAUAGUAACCUCAGAAAUAGAUGAAUUGUUAACUGAAGUUUCAGCUCCAACAAGAGUCCAUGAAGCAGACAAAUUGCUUCUUCUAAAAGCAUCAAGACUAAAAGGCCCCAAGUCAGCAGUAUUAGCGGUGAUCACAUCAAUGACCUAAAAGUUGAAUUCGACAAGAAUCUUAGGACUGAGUAUAAUGAAAGUUAAAUAUAAUGGUACCAAUUGCAGACUUGGGUUUACGGACUUUUACCCCACUUACAACAGGUUAUACUUACAUCCUUCGUGAAAAGGGAUUUAACGUGUUGUAAUGCGAGCCGUUCUCUCCAAUCCAGGUCCUAAAACAGAUAACACAGUUCUAUCUUAUGGGAUAGGGAGCAUGAAGCUAACAAGAGAGUACUACUGUAAGGGCUUCACACAAGUGUUACAAAUCAACGAUGACAGUAUUUGAGAAGCAGUACCUGCAUAGUGGAACCACUUCCAAGACUGGUUUCACCUGCAUGAGUAAUAAAUGUCACCAUGAAUAGCAGCGCCACAUCAAAGAUAUGUUAUCUAUACGACUCACUGAGGCAGGACUAAGGAGAUAACCAGCGUGCAUGAGAAAUGCAGAGUAAGGACCAUAAUGAUUGAUGAAAAUAGAAAGAGCAACGAAAAGGAAGAUAAAGGCCAUCGCAACAAAAACAAUACAUUCUGAGUUCUGAGUGCACUCGGUGCUUGCUCCUGAUAAAGAAUGUCAUGCUAGUUUGCAAAAACCAAACAAAGCACAGACCGCAGUGAAAGAACACCGACAUUAUAAAAGCAGUAACUCAAACAUCCAUACAAGUUAAAAAGAUAGGACACAAAGACAGUUCAUCGGCCUAUAUUCAACCGGUUUCAGUUAGAGUUCAGUCAGGCAGCAGAGCAAAAACCAAACGAAUCAAGCGACCAAAAACGAUAAGCUGAGGAGACAAACCUAACGGGGCGCCACUGCGGAGCCGGGGACCAACAAAGAACAUCAAGGCUAGCAAGAGCGAGAAGCUGAAGGAGGAGAAAAUAAGCGUGACCGGAAAUCGAGAUCCGCCACCACCGACGCCUCGAUUGUUUCGACUCCCGGACAAUCCCUUCCUCAGAGCCAUUGGCGGAAGAAAAGGAAGAACGGGGAGACCUCGAUCUGAUGAAAAAUUGGAUUCAGCUGCUGCCAAAAAACAAGACUUAAGAGACUUAAGAGACUAGAGAGUGUGGUCGUCGAUUGCCAUUACAACACAAUGCUGCAAUGCUUUUCGAGUGGGAUGUAUGGAAGAGAGAUGAAAGUUGAAUCUCGUUGAAACAAUUGCUCCGUCCAGCUGCAAAUGAUCUCGCUCGCUAUGGAAGAAAACGCAGGGAAAAUCGGGAAGAAUCUCUGUUUCUGAAUCUUCCACCCUUUUUUCCUGCUCUCACUGAAUGCUACAGCCGUUCUUUCCCCUUGAUUUUGCUUUUCUGCUUGCGAAUACGAUAAGCAUUCAUCUACUUGUUAAAAGUUAAUUCAGCUUUAAAAAAAAAACAAAAUUUAAAAGUUAAUUGGCAGUGCUUUCCAUUUCCAUUUUCAUUUUCAAUUCAAUAUCCUCUUUUUUCCUUCCGCUAAAAUAAUAUAUAUCCGCCUUUUUCUGGAGAUUAGAGCCGUAAAAUAUAUUUUAUUCCUUCUUUAAUAAAUUGUUCUUCCAUAAAAAUAAAAUAAAUUGUUCUAAAAAAGGGAACUAACUAACAUUCGUGCUGCCGACAUGCAAAGACGACGUCGUUCUCUAGCGCCAAACAUAGAAGAAAUAGUGUAUAUAAUAUAAUAUAAUAAUAACUCAAAUAUUAGUGGUCAUAGAAUCAUAUCCAAUUAUAGGUCUGAAAUGUGAAUUUUAACAAAAAAUAGAAUAUAUAUGAGCAUCUUAUCCAAUUAUAGGAACUCUCUGUAGAUGUGAGUCCGAAUCCACGAGACAGUAGCUUGGCCAUAAGGUUAUGAAGGUGUUUCAGGAGGACAAAGCUUAAACUAACAAGUAAAUACCAAAACACACACAUAUCCAAAGCUUUUCAUGCAUCGGCAAGUAUCCAUCUACUCUUCAAUAACAAGACUUUUGAAGCCCUAGAUCAAUCUAACAAGAUUUUCUCAAUAACUGUUAGAAAUACACUGAUCAUUGUACGCUUCUGAUGCAAGGACCACACCCUCAUUUAAACAAAACCACAAAGAGUGCUCCAUUACAUAAUUGCCACAUCCAGAUAAUCUCCAAUCUGCAACAAAGUAUUAAAACCCAAGUUUCAGAAAAUGGUUAAGACAAGAUAGCUACAUAUAGUGGGAGGGAAGCAAGCAUCUUUCAUUACCUGGAAGCCAAUUUCAGCCAACGCCUUGUUAUCAUCUAACUUCCCGAUCCGGUUAGAGUAAGUCUUCCCAACCUAAGCGGAAAAACAGUAAUCAUUCAUGAUCAUUGAGCACCAUUACCAGUUGUCUAACAUCUAUAAGUUUCGUCCAGAGCUUCCAAAGACGAAUAGGAGAAUAAAUUGUGAAGCUGAAAUCUGGAAAUGGAGGGAGAGAACAAUGGAGACCAACCUCUCGCACCACAAAACGGCCAUUCUUAUCUGGAUAGGCAAAAGCAAAUGACAGUAGUGCAUCUCUUCUCCUUGCUGCCGGAGCCACUUCUUUGACCUGCAAGCAAAUAACUUGCACAUAAAUAUGGAGAGGCCAUAACUUCCUCAAAAAGGCGUGCAUGUUACAUAGGAUAGCAGCGAUUCAGUAAUAUCAAGAAAAGAACUCUGGCCCAGAUCCGAAAGUACAUGACCUUUUUGUAAUCCAACGUACCCUCCCAAUACCGAUUGCUCAGGUACAAAAUCUAAUUGCAUACAGUAAGCAAAAGAGCUCCCUGAAUCAACCCCAGAAUAAACAGUUUCCUAAAAGAUGAGCCAAACUAACUGAAUGUUCCAGGAGAUUGCACAUGGAUCGCCCCAAUGACACUGAAUGAUAGAUCAUCAUACACUAGUUCACUACAUAUUGAGCAGUGAAAACUACUUCUGAUAUUUCUGACUAAAAUCUAAGAGCAAAUGUUCGAAUUGAAGUGAAAGCUAUAUAACAUACUCUCCGACGCAGAUCAAGUCAAAGGGAGCUUUAUAACAAUCAGCCAAAACCAAAAACAUUUUUAGUUCUCAGAGACAACUGAUGCAUACCAAAUCAGUCAAUUCACGGAGAGUUGCAUCUUUCCAUGUAUAGAUUUGAACCUCGUCCUUGGGCUCCUUGCCUCUAACUUGGAAUUCUUCUUUCCCGUGAUGACCUCCAAUCUGCAAAUUAAUGACAAGUUUAACUAUAUCCAGUAGAGUGUAAAUGAAAAGAAUCAUGGAGAAUGCCCUAAAGAUAGCCAACAUCAUACCUUGGUGAAAACCCGAAGCAGCAGAGGACAUGUCUGCAGUUUCACAACAGAGUCAAAAUGAAUUAAGAGUUAUACAUAUCAGCAUUUCAAAGCUCAACAGUACCAGACCAAUAUAUUUCAGUAUUAACCAGACUGUAUAAACCCUAACGGCUCCAAGACAUAACUUUGAGAUUACCUUCUCGCGAUCGACGGGAGGAAGAGGAGGCGGGCCUCGGGAAAUCGGAGGUCCCCUAUUACCAGGCGGCGGCAUCGGUCUCCCUCCUUGUCUCCUCGGUGGUUCUGCCAUUCCCGCCAUUAACGUCAAAGAGAAGCUUCUGCCGUUCUUCGCCUUUUACCUCUACAAACACUCGUCUUGCACUUCAGUUCCUUCGGCCUGGCUGACGGCUGUAGUGAACUUAUAAUAUAAAUAACCGGAGGAGUUAACCGGUUGCGAGCUGGUUAGGUUACUUGAGUAAGAACCAAUACGGCAAAACUAACUUGCGUUUUAAGUCCACAGAAGAAUAGUAAGAAGAGAAGAUUGAAUAUUAAUCGACACUUUUAAAUCUCUAUCCUUCUUGAACGCUAGCUUCAGAUCGCCAUCGAACUCCUUGCAUCGUCCGGACGAACUCGCAGGCAGAUCGCCGCCGACGAAGUCUCUGAUCCGUUCCACCAGCCGCGACGCCGACUGCUGACCACGCUCUACGCUUCGAGGUUGGAUAUAAGGAAACUAUCGCAUCACAUCUGACUCCAAAUGAAAUACUUGGAAAGCUGUACUAUCCAGUCAUCAUUAACAUUUUGUUUGCAGAAAACCACUGCGAUCGAUCUGGAUUGGGUUCUCUAAGAAUUUGAGUUGCUCGUCGCAGAACAAAAAGGAAGGGAAGAAGGACAGUUGAAGAGGAAGAUCCAGGUGGAUAUAAAAUGGCGAUGGAGGACGUGCCCUUGGACGACAAGGCGAAACGAAUGAGAGAUCUAUUGUCGAGUUUCUACGCUCCAGCGGAUCCUUCAAUGUCCACCGAUAGUCUCCCGAGAGGUGCUUCCUUAGACGCCAUCAACACAACUUCAUUUGAUGCAGAUCAGUACAUGAAUCUCCUGGUACUUCCCGAUCUAGUUCCGGUUUCUUAUGAACUUAAUUUAGUGUUUGGACAUUUCUAUGAAUCUCCUAGUACUUUCCAGUCUAGUGUAGUAGUGUUUUCGAAUAAUAGUUGGGAAUUUUAAUGCGACAUGGCUGAAAGUAAAGUUAUUAUGUCGAUUUUGAAGUGUACUCGGGCAGUUGACUUGGUUUGGAGUUACCAAUUAGGGUUGUCAUUGAAGUUGGAAACAAUUGUAUGUGAUCGCAGGUGCAAAGGUCCAACUUAGAAGGGCUUCUGCAAAGACAUGUUGAAAUGGCAGCUGAAAUAAAGAAUCUGGACACUGAUCUGCAAAUGCUAGUCUAUGAAAAUUACAACAAGUUUAUCAGUGCUACUGAUGCAAUCAAGAGGUAAUUUUUACAUAACCAUCAAGUUAGUGCUUCCUGCAUGGUAGUUUUGAGUUUUGACCCAGCUAUGACUUGGUUCAAAGGGAGAAAGUUUUUUGCCCUCUUGUCAUGUGAUUCGAAACUGUGAAGUUUAUUAUAAAGUAUUCAGUGGAUUAAUUUCGUAACAGGAUGAAGAGCAACAUUGUGGGCAUGGAAGUAAACAUGGAGCGAGCAGCUCCUUAAUAAGGUAUAUAUAUUAAGUAUGUCUGUAUGUCCAUAAUAUGUAACUGUGAUUUAUGAACUGUUGCAUACACCAAUUAUUCUAGAUGAUUUCAGUGCAAUCAAGGAGUGAUGGAGUUAACACUUCUCUUUUCGAAAAGAGAGAGCAUAUAGAGAAAUUGCAUCGCACUCGCAACCUCCUUCGCAAAGUGCAGGUAUUCAGAGCUAUCCUGCCGUAGGAAUGUUGCUACUAUCCUAAGGUAGCUUCCGCCCUGAAGUUUGCUAAAUUGUAUUAGUUGUAGGGAGUUACCUGUUCUGUGAACUUCCUUUUGAAUUAUUGUCAGAUCAGUUAAUAGUUAGUCUUGUAUAUGAGAAAUUUUAGAUUGUACUGUGCUGGGUAUGGACAACAAAAACUUGAAUUGUGGGGGUUUCCAAUUGAAAAAAUCUGUUGGUAGCCAACCAACUUUAACAUAAUUCUUGUUAUAUUUAAAUGCAUGCUUAUUUUCUAUGAGUAUUGAGAAUGUAAAACACUAAAACUUGGUACUUGAUAGAAAAAAGAUGAUGCACCAAUCAGUAGUUAGUUAAAACUUGUCUACUAUGUGUGUGUUUUUUUUGGCUGGAUGUUACCUUGCCCUUGCUAUGUACGUUUAUGCUCAUCAAAGCUUUCGUGUUGCUGUAAUAAACAGUCUUAAUCACUCUCCAUAUCCUUUUGUUCUUGAGUUCACAUUUGCUUGUGGAUAAUUCUUAAAAUUCUUUAAAAAGCUUCCCUUAUAUUAUUUGUAGAGGGAAAUUGCUCGAGGCAACUUGCUCGUGAAUUGUUCCUCUUUGUUCAUAAAGGUACUUGAUCUCAGUGUUUUUAGCAUCUCUUCUUGGGUAGGUUAGUUUCUCAUAGAUACCUACGAACUGCAGGAAUAAUAUGGAGAGAUGUCCUCCUGAUUGAUGAAGUAUUGCCAGAGGCUUUGCUACAUGAUUACUGUUUCAAGGUUAUGAAUAUUUUGUUCUGAAGUAACAGUAUUUUCCAGUUUCUCCAAGUGAAUUGGCCUGUAUAUCAAUUGAGUUUUGACAAUCCACUCUUCUGCUGAAUGUUCACAUAUGGUUCAGGUAUCCCAGAACGCUAUCAAACAGUAUGUUUCAAGCAUGUUUGCUCAUCUUUUAAAUGAUGUCUCAGGUAUCUGCUACAGCCCAAACACUUAGUUCCACCAUUAGUUUUAUUGCAAGUCCUGUGGAAGUCAGAAAUUUUAGUCUUAGCUUUGACGAUGACAAAAACCUACUGUCUUCAUAGCCAAGGCUAUUUAACAAGGUUGUUAGAUCUGGAAUCCUCAAACGCACAACAAUGUUAUCUUACUGGUUACCUCUAUUUCUUAGAUAGUUCCAAGACUUGAUUCUUGUUAAUUUCGCAGAUGCUCUGACAGAUGUCCAUGUCACCAAAAAGGAGGCGCUAGAAGAAAAUCCAUUGCAGGUUGCUAUGGAAGCCGGCAAAAAUUCAUUGCUCAAAGGAAGCAUGGUUGUGUUACUGGUAAUUCUUGCGAACUCUGAAGAUUUCCGUUGACCAUGUGUGCAGGAGAGAAUGUUUUUUAAUUUCCUUAGUGUUAUCUCUUCUAAUGUUUGUUGAUAAGUUUGGGGUACCUUGAAGUCUGCCUUCAUGCACGCCUCCUUGUCUGUGUUGUUUAAAUUCAUUGCUAACUCACAUUUAAACAAAGUUGUUCAUAUUUUUCCUUCAUAUAGAUUUUCAUGUGUGGAUCUAUUAUUCUUAUCCAGCUCCACUUUCUUGUUCGAAUAUUUAUGAUAUAGGGCUUCCGUCAACUUCUGGAUGACAACUUAGAUCUGCUAGUCAAACAAAGGGAACUGAUGGUUGACUGGAUUCAAGAAGGUUUUCAACAGUUCUUUGAGGCAUUGGAUAGUCAGUUUCUUUUGCUUUCCGGAAGAAAUAAAUCCAUCCCUCAAGAAUACAGUCCACGAGAGGGGUUACAAGCUGAAAAUGUGCUUUCGGGUCUUGUCUUGGUUUUGGCUCAGCUUUCUGUUUUUAUUGAACAAACAGCAAUCCCUAGAAUUGCAGAGGCAAGAGAUCUUUUUCUAGCUCAUGUUGAUUCUUCCUGCAGCUGAUAAUUCAUAUGUGGACGUGUGAUAUAUGCUGUGUAUCUUACCUCAAUACAAUCAUCUCUAGGAAAUUGCUGCUUCUUUCCCUGGUGGUGGUGCUUGGCGAUAUGAACAUGGACCGGGGUUUCUUCCUGCUGAAUUGAGUCGAGUCUUUCGGUCUAGCAGUGAGAAGUUUCUGCACCAUGUAUGACUUUAAGCUUUAUCUGAUUAUAUUAUCAGCCGUUACUUGACUUUCUACUUUACUCUGUAACUAGUGUAUUAAACCAUUUUCUUAUUUUUUAUCAUGCCGAAAACUUCCACUGCGACAAUAUGUUUCUUCCUGUCAUUUAGAAGCUGCUUGUUAAGCCCACUUGUUCCAGCUUACAUCACACUGAAUAAAUAUAUCAGUGUCAUAAUAGCUUACUAUUUGAUAAUAUCUAAAUAUAAAUUUAUCUAUUAUAUAUGUAUCUGCACUUCUGCUUGGAAACUUACUGGGAAUCUCGUUUCUGUGUCAGUUUAUAAAUAUGAGGACGCAUCGAAUAUCAGUUCUCUUAAGGAAAAGGUUCACCACUCCAAAUUGGAUCAAGGUUGGUCUUCUGCCAUGUUAUUGAAUUUUAUACUAGAACUCGGAUUACUUUCUGAUUCUUGACAUAUCUCGACUUUUUGCAGCACAAGGAGCCACGGGAGGUUCACAUGUUCGUUGAUUUAUUCCUUCAGGAGGUUUGUGCACAUUGAGCAUAGUCUUAGUAAUUUCAUGAUUAGUAUAAAUCUGGAGACCUCCUCCCGUGACUUGAAGAACCUGCAUAUGGUUUUUGUUUCCCUUGGCAGUUGGAAGGAGUAGGAACUGAAGUUAAACAAAUUCUCUCUCAAGGAGUCUGAAAGCAUCGCCGAUCUGAGAGCAAUGGUAGCACUACCUCCUCUCUCAGCAAUUCAUUAAGAGACGAUAAACUAAAAAGGUCAAGUACACAAAGAGCUAGGAGCCAGCUUUUGGAAACCCACCUAGCAAAAUUGUUCAAGCAGAAAGUAGAAAUUUUUACCAAAGUCGAGUGUACGCAGGUAUGCACCUUUGUUUGAGACGCAGGUAUGCACCUUUGUUUACUCUCAACUGUUUAAUGGCCACUUCUCCUGUCUUAUCAUGAGAAACAAUCGUUUCAAUGCAACUUGCAGGAGUCUGUUUUGACUACCAUCGUAAAACUCGGGCUCAGAAGCUUGCAAGAAUUUGUUCGACUUCAGACUUUAAAUCGCAGUGGAUUUCAGCAGAUUCAGUUGGAUAUUCAGUUUCUAAGGACUCCUCUCAAGGAACUAGCUGAAGAUGAAGCUGCCAUCGACUUUUUGCUUGAUGAGGUAACUAGUUACCAACUUGGGACUCCAUAAAAGGUUCCAUCUCUCCUGGCAUCGAAGACUGAUGCAACAUUUGGUUUGGUAUCCUGAUAACGGACCAAAUUCCAGCAAUUGAUGUUUAAUGAUUGCUUGUCGAUUGUAAAUCAGGUGAUCGUCGGUGCUUCAGAUCGUUGUCUCGACCCAACUCCAUUGGAACCGCCUAUUUUAGACAAACUGAUACAAGCAAAGAUGGCUGGAUCAAAGGAUCAAAGUUCCAGUUCUUCCUAAACCCAGCCACUAUGAAUUGGGGGUUCGAUUAUUUCCAUUGUGAGAUAAAAAAGCAGUAAACAAUCUGUUGAUAUUCGUUCUUAGCCACUUGCGUUGCAGCCAAAAUGCUUCCCCAGUAUGUCUUUCGUUAUAACCAUGUAUUGAGUUGUGCUGUAUCACUGUUGAUUCUGUUUCUACUUUCCCCAUAUUGUUCGUUUCAUGGUUGGUGACAUUUGGUUCUAUCGCCUACUGAUGGCCCCAUACCGUUGGGUCACGUUAGAAUUCAGAUAGGCCUAUGAGAUUGUCCGGAUUAUGCUCAAAGUUUCAUGUACUGCAAAGAGCCAAAAAUGUCGGGAGAUGGAGCGUUCCAGGAGCAUACAUUGAUGAAGGCGGCAUAGGAAUAUGCAUUGCCUCUUUGGAGGAGAAUAGUGGGUAAAGGCCAAAUCCAACCUCCAGAACCGUUGGCGCACGAACGACCAUAGAUUUGUGAGAGUUGCUUGGAUGAGUCGAGUAGGCUUCGGCUUCUGGAAGAAGGAACGAUCUCGGCCGACUGCUACCGGAGUAGAAGAGAAGGCGAACAAACAAGAAGAUUCGAAAGUAUAUUGUAUUGAUUGGAUGAGUUACUGAUCCUUUAGUUUGUUUGUCUAUAAUAGUUUACUUUGUUCCUCCCGGUGGACUAGCUGGACCAAUAGAGUAUGGUUCGACCUGGAGGGUCGAUUGUGAAUAGACUGAGCGAGCUUCCCCUUAUUUGAGACGUCUAUAAGCUAUGUCCGUCGUAAGGCGGAAAAGGGAGGGUAGUAAGGGAGAGCAUUGAGGGGGCACAUAAGAAGAAGAAGAGACGCAUGUUCUUUGUUGCUUUCUAUUCCACCCUGAAAGAUUAAGAUAAUUUUAUUUAAGUGAAUUCGUAUCCGUUUUAAUUAAUACUCAUUUGUUGGUGAAGUAGAUGUCAACAUUGAAAUUGGACAAUGUUAAGAUUUUUUGCUUAAAAAUAUUGAAAAUUAUAACUGAUUUUAAGUAAAUGACGUCUAUACGAAUGCGGUAUAAACGGUAAUAUAUUGAUUAUUUGAAAUUUUUUCGAUACCGUAAUUAUCAAUAUAUUUCAAAACCAUUCAUGCUCCACUUAUUUAAGUUUCUCAUCAACCCUAACCUAAUAUGUACUCUCCUCCAUUUUUUUUCUUUUUGGUUGUCACCGCCUAUUCCUUAUAAGAAAUCGAGAUAGCAUUAUUUAAGUGAUUUUUCCGUCGUCGCCUAUUCCACAAUAAGAAAUCCAGAUAGCACUAUUCAAGUGAUUUUUCCACCACCGCAGCCAUCUAGUCCAACAUAAGAAAUCGAGAUAGCACUAUUCAAGUGAUCUCUCCACCUCCGCCGCCAUAUAAUCCAGCAUAAGAGAUCGAGAUAGCACUAUUCAAGUGCAUUCGCGUCAGCUCUAACUCAUACUUGUUUGUUCGUGAAAGUAUAUGUCAAUUUCGCAAUCUUGUGAUAGUUACGUGACGAAAAAUGUGAAUUAGCCUUUGAUUUGUUGUAUCAUGUAUGGCCAUGGGGUCCUAAUUAAUUAGGACAACAAACCAAAAGCUGUUGUUGGUGUGACUGCAAAAAGGACAUCCUUCUCUUUACCAGAAUUUUCGUCCUAAUUCCUCGAUGGAGCUUAGUCUUCCUUUAGCUAUGGAGUCCAAGUCAAGCGACUCAGCCUCCACGUUUCAAGUCAGUAAAAACUUCCUCUGCAUUCGUUUACUCUUGACAUGGCCUGAUUCUGCUGGUGAUCUAAUAACUGCUUGGAUGAUGUAUGUGUUUGUAAACUCUUGGUGAUCUGAUCAUUACUAAAUAGCUGAAAUUGUUUCUUACGAGCUGGGUUUUCUUUGGAAUGGUGGAUUAUUUUCACUGAUCGUACGAAUUUACUUCCUUUGUUGUUGUUUUUCCAGUGUUCAUAUGAUCGUACGAAUUUACUUUCACAGGAAGAGGAAGCUAGUGGUGGUACUGGCAACCUCAGGCACAAGUUGAAUAAGCUGUUGAAGGAAAUUCAAGACGAAAGAGUUGAGUCUGUGAAAGUAAGUCUUUCAAUUCAAUCUAGGAUGGAUGUGAUUGAGAUUUUUUUGGAGAUUUGCAAGAGUUUGAUUAGGAUGAUCUGUGUGAAGCCCUGGUUCAUUUGUUUGAAUAUCUCUCUUUAACCCACGGAUAAUAACCUACCUACCUUGCAUGAACUUUACAGGAGAAAAUGGAGAAGAACCAGAAGAAACUGGAGAAGGAUAUGUCUAAGCUUGUAUUAGCAACGUCAUCAUACGCAGAGAUGCAAGGAGUUUCCGCUGCAAUCUCGACGAGAAUUAAAGAUCCACUGUAUGCAUACAGUGGAUUCGUUCAAGGAGCAGGAGAUAGAGAGAAUUGUAAUGGUCAGGAAAGUCUUCAGUGGACAAACACGAAGCUUCCUUAUGUUGAGAAGAUACCAAAGUAUACUAGUUGGAUAUAUCUACACAGGUAUGCCGAUCUCGACAAGAAUAUCAGUAAUGAAUUGAGUAUAUCUUAAGCUUCAAGUGUUUGCUUUUUUGAAAAUUCCUUCUUCGUUUGUUAGGCAAUUUUUAGCAACUAAUAUAGAUCCAUUCUAUUUAUUUUGGUUCUCUGUUGUAUGAUUCACUAAUUUGUUCUUCAUUGCUCUAGGAAUCAGAAAAUGACUGAAGACCAAUCCGUUGUUGGGAGAAGGCGAAUAUAUUAUGAACAGAAUGAUGGCGAGGCACUCAUCUGUAGCGACAGCGAGGAAGAGACUGCAGAACCUGAGGAAGAGAAACAUGAAUUCACAGAGGGACAAGAUCGUGUUAUAUGGUAGGUUCAACUAAGAUAUUCCCUAGUCCAUUCAAUCUUGUGAAGUAAACAUGGUAUACAUUCCAUCCUAAUAUGUCAUGGAAUUAGCUUUACUGUGGUUUGAUCUCUUGUUGUAGAAUUUGAAUAUCUUCUGAUUUUUUUGUAGGACUGCCUUUCAGGAAGGUGGAUUGCUAGACAGUGUCGUCGACCUCGUUAGCCAGAUUAUUGGAGUCGGUGCUAUGGAGAUCAGGGUGCUGACAUUUAUUUAAUCCAACUGGCAUGAGCUGGUUUCCCUUUGACACUGCUCAUGUUUGGGAAAGGCCCCUUUUCGUAUUCGUUCGGCUAAACUAUGUAUAGUAUUUGAGUUUGGCAGGACAGAUGUAGCUUUCUCAAUGAGAAGUUUGCAAGGGACCAGAAUCUGAAGAAUGUUAGGGAUCCAGGACAUGCUAGGGGGAUCAACUUGGAGAAGAGCCUUAGUGCUGCUCUGGAUUCUUUCGAUAACCUUUUCUGUCGUCGUUGCCUGGUAAAUUUUCCUUUAUCCCUCUCAAAAUGUCACAAGAUUGGACUAUAAAUAUGCUUUCCUUUCUUGAUUUCCUUAAUUCAUUAUAACAGGUAUUUGAUUGCCGUCUGCAUGGCUGUUCUCAACCUUUGAUUACUCCAGUAAGUAUUGACGAAAGAAUAACUAAGAUGAGAUUAAUAUCUCCUAUAAGGAUUAAACACAAGUCAGGGGCUUCUGUUGUCAGAAUGAAAGGCAAACAUAUUUCCCGGCGAAUGAAGAUGACAAAAAACCUUGUGGCAAUCAAUGUUACCUUCAGGUAUGAUUUUUCCAUCCUCAACGUCUCUCACAGAACUGUGCCAGAUCACUGAUUUUAAGUUAUUAUCCUACCUCUGAAGUCCUUUAGGUAGGCAUCUGAAUCAGCAGAUUUCAAUUUCAUGCAACAAUGAUGAUAACUAAAAGGGGAGAUCAUCCUAAAGCACUUUUGGCUGUGCAGUUAGUUUGUUUUGUGUGCUGUGAAAAUCGCAUGUGCUCUGCUAUUUAACAUCCUGCUAGUUGUGUAUUAUAAAUCUUUGUCUCUAUUUGUGCAAAUUCACAAACUAAUCUCAAGCUUAAUGGCUUGCAGCUAAGAGUUGAAGACUUUCCUGAACAUGGGACGAAAGAUAGAGGGGAAAGAGGAAAGAGCCUAAUCACCUUAGGUGAUGGGCUUCCAGGUGAUACCGAUGGCGAUGCAGGACUUGAGGAAAGUCAAAGUUCUAUGUGUGAAAAAGGGACACUUGUUCCUUCAGAAGCUACUUGUGAUCCAGAAACCAGUCCCAAAACUCGGCAUGCGGAUGUCUCUGAUAUAGAUGAAGGCAUAGAAGGCACUCAGAACCUGAAGCGCAAGGCUACGCCUCAGACUUAUAAAGAAGCAGCCACGUCAAUGCAGGCUGCUUUUGAUUUUCAUGAUUCUUCAUGCAAGAAGCAGAAAGAAUCAUUUUCUGGGGACAUAAUUUCAGGGAGAGAAAGUGUUCCUACUGUCGAUCUUGGUUCUAGUACUAAAACUGCAACUGAUAUGAUUAAUGAUAAUUCACCCUCUGAAUGUACAUUGAAAGAGGUUUUUUCAACUGGUGCUGAGAAAAUUACUGGAGCUGGGCAUAAAAAAGUGACAAAUAUUCUGGAAAGGGAUCAUUCAAUCUCACCAUUAAAGUGCACUAGUACGACUGAGGUAGAUGUUGGACUUAAGCAUAAGAAAGUCAAUGACGUGCCAAGGAUUCAGGCAAUGUCACCAGCAAAGAGCACUGUAUGGAGAACUCUUGAGAAAGAUCUAUACUUGAAAGGAGUUGAGAUGUUUGGAAAAAACAGGUUAGACCAUUCUUGAUUUGUGGAUUCAGCAUCUUUACUGUCACUUGUGCUCCACGAUUCUCUACGUUGAAGGUGUAAUUGCUGCAGUUGGCCAGAGACAGAGCUUCAUACCCAUAUUUUUUCUAGGCGUAAACUUUAUCCGUGCUAUGUCCAAUGACAUCCAUCUAAAGGAUUAUCUAUGUGAAUUAAGGCGAUGUCUCGCUGAUUAUCCAUAACUUCCACUGUUUCUAAUUUAACCCUGUCUGAAGUCUAGUCGGCAGUAUUGCUUUACUUGUUAUCUUGCUUUAAUUGCUAUGUCCUGUUCUGUUUGUUAUUUCUUCAUUUGCAGUGUUUUGUCAUGUUUUGCUGAAGUUCGUAUUGACAUUUCUGUAUGUGGCAGUUGCCUUAUAGCAAGAAACUUGCUCUCUGGUUUCAAGACUUGCAUAGAGGUGCACAAAUACAUGUGUGAUAGUGGUGCUACAGUGAAUAACAGAUCUCUUGCACGAAGUUCAUCUUCAGAAGAUAACGGGGUUACUGAUGCAGAUUAUAUGGUAUGCACUUUAAUAGUCGAGGAACAAAGUUCAUCUUCCAGAUUUUAAAAUCAUGGCAUCCGUGGUCUGUUAUAAGUAGUACUACUCACUAAAUGAUGUGUUCUUUUGGAGGAAAAUAUAUGAAGUAUAGAUAAUAAGUGAGCCUCUAACUUGGUGUUCAUUCUGCAAGUUCUUUAUCCAUCUUCUCAUUGAUGUGAUCUGUUCACUAUCGAUUUGCUUUCACAAUGGUCAUCUUUAGUUUCUUGUUCAUAUUCUUUGGGCAAGCAUGCCGAUUUAGUCAGGCCUCAUUUUCCCCUUAAUUCAUUCCUCUUUCCUUUGUUUUUGGAGCAGGAGAUGCCAGCAAGAACACGAAUCUUCCGCCGGAAAGGCAGAACUCGUAGGUUAAAAUAUUCGUGGAAGUCUUCUGGCCAUCCAUCAUCAAUGCGGAAAAGAAUUGCUGAUGGAAAAGACCAGUCAUGUAAGCAGUAUACACCAUGUGGGUGCCAACCGACCUGUGGAACACACUGUCCAUGUUUAGAAAAUGGGACUUGCUGUGAGAAAUACUGCGGGUAUGUCGAUAAGUUUCCAGUGCAAAGUACCACUGCACUUUAUAAUAAUCGUGUGGAAAAUUUCAAUUAGCAUGCUGUACUUCAUGCAGAUCACAGCUAUUCAGAAGAGUAAGCAGUAUAGCUUAUUCACUUGGAAAUCAUUAAUUGUUUGUGAAAAAUUUCAGGUGCUCAAAAAGCUGCAAAAAUCGGUUCAGAGGAUGCCAUUGUGCCAAAAGCCAGUGUAGAAGUCGACAAUGUCCAUGCUUCGCAGCAGGUCGUGAAUGUGACCCAGAUGUCUGCCGCAAUUGCUGGGUUAGGUAUGUCUACGUACUAGCAUGUGAAAAUGCAUAGAUUUUUCUUCAGCAUGUUGAAUGAUUCUUCUUUGUUUGUUGAUGCAGUUGUGGAGAUGGUUCGUUGGGAGAGCCACCGAAAGGAGGGGAUGGUCAGUGUGGAAACAUGAGGCUGCUUCUCAGGCAACAACAAAGGGUAACGCAAUUUCUAGAUUAUCUUGGCAGAGGCCGACGUUGCUAGUUGAGUAGCUUGACAAACAAUCUGAAGCUCGUUUCAGAUUAUCUUGGCUAAGUCCGACGUUGCUGGCUGGGGAGCCUUCCUAAAGGUUAGUUCUUUACAUAUUCCACUUUGCACUUUGGUCCUCUGUUAGUGGUUCUUUUGUAAAUAGGUGUGAAUGAAAUGUAACUUCAGAAUUCCGUCAAUAAAAACGACUACCUUGGAGAAUACACCGGCGAACUGAUCUCGCACCGAGAAGCAGAUAAGCGAGGGAAAAUCUACGAUCGUGCCAACUCUUCAUUCCUUUUCGACUUGAACGAUCAGGCAAGUUCCGGUUCCUGUUCCUUUAGGCAUUUUUCCUUCAUCUGAACUAACAUUCACAUCCGUAUUGUGUCUCCUCAGUUUGUCCUAGACGCUUACCGCAAAGGAGAUAAGCUGAAGUUUGCGAACCAUUCAUUGGAUCCGAAUUGCUACGCUAAGGUAAAACAAAAAGCCUUCCAAUCAAAAUCACCUGUGAAAUGACUUUGUAUUCAUUCACCCAUCUGUGCAAAUGUUCCAGGUAAUGCUGGUGGCCGGAGAUCACCGAGUAGGGAUUUUCGCGAAAGAGAACAUCAAUGCGAGCGAGGAGCUGUUCUAUGAUUAUCGUUACGGACCUGACCAGGCACCGGAAUGGGCCAGGAAACCAGAAGGGGAAAGUUCAAGUGCAGCCUCCCAAGGGAGAGCAAAGAAGCACCAAUCUAGUUGAUGCCAAUCAUAUAUAUCUCUAUAGCCAAAUUUAAACAGAAUAAAAAAAAGAUAAAUAAUAAUACGUCCAUAGAGCCACCAGUUAACUCAGGAAAUAAGGUCAUAACAUUAUCCAAAUUUGGCUAAAUUUAAGAUUAUUUUUCUAUAUAUUAACAUGAAACCUAAUGAUUAAUUAAGUGUUGCUCAAUAUUGAUCUUCAGCCUUCCAACAUUCCAAGUGAUACAUAAUCGACAGUUGCUUGAUGUUGUUAAUUUUUUAAUGGAGAUAAAUGUGUUUAUUUUGUAAUGGUUAGCUUGUACGAUCGAGAAUGGAGUACAUCUUGUGUUUUGUAACCAGUGUCUGGUCUUUGUACGAGCACCUGUCAUAAAGGAAUCGACUAUUACUAUCGGUGAUUAGCAUUCGAACUAUCUAUUAGCAUUAGAACUCUAUUUUAAUUUCAUUGGGCAGCCAGAAACAACAUAAAUACAGUGUUUUUGUUUUACAAGAACAUCCAUGAUUAACAAAUUUAUUCAUAUGUCACAACUCUAUAUAUUUAGAUCUACUACAUAGUAGCAUUGGAAGAAUAUUUAAAAUAAAAAAAGGGGGGAAAUUCAAAUAUUGCCUAAGAUUGUGAUCAUUAGAUUUUCAUACAAGUUGCGAUGCAUCUAACAGAAUCAGAGGCUUGAAUCUUAUGAACCAAGUGAGUCCCAGCAGCAGCAUCAGGUAAACCAAGUAAAUGAUUCAAUUCCUUGGAAGCAAGCGCUUGGUAAUUGGGAGUCCAAUGAAGAGUUCAGUCUCCACAUCUGAAACUGGACUUCCUUCUUCAUACCCUCCUCCUCCUCCUCCUCCUGAAUUUUCAUUCUGAUGCCAUUGCUGCUCCUCGUCAUCAUUGUCAUCCUCGUUGCCCUUCUGCUGCUCCUCCUGUCGUUCUUCCGACAUUUGCUCCAUCUCACACUGCAUUACCAAAAUGUUUCGAGUCAUUCGUUUCCUUCAAACGAUCAAACACCGUAAGGGGAUUGAAGUUUGUGAAGGACCAUCAUGGCUAUGCAAGUGAAAGUGUCAUAUUGAGGCUAACAUGAUUUUAAAUGUGAUAGCAUAAUUUUUUUUAUGAUUGAUGAGAACUUUAUUAGAGGAAGAAAUAUACAUGCAAGAUAUCAAAUCUCUUUAAAAUAUUUUUUUAAUCAUAUUGUCACUAACAACUCCGAUUUUAAAAGAUUAGUUAUUGGGGGAUGAUGAUUACGGAAUAAAGAAAAUAAGAAUGUGGAAACCAACAACAAAAAAACACUAUAACCAAAAUCCAUAAAUCCAAAAAAUAAAAGUUUUAUAACAUGUUCAAAAUCGUUUCUUUUCAAUAAUUUGAGUUGUUAAAAGAGAGUACGAAUUUCGUCAUUAUAAUAUUAUUUUUGUUUUAGCCAUGCAAGUGAUAUAUCAAAUUCUGAAAAUAAGAACAAUAUUCACAGAUGAUAACACACCAAUUCUCACCUUUCUGGACAGCUUCUCAUUCUCAGCCACCAAUUCUCUUCCCUGCAGAAUAGACAAAUAAUCCCUUUUUUUUGGUUGGAUCUUCAUUGAAUGCUAGAUAGAAUGGAAGUGAUGAAACUUGACAUGUUUUCAUUAAUCGCUAGGCCUAGGAGAAUAACAGUCACCUUUUCUUUCAGCUUCUCAAUUUGUUCCCUGAACACUUGAUUCUGGACAUAUAAACAACAAGUCAUUUGAGUUAGUGCACAUGUUCACUAAAGUCUCAAGCACAUAGAAUAAAUUCUCAAAAGUAGGGAGCAACCAAAACCGCGAGUUGAGCGGGUUACAGGUUUGCUCAAUUAGAUAGUCAAUCAAUAACACAUAUCACGUGUUGCAAGUUCACCGAUUUUUGAGUUGGGCAAAGUUACAGGUGUUUGACUUUUGCUCAAUUAGAAUCACAUGUUGGGUUGUGUUGAGCUGAGACUGGAUUGAGUGGGGUUAGCUUCCUAGAGCUCUACUAAUAAUAACAAUAAACAAUCAACUAGGCUUGCGGCAGAUGGGUGUAAUGGUGUGAUUGGGGUUGGUUUCAUAUGGUGACCAUCGGAUUACUAAUCCGAUACGGUUCAAAGGAAUUGAUUGUAUCUCACAUAGAGGAAUUGAAUGAAUAUUGGACGGUGAGGUAAAAUAUUAAGUAUGGAAUGAGAAAAGAUGAUACCUUUCUGGCUCGAACCACACAAACACUGCUCUCCAACUGUUGCUCAAUCUGUUGUAGGUCUUCUAAAGUGCAUGAUCCAAGAUCUUCUCCCAUUAGCCUCCUUUUCGAGAGUUCAAGAACAUGUAUCUUCUUCAUCAUAGUUGCUGCUUCCUCCUUCAAUAUCUGCAGCCAUUUCAAAGCUCAACAUUGAAUCUUGCCGUACACGUUACUCAGAGACUCAGCCAUGAAAGUAACCUGCAUGUUUUGUUCGGAAGGCUGCCUGGGUUUUGGACUGUCUUUAACAUGCUUCCUGUAACGUUCAAUUGUGCUCUGCAUGCUGAAGAAAAACCAGAAGUUUAGACACGAAACGAACAGAAAAGACUAAAGAGAAUCAAUUGAUUACAAGUAAGCUCUUAAAACCACAGCUUCAAAAAAUGGUAAAUGAGUGUUGUUUCCUUUCCUGUUCUGAACUCACCUUCAUCUAAGCCAUUGUGAAAACUCCUAACUAGAACCUCAUCUCAUUGGCACUAUGAACAUCAAAAGAUAUAAAAAAACACUAAACUGAUUUCAUUGCACUCGACUACCCGAUCGUAAUGAUAUUUCCAGUCCGUCAAUGACUCAAGUUGACGGACCACAGCAAGAUAAGUAUAAAAUCUCGCUAGCUAGUGGACCAUGCACAAUGCAUGUUCAUGACAGUUCCACCUUCUCACUGACGUAAAUCAUAUAACAAAUAAUGUUAUAAAUUAGCUACCCUUCUUUUACUUUGUUAGUAAUUACAUUCAAUACAUAAACUUAACCACUAUUAGAGAGAACAAAAAACCUCAAACAUCAAAACCCUAAAUGUUAUGCAAUUUGAACGAGAAUACAGGUUCGAUAUCAGGGAAAUAGAAAAGUGUUUAACUUAGAAGUCUCACUUCUAUCUUUAACUAAAACUGUACUGUAUGAAAAUCAUCAAUAACUUUCAUUUAUUAUGAUUUGAACACUCUAGAUCUAGGACUGUGCUUCAACUAUAUACUGAUAUCAAUAUUAACUAUUAUUGGACGAUCUUACACUUAAAAUUUAGCUGCGAGGUAAAAAAUCUCCACGCAUAACUUCUUCAAAGUACACAAAAUUUCAACAUCAUUUCUACAUCUACUCAGAGCAUAAGCAAUCAAAUAAAAGAUCAAGUGUGUGAAUACAUGUGAGUUGAGUGAGUAUGCCCCUUAUAAGCAAUACAUUCCCUCUAGUAUGGUGAUCAUGAUGAUCAUCUGUAAUCUAUACAAGAGACAUAAUGNNNNNNNNNNNNNNNNNNNNNNNNNNNNNNNNNNNNNNNNNNNNNNNNNNNNNNNNNNNNNNNNNNNNNNNNNNNNNNNNNNNNNNNNNNNNNNNNNNNNNNNNNNNNNNNNNNNNNNNNNNNNNNNNNNNNNNNNNNNNNNNNUAUUUGUAUAGUAUGAGUAUGAGUAUGCAUAUGAGUGUAUACACAAAUAUGCAUGUUUCUAUUAGGAGCAUUACAUGUAAGUACUCACAGAUUCAUCAACAAUCAUGGUAUAGACAUUUGAUGAUAAAAAUUGGCAACAAUAAUUAAUAUAAAUUACUCAUAUAUCUUAUUCAAAUGAGAUGUUAUGCUUCAAUUAUGUCUAUAUAAAUAAAUGUAUGUACGUCAAUCAGAUAAUAAUUUGAAUAACAUAUAAAAAAAUGUCACUCAAAAAUAUUGCAAAAUAUAACAUAUGGUAUGUAUAUAUAAACACACUUUGAAACAUGCGAUGGACACAAAAACGGACACUGGGUAUGAUCACCGUUAUAAAAAUAAAAACAAAAAGAUUCAUCAAUAAUCAACAAGGAAAUUGGAUCCUCGUUAGAAGAGAUAUAAAUAUAUGUAAAACCAAACAACCUGGCAAUCUAAAUAAUAUAUUGUUAAAGGACAACCAAAUUACAAUAGCUAUUCACAAGUACACACUCUAAAGCAUUAAAGUAGGAAAUGUCAGAAAUAGUCAUAGAUUUAUAAAGAAUCAACUCGGAGUAUAAAUCUAUGGAACUAUAGAGAUACUUGGAGUAUAUGCAACAAGAUCAAAGAGAUAAAAAAACCAACAUUAGAAAUGGAAGAUAAAAGAGAGAAAAAACCGUCACAAGAAAUGCAAGUCCAAUUAGUAACGUAUUAGGGAACAAAGUUUUCUUCAUAAUAGUUUGAAGUAAGACGAACAUCUGAGCUAAGAAUAAAACUGGAAUUGGUGCUCAAUGUCUUUGGAAUAACAUUUGAUUAACCUUAACCCUUUAAAGUCAUGAACUUAAAGAAUUACUAUUCUCUAUAGUAACUGCAAAAAAAAACUGAACCAAUCAACCUCCAGUUGUCACAACUGUACGAGAAUGUGACCUUAAAAUAGUAUGUAGUUGUAGUUAUAGUAAGUAGCACUUGGUACUGGACUUUCUGAAACUUGCAAGUUGCAGUCAUGAAAACUCCAAGUAAAUAAAUAAAAAACAAUCAACUUAUGGAAUUAGAUCUUUAGACUCCCUAUCUGGGAAACAAACAAGCAAAUCAGUAAAAGGAAACAUGAGACACAGAAGACUGAACAGACUAACAAUUUCCCAGAAAGAAAAAUCAACAAAAGGUUUGUACUUUUUUAUUAGGUAAAAACAUUAUUUGAGCUUGUGGAUUAAACCUUAAGGCUGUAAGAAGGUCAAUGAAAGAGAGAGAGAGAGAGAGAGAGAGAGAGAGAGAGAGAGAGAGAGAGAGAGAGAGAGAGAGAGAGAGAGAGAGAGAGAGAGAGAGAGAGAGAGAGAGAGAGAGAGAGAGAGAGAGAGAGAGAGAGAGAGAGAGAGAGAGAGAGAGAGAGAGAGAGAGAGAGAGAGAGAGAGAGAGAGAGAGAGAGAGAGAGAGAGAGAGAGAGAGAGAGAGAGAGAGAGAGAGAGAGAGAGAGAGAGAGAGAGAGAGAGAGAGAGAGAGAGAGAGAGAGAGAGAGAGAGAGAGAGAGAGAGAGAGAGAGAGAGAGAGAGAGAGAGAGAGAGAGAGAGAGAGAGAGAGAGAGAGAGAGAGAGAGAGAGAGAGAGAGAGAGAGAGAGAGAUCUCCAUUAAUGAAAUGAAGUACAAACCUGGAGCUAGCAAAUUCAUAGAGUUUGCCACGAGGGGAAAAGACAAGGAGCGCAACUUCAGCAUCACAAAGGACAGAAAGCUCAAAGGCCUUCUUCAGCAAACCAUUCCUUCUCUUGGAGAAGGUCACUUGCCUGCUUGUAGCGUUCUCUAUCCUCCUCAUCUGUGUCUUCCCCCUAACCAUUAUUCCUUCUCAAAUCCAGAACCAACCCCAAACCAAAAACCAGAAGGAACUGUAACUUUAAAUCAAAUAUCAGUUCUUGCAAACCAAACCAGCAGGAGCUGCAAAAAUUCAAAUCAAAGAUCAGUUCUUCCAAAAACCAAGACCAGCAUGGUAUAUAUAUAAUCAGUUAUAUAAAGUAACCCACAUCACAUGUACUACUAAUUACUAAUACUACUAUAUGUAAUCAUUCAUGGGGAAGAACAGAAACCAAAGCUCAAGUAAAUCAAGAGAGAGUGAAGAAAUUAAAAAUAAGGAAAGACUAACCCUUUUCAGUUCCCUAGAAGAAAAGAUUGAAGCUUUGGUGUGGGUGUUGGAUUUAAGGUUACUAUGAAAGAAGAACAAAGUUGAUUAAGGAUAAGGGGAAAUGGAUUAAUUGGGUAAAUUUUUGGUGUUUCCAAAUUGCAAAGGGAAAGGAAAGGAAAGGAAAGGAGAGGAUUGUUUCUUCUCUAGUUGUUGUUUUUGCUUUUUUAUUUGUUGGGGGUGUGCAAAUUUGUGAGGGGGGAGUGUAGGUCAAAGGUUAGGGGAGAAGGGGGGGGGNNNNNNNNNNNNNNNNNNNNNNNNNNNNNNNNNNNNNNNNNNNNNNNNNNNNNNNNNNNNNNNNNNNNNNNNNNNNNNNNNNNNNNNNNNNNNNNNNNNNNNNNNNNNNNNNNNNNNNNNNNNNNNNNNNNNNNNNNNNNNNNNNNNNNNNNNNNNNNNNNNNNNNNNNNNNNNNNNNNNNNNNNNNNNNNNNNNNNNNNNNNNNNNNNNNNNNNNNNNNNNNNNNNNNNNNNNNNNNNNNNNNNNNNNNNNNNNNNNNNNNNNNNNNNNNNNNNNNNNNNNNNNNNNNNNNNNNNNNNNNNNNNNNNNNNNNNNNNNNNNNNNNNNNNNNNNNNNNNNNNNNNNNNNNNNNNNNNNNNNNNNNNNNNNNNNNNNNNNNNNNNNNNNNNNNNNNNNNNNNNNNNNNNNNNNNNNNNNNNNNNNNNNNNNNNNNNNNNNNNNNNNNNNNNNNNNNNNNNNNNNNNNNNNNNNNNNNNNNNNNNNNNNNNNNNNNNNNNNNNNNNNNNNNNNNNNNNNNNNNNNNNNNNNNNNNNNNNNNNNNNNNNNNNNNNNNNNNNNNNNNNNNNNNNNNNNNNNNNNNNNNNNNNNNNNNNNNNNNNNNNNNNNNNNNNNNNNNNNNNNNNNNNNNNNNNNNNNNNNNNNNNNNNNNNNNNNNNNNNNNNNNNNNNNNNNNNNNNNNNNNNNNNNNNNNNNNNNNNNNNNNNNNNNNNNNNNNNNNNNNNNNNNNNNNNNNNNNNNNNNNNNNNNNNNNNNNNNNNNNNNNNNNNNNNNNNNNNNNNNNNNNNNNNNNNNNNNNNNNNNNNNNNNNNNNNNNNNNNNNNNNNNNNNNNNNNNNNNNNNNNNNNNNNNNNNNNNNNNNNNNNNNNNNNNNNNNNNNNNNNNNNNNNNNNNNNNNNNNNNNNNNNNNNNNNUGUUAUGCAAUGUUGAAUAAAAGAAUUGGUUGUUUUAAUAAAUUGGUUGUGUUUCAAAUUGUUGUAGUAAAUUAAUUUAAUUGGAUCUAAACUGUUAAAAGUUGAGUGAAUGAUAAAGUUAUCCGAAAGUUAUAUAAAAGACGAUAAAGCUGUUUGCGUAAAUGGAAAGCUAUAUUUUUUUGUCACAAAAUGAUAAAACUAUUUGAAAGUUGCAUAAAUCUGUAUUUUUUUGGUCAAAAGCUGUACAACCCGUGGUCCAAAGUUGUCACAGUUGCCUAAAGUUGUAGCCACGUGGUCAAAAGCUAGAGACAUAUGUAUAUGGCUGAGAAUCCUGCAGAUGAGUGGAAAGAAUAUGUUGUACAUGCUGGUGGAGGGAAUAUGUUGUGGCAUAUUUUGCAGUAUUAUUAUCCCUCCCAUCUAUUUAAUCACAGACCUCUAUUACAGACAACUCACAAGUUCUAAAAUCCCUUUCUUCACUCUAUCUUCUUACUCUACUUCUCCUCCCGGUCUUUCUCAAUAGAUAAUGGUUGAGUUCGCCUUCAUUCUACGAUGGGGGCAUCACUUGUACUCAAACAUCAGAGUUGAGUAUGCCGGUGGGCACUCUCGGAGAGUAAAGAUGAGUUCAACCCCGACCUUCACCCCAGCGAUUCCUAUUUUUCUAAAGAAAAUGAAGAUCCUAGCGAAGGCCAUCCUCCGGACCGUGUAUUAUCGUCAUCCUAUGGUGGCCGGCGAUACUAUUGUUGGGUACUAUCUCCGUUCGUGCACUGAUGAAGAGUCUUGGGGAGUUACUUACUAUAUGGUAAAUAACUUCCCUAUGUGCAAUAAUCCGGAGCUGUAUUUCGAAUUCGAAGGUCCAAUCACCGGUGUUCAUGGCUUUGUUGGUCAAUUCUCAAUGACUGGGUACUUUGAACCUUCUGGUUCACAUAACGUGGACGAGGUCUCUCAGUGCAACGGACAAUAGAACGUUGAUGUUGUGGAUGAUGAAGAGCUUGAGUACGAUCGGGGUAACAACAACAGGGAAGGGGAAGAUGAACAUGCCUCGAGUGAGGAUGACGACGGUACGUCAAUUGACCUUCUCCAUCCAAAGUGUGAGGAUGCUGAUGUCAUGAUCGGAGCGGGCGCUUCAACAUUGUCUCGUGCCCCCCCCCCCCUCUCGUGUGAGUACACUCCACCCGAGCUGUACACAACAUUAGGCGAAAACAUCGACCAGGUGAUGACUGUUGACCAUUACGAUGAUGGCCCUGAGAUCUCGGAUUUCGACCCCACUCGUGAACAUUUAUACAUCGGCCAUGGUUUUACACGAAGAAGGAGGCAAGUCUUUCUGUCAAACACUGGGUCUUGCAUAACAAUGGAGCCCUGGCGACAUCCCGCUCAAAGACUUGGGAGUUGCAUAACAAGAAUUUUCUUGUCGGUAUCGAAAACCCAAAGAAUGAAGGAGAAGAGAAUUGGUGAAUGUGUGCAAAAUGAAGAAGGGGGGAGGAGGUUAUUUAUAGCAGCCAUUGGAGGCCAGCUGGCCUCCAAUGGCUGCUAUAAAUAACCUCCUCCCCCCUUCUUCAUUUUGCACACAUUCACCAAUUCUCUUCUCCUUCAUUCUUGGACGUGAGGGGCGCUGUAAGUCCUGAGAAUUGUCAAAUUAUGUAAUUUACAUUUCGAAUUGAUUAUCUACAUAAUUUCCGAUUUAAUUUUACCUACAAAAAAAAUUAUGUUGCUAUAUCAUAUUGAAACCGAUCAAUCAAAAAGUUCGAAGGUUUUUCGAGGCAAAUAAUAUGAUUGCUCUAGUGAGACUUAUAUGAGCUUCCAUAUUCACGUCUUUCAUACAGUGAUGUCCACUUCCACUACUGAGACAUUAUAUAAGUUUAUUGAUACUGCGACACAAAACACUGAUCUCUCUCUCUAUGGUCAUCUUUCUUGCCUCGCAACUUCUUAAUGAGAGUCAAUCAGCUAGCUAUUUAGAAUUAGAUAGCCCUAUAAAGAUAGAUGAUUUAUGAAACAUUAUGGAUAUAAGAUCUAUCUUGUUUGGUAUUCAAAUUUCGUAACGAAAUGAUGGUUGUGGAAUGCAGUGUGAUCCAUAUUUUAUCAAAGCCAACUCAGAUUUUAAAAGGAUUGUUUUAUGUUAUAACACCAUUUAUCAAUAAAGAAAGAAAAAUACAGUAGAAUUCCUCAUAUACCAAGCAAUCCUAAAAUAUAAUAGAUUUAUGUAUUUACCCCACAAAAAUGAGUUUUAUAGAUACGAAGUAUAAAGAAUGGUAAAGCUGUAUGUCUAAUGAUUUAUAGGUCUUUAAUUCNNNNNNNNNNNNNNNNNNNNNNNNNNNNNNNNNNNNNNNNNNNNNNNNNAAGACUUAUAUGACCCCUCCCACCUAUAAUAGAAUUCCCCGUUACAGUUCGAAUCUAAAUUUUCGUUAUAUAUGAUAGAUUAAACUUCUUUCAGUUUCGGUCAAUCUAAUUUGAUGUACACCAAAUCAUCUUAAAUUUUAUCAUCACCUCGCAUUUUACUUUUCAUGCUCCAUUUUUUGAGAAAGUAUAUCUUCGAUCCUUACUUACUAAUUAAGUUUUAUAUGUUCAUUUUUCACCUUUGAUAAUAUCGACAUAGCUAAAUAAAGUUUUGUAUUUGAGAUAGUUCAUUAUCAAUUAUCAAAUUAAUUUUGGGGAAAAAGAUAAAACAUAUUCAUUCGUGGCCAAUUUUCAAUUUAUGAUAUGAAUAUUUUGUCUUACUAUGAUUACUUAUAUAAGGAUUCCUUUUUUGCUUUUAAUAUGUAUUAUUUAUGAUUCCGAAAUAAAAAAAAGAAAUAGAAAAUGAAAGGAAUGGGGGGGGGUAAACAGUAAAUAAGAGAGAAGAUUAGGGGCAAAGUGUGAAAGGGGAAGAGAGAGAUAGAUGAUUAGUCCGUAGAAAAGGUACAAGGAAGAACCAAUGAGAAACCGAAAACGCAUAGGGGGCCAAUCAAUCAGCUUUCGAUCCACCACUUAUUUCUUUAUUAUUAUUAUGGUCCAGCUUUUCAUACACCAGAAAUAGAUAUAAAAAAUAAAAAUAAAAAAAGCAAGAAAGAUAUUUUAUUUUUCCUUAAAGGACAAUCUUUUUUUUUUCUCUCACUUGUUUAAUUUCAUUAAUUCUUCCAAAAAUUAUGUUGCCAUGUGAUGUCGGCUGAAGAUGCAAACCCAACCCAGACUCGCAAGUUUCGGAAAAAACCAAAUGCAAACUGCUCUCAUUUUUUUGUUCAAAAACCUUACGAGACUCGGAUAAACUAAGAAAGUCAUACAUUAAUGAAUGAGAUGGUUUAGGAUUAGGAUCAAUAGAAACAUAACCAUCAAAUAGCUGCGAAUGGUCGAGGCUAGCAAGAUAGUAUGUAGCUUUUGCUGCCUUCCCGAUAGAUGUGCUUAAACUUAACCAAUCAGUCCCUCAUUUUGUUGCUCAUCCAGUCUCACUAAUGACUGAGUUAGCCGGAGUUGAGGGUGACCCGACGGAGUGGAGGCGGCUUCUAAGAGGUAUCCUCCAUCGUCCUCUUGAUGGGUUGAUCAAGUAGCGAAGACUGAUCAAGUAUCAAGGCCUCCUCCACCGUCUAAUAGAGGUAGAAAUGAGGGAGCUCUCGAGUUGGUUAGACCCGUUCUCUAAUGUUCUUUGCUCGCUUUGUAUCAACAUCAGUUAUGUUCAGUAUCAAUUGAUCUUCUUGUACAACAGCAAACAAAGCAGUCAACUACUGAUGUUCAGAUACACCCCUCACAGUUUGUUCAAUGAAAUGAACUUCUUUUCCUUGCAAUGUUUACCAAGACACAUUCUCAAUAACCAAUGGCUCAAGUCACAACCUAUGCAUUUCUAUAACAAGAGCCAUAUAAGAUAAAGAUAUUCAUGUAAACUCAAAAGGGGCCUAGUUUGUACUAGGAAUCAAGGAGGUCGAUUUCGAUUACCUUUAAUUCUUUAAUCCAAACUAGAAAACAGACUGGAUGAGCUAGUUUGAGAUGGAGUAUUGGUUGCAUACGGUUUGUCAGGAGGUGCUAAGACAAACGUAGGUACGUAACCUGAUAGCAGUUUCACUUGAUCGGACUGUCUGAAGAACGACAUAUUCGGUCAAGAGUUACUUGAAUAAAAGGAAAACGUUACAUCCAAGUCAACACCUUGCAUUUUCUAUUCUUUUCCAAGACCUAAUGGCAAAAGUAGAAUAAAAACUUUACCCUUUGAUUGCCUCUUUGUUUAACUGUAGUUUCUCUUUUCCCUUUAAAAGCAUCAUCAAAGCACAGCAAAAACAAACUAAGGGGUUUAGUUUAGAUGGAUAAAGGAAAGAUUACAACAUAUCUAAUCAAAACCCACACAAGAUUUCAGUCCCCAAACAAAAUCACACAAACUCUUCCAGCAUUGAAUCAGAAUCCUCUGUGGUAUCUCUACGAGCCAAACACUCCGAAAAUAGAGCUAUGAGCAACGGGUUCCUUCGCAAGGAGGAGUUGAAGUCAUCCUUGCUCACUGUACCUUUCGCAUCCACGUCAAACAACUUGAACAAUUCAUGAACCUGGAGUACCAAAACCCAACACUCAGCUGAAGAAUUCGUUUGCAGUACUGAAGAAGUCAGCUAGACAAAACUGGAAGGAAUAUUACUAAAGACGGUAUCUACUUCACAAUGUACCUCAUCUUUGUCUAAAUCUGGAAUUGUGAGUCUGAUGACAUCUCCGAACUGUUUAAAAAAUCAAAUUGACGAGCAAGGUGAAUUCAUCAGCAUGGAAUAACUGCAACGCGAAUGGAGGAUAGUGUGUGUUCUAUUUAGGGGAAACAUACCUCGUGUUCUGAGAUUUCAUGGUCUCCCUUAACAUCACAUUCACUAAAAGCUAGUUCACACGUUUGCCGGAAUUGCGGUUGUUUCAUGACAUGCAAUGAUCCAUACAAGAACUGCACCAGACAAACACACUUGCUUUUAGCAGUAGUUCCAGUCAAGCAUGAAAGUACUUCCAAACUUAUGGAAACAAAAGUAGAGAGGAAAAAGGUACCUGCUUGAAUGUAAUUGAACCACUCUUUUCUACAUCGAGGAAUGCAAAUACCUACACUCCAUAUAACGGACUUAAAAUAAGAGAAUGUAAUUCAGAUGCACAUAAAUUACUGAAAAAUCUUGAAAACUGGGCAUGACCUCCAAUUCGAAAACUCGGCAUGUACUAAGUCGUGAGUAACUAUCAGCUAACUAACAUCAUUUAUGAAAAAUAGUAUACAUCUAUAUCAACAAGUUUCAAGAUCAAGAAGAAUAAUUCUACUUAAUAACCUCUUCUGAAAGUGCGCAAGGUCUGAGUCUAUGAGCCCUCAAAAAAUCAUAGAACUUAACACGACCGCUGCAGAAAGGAUCAGUAUUAGACAGGAUUAUUUGGUUCUCUAUCACGCAAACAAACAAAAGAGUAUCGCAGAGCUUCAAACCUGGAGUCUGGAUUCAUGGAAAGAAACUUUUCAAGAAAAUCCAUAGCUUCCAAACUGCGAAUAUGGAAUAACUGACAAACAAAGGAUCAUAAAUUUAGUUUCAAUAUACUUAAAGCUAAAGCCUUCAAUAUCACAUGACACAAAGAGAAAUCAUAUGUGAUCUCGUAAAAUACAACCCUGAACGUGCAACCGAUUAUAAUGAUUGAACAUGCUUCAUAAAGGAACACCAUAAAUCUAAAUAAUCAGAUGACUCCGAUGUAUUGUUUAUUACCGAUUCCACCUUUGCCAUUUCAACCAUAAAACUUCGCGGAUUCUCCUGCAAAAAAUUACAUUAAAGAACGAUAAGCGGAAAUAUCAAACGAGCUAAUUUAAGAUACCAAAUCAGAUACUGUAAUUAUUGAUAUUCAAUUACAUAUAGCUUUUCGAAUGAUACUGCAGGUUAUAUAUUAUAACUUAUCCAAAUUAUAUAGCACUACAGAAAAGGCUCAACGAAGUCGGAAAGAAGUGGAAGAAAUGAAUUGAGCUAUGAACGUAUAGAAGUAAGAAAGCAGAUGUUAAAAUUAUCAUUUGAUCACUUUAGCUAAGUCUUAAGUUAUGCAACAAUCAUAAUGACGAAACUAAGCUGGCCUGAUAAGGUGAACAUUGUGUUUUAUCUUCUUCAUGCGGUCUUUAGUGCAGUAGGUGAUUAUCUAAAACCAUGAGCAAGAUCAUCUAAAAAGGCAUACAGAUUAAGAAUGGCGAACCUGGCCAGCCUCAGCUGCUCUCAUGAGAAGCAUCACGUCUCCAUAGGAAUGGAAUGUUUGCAAGACAUUUAGUGCAGUUGCCAUAGCAUUACUUGUCUGUACAGAUGGACGUAUAAUUAGUCUCUAUACAGAACACAGUCCAAGAACUGAGAUAACCACCACUCACUACACAUCCCCAUUUGAAUAAAAACCAAUGCAUAUAUUAAACUCAAAAUAUAAAAGCUGAAUAAGAAAAUAUACGAAGUCAUCCAAGUUCAGUAACUCACUCUCUUAGAAAAAUGUGCAGGAUUUUCUUUGCAAUUGUCAAGGGGGGAAACAAUCGGUAGAUACUCCACCUGCUCGUAAAUAAUCAACUUUAGCAGAUAUUUUAGCUUUAUACAAGUUAACCAAGGCAUGACCUUCACAUCAGAAAUCAUAAUUGUACUGUACCUCGAGGUAAUUGUGAAACUGGCUGAACAUUCUGAACAUAAGCAAUGCUAAUGAAAUAUUGCCCCUGAUGAAGAGCAACCAUGAGCAAGCUUUACUAAAACCAGCAUUAAACGCAGAAAAACAAGAAAUUUCUACCAAACAAAUCAAGCUUACCAAGAUUGGUCAAAAUGCACAUGAGGAUACCGAACAACCACAGGUUGGAUCGCAUAAUUAGGGAGGAACGCACCGAGUUGAAAUGACAGAAGAACUCUUCCAUUGGAAGUCGUUCCCUCGGGAAACAACAGUACUCGCGGAAAUCUAUCGCAAGCACCUUUUCUCUGAAUUCAGAUCCUUGAAAACACACUUCUGUAUCAAAUAGCUAAUAAACUGAAAAUUUGACUGUACAAUGAAAUUCGAAGAAUCCUACUCGAUAACAUAUCUAGGACUUGGAUAUUCUCCAUGAUUGGUUGGAACAUGAAUAAUGUAGUAAGCAACGUAUUGAUAAACAAAAAAGAAGCAGGGAAGUUUGUACCUUUAUCUCAUUGACAGCAUUCUUCCUUGAUGGUUGUGAGAAUCUAUUUACAUAUAUAACCUGGUACACACGGCAUUCAGCAUAUACAAAAGUUCAAGGCUUAGCUGAAAACGAUUGCCCAAGAGACUAAUUACUUACCUGCAUAGCUCUGAUGAUAGUUCCAACAAAGGGCAAAGCAUCAUGUGAUUCGGAUGCAACAAUGGUGGGGCACAUCUCAUAGAAGUAAAAAAUGGGCUCAAUAUACGACACAUGGUUAGAUACAACGAUAGGGGCGAUCUCCCUUGGGGCAGGCUUCCCUUUUCUUCGAAUCCACUGGUAGCUGAGAUAUGCAUUAAUUGCAGGACAAAACUCAAAUUCAAAACCAACUUCUUCAACCACUACUAUAUCAAUAUCAACUUUAUAGUAAGCUGAGAGUCGAGAAAGAGAGAGAGAGCAAAAAUUAUAUAAGUUACCCAAAGGAGAAGAGAAUCCCGCGAGCAGAAAACCUAGUGACCCACAUGAGGCGAGAUCGCCAUCGGGGCAUAGGAUUGUCUUUGUCUUUCCAUCCGUGGAUAGCGAGCUUAGUAGCGAGAUAGCCGACAGCCAAACAGAGUCCAAAUAGCAGCAAUCUGAGGAGUAUGAUCGGGAGUAGCAGCAGGAUCUUGAGUGCCUCGUAGAUUCCGUCGAUUCGGGGAGUUCCGUUGCGGAAUGGAUCGGCGGUUGAAGGCGGAGGGACGGACAAGGAGGAAUCCACGUGGCGGUCAAUUCCGAGGAAUUCGAAAGGGUUGUUGUUGUUAGAUUGAGGAAUCUGGUGAUGAUGAUGAUGAUGACCAUUGGAGUAUGGUUGACCAGGGGAGGGGGAGGAUUUGUUGUUGUGGUCGCCGCCGUCAAUGGAGAUGAUUAUGUGCGGAGGAGGAGGAGGGGAGGCGAGAAGAGGGGAGGAGAGAUCAUCGUAGGCGGCGGCGACGGCGGCCAUUGAUUCAAAAUCGGGAGAAUGAUUUGGAAUCAAUGAUGAAAAUGAAUGGGGAAAAGGGCGUUCUUUGUAUUUGGGUUGACUCAUUGGCACUCCAUUGUAUUGUUGGCGCUUUUCGGGGUUGACAGGGUGGACAAAGGGGCGCGACGGAGAUGAUGUAUCGCGGCACGUGCGUCACGUGUGCCGGAUUUUCCGUGGGUCUGAACUCAAAUUUGAAAAUCUUUUCGUACCAAAAAAUUGUUUUUUUGGUUGUUGUGAGAAAAUCUAGGGUGGAUGCAUAUAGAAACUAUGGCAUUCAUGUUCCAAAUAAUGCUUUCGAGCUAGAACUAAUGGUGUUUAGUUUUAGAUUCUAGGAUCCUAAAUUACUGUAUAUGUGUCUCAAAACUCAAUCUUCAUUACCCAUUUUAUAACACAUUUACUGACUUCUCUCCCAAGAAAUCGAAUAUUCCUCCCUUGUUUUGCCACAUGUUCCUCAUCGAGCUAGCUAUAUUCCUCGUAGAUCUUGUUUAGGCGUAUUAGUAUUAACCGGUCCUAUUUGUUAAUAUCGAGACAAAUGCAUAGUGAUAUUGUGGGACCUGUACGUAACACAGUAGAAAAUAAUGAGAUAAAUUAGGUAUUUGACCUAAUAAACGAUGUAUUAUAAACCGGCCAUACAUGUAUUCUUCAAAAUCACAUAUAUACAUACUGGAAAGGCCACACGUGUGGAAAGUCCUUCUUCACCUCAGGAGACAACUCUGUCAUUUCAAUGACCUUCUAACCUUGGAUUAUCCUCAUCUGGGAUUUGGGAAAGUAUGAGCAACUUCUCUUAAAGCUAAACUAGCACACUUGCAGGCUGCUCUAAUUAAGCCAUACCCUCCUCGGUCAGAAGCACAAAGAAGACGACUUUUUAUCUGCAAGUCACCGGUCUAUUUACUUACUUGUCUGAGCAGCAAUGUUCAUCUUCAGCAAAAGCCCCGUCUCCCUCAGGAUCAUCGAAGAAUUCCCUAUCGGUAUAUAGAUAUCCAUCUUCUGGUGGCUUGUAGUCUGUUCCUCUCCACACCACAAUCUGCUCCUUCUCAAAUGUCACCAGUAUGCAAGGAACCAAGUCCUAGAGAUGUAUAGAUGGAUACAAAAUUAAAAUCAAAUAGAAGCAUUUAGAAACAGUUUCCCAGAGAAAUAUUGCAUUGCUAAAGAACAGGAAACAAAGAUCCGCUCUUUACAUAAGUUCAGUGGCUAGAUUCACACAUAACAGCUCAAAACGUUCAACCCAAUGGCCAAUGGAACAUAAAAGCUUUUAGCUUUGAAAUGUCAUUGCAACAAAGCACAUCCUAGAGAGAGUAUCAAUAUUGACGUUCCAAAUGCAGAAUUAGACGGGGUGGAGAGCCUUACCCUUAGUUUGCAGCCUAUUUUCUUGUAAUCGCUCCUCUCAAGUCCUUGGCAGUCUAUGCGCACCAGCUCACUUAGAAUAAAAGCAUCUCUCACCAUGGGUACAAGACUGCCAUAGUAACCAUUCUUGGCUGCAUGUUGCAAUACGCAAGUCAGUAACUCAGGGUAUAUAUAUCGCAUACUGCUUCUUGCACUGAAAAUGAAGAAGAGUGAGCCUCUAGACUACGAAAGAAAUGAAGAGUUCUAAUUCAUCACUCUAAAACUUUAAUUCAAGAGCAAAAGACAAAGCUGAGCUUACCAAGUCUUGUGAGUGCAGGAACAGCCAGACCCCUCUUUCUCAUUUCCUUUGUUUCAUCAAUACUCAACCCUUCAAUCGUAGUUUUGAUAAGCUUCGGAUAUACAGGCUCGUGAGGCCUCCACAGCAUCAAUGGAACAGCAGGCCUUUUCUUGGGAUUAUAAUUUCGACCUCUAUACAACACCAGCUGACCACCAUGUCUGUGAAUGAUCUUGCCAAAUGUUUUAUCCUGCACUUUACAAAACAUUGGUUAAAGUUAAAAUGCCACACACAAAGUGCAAAAAGCUCAAAUCCAUAAUAAGCAGAUAAGAACCUCUAGAGAAUCGGCUCAAACGGCACAAAUUACCUCAAGCUGAGCACAAACAUUCUUCAUGUCAACAGUGGGAACACCUAGACACUUGAUCCUAACUGCUUCAGCAUGUCUCCAAUUGUUAUGCACAUCAUUCAGCAUGUUGUGAGUGAAGCCAUCUCUCCCUAGCACAAAUAUUAGGAUCAUCGAUCAAGCAAUAGGGCAAGUGAUUACUGAACAACCCUAGAGAGAACUAUUUUCAAACUUUCAAUAAUUCAGAAGACUCCGUACCAAGAUUGAUUUGCCUUUUGGUCUUAUUCCUCUGACAACUCUGCACCAAAAUCUUCCUCUCAGCGUUCGUGAGUGGCUCCCCCUGUAUCCUCUCCCUCCUUCUCCGUCUCUCCUCCUCCAAAUUCUGAUCCUCCGCUGCGUCGACCGAUUUCACUUUCGGAUCAACCGCAGGGGCGGGCGUCGACCGACUUCACUUUCGGAUCAACCGCAGGGGCGCAAACUCCGGUCCAUUUCCGGUCAAGCCGUCGUGGGCCGAAAGGGGAGUAUUUCGGCUCCCUGAGGCCGAUUGGUCUCACCGACUGGCUGCUCUCCGAGUAGCUGUACCGAAAAUCAAACGGAAGGUCGGAGUGCAUCGGCUUUCUGGACUGGUUUAGAGAAGACGGCGGCCGGUACCGCUCUUUCUGCUUUUUCGCCGGAGGAGCUGGAGCCGGAGGAUCUUGAUUGUCAUAGCUCGGUCGAUUCUCGGGGGAGAGCGAAGACGGAGGAUCGAAGGCGUAGUAAUCGCGAAGCUUCGAAGAGGCGGCGGAUGAGGAACAUAGGUGGCGCGACAGGAACGCCAAGGUGAACGAGAAAUGCGGCGGGGGGUUGUUCCGGCCGGCGACGAGUGACCGGAGGUACAUUUACUCGGGCUAUGGUAGUGGUUUAGGGUUUAAUGAUGGUUGGUCAAUUGGACGCCGGUUUAUUGGCGGAACUGUAACGGAAAUCAGCACAGGAACAAAAGUUAGCUUCUUAGCCCCAUCAUUUCACAAUAUUUUCAUUGCAUGUUAGUUCCUCAAAUUUCAAAAACUCUACGAAGUAUACUUUUCAAUCACAAUAUUCUCGUAACUUCAAAUCGUGUAACGAUUCCAUACGGUAGAAGUUGGCAAACAUCUUUCAAUAUAAGCUCUAUAGUACUAAAAUUAAAGCAAGCUCAUAAGAUUAUAUAAAACUAAACCUUUUUGUAACCAAAUCUUAUUUAUCAAUACAAGAAAAAGGAGGCAAAUAUUAGUAGGAUCAUGGUUGAAGGGAAGACAAGAAACCCAUAAUGGAGUAUUCAUUGUAACAUUUCGUUCCAACUGAUAUUUAAUUUGGUCCUUGAAAUGGUCAGAACGUGACUAAGUGUUUUGGAAAAGUCUUUAAUCAGUUUUAAAUGGUUCGAGAAUCAAUUUAAAUAAAGAAUGAUUAAAUGAAAAGUCAUAAUAAUUUGGGAUGAUUCAAAACGUACCACAUAUAAAUAUAAAAUAUGAACCUUAAUUCCAAAAAUCAUGAAUGUUUGUUGGGGGGGUGGAAAGAAAUACUUUUUGGUUGUUGUAAAUUGCAAUGGUGCAAUGGUGAGGGUGACUCCACCAUAAUCUUUUCAAUCAACCAAAUGGCUAAAAAUGUAGGGUUUAUAAAUUAGGGCAGACGAAAAUGUUCAUUAGCCAUUAACUAUUGUCUGCCCAAUAUUGUGGGUGGGAUUCAUCAUACAUUAUCAAAAUCUCCACCAUCAAUUCCACUCUCCAGUAGCCACUAUAAUUUGUAGCAUUUCAUUGGAAUGGCAAAACUUUUGCAUUAAAACAACACAAAACUUUUUUAUCUAACCAUAAAGUCGGUGGUGACUAUUCAAUUCUCGUCGCGAGACUUGGUUUAUAAUCAUUUGUUUACUGCUUGGUGUAAGCAUUUUUGUAAAAAAAGAGUAUAUAAAUAGUCAACUCUAUGUUUCAGAAAACUUAUAUAUAAAGUAUCAAAAAAAUUAAUGUAUGUUUCAUCUAAGUUUAACUCGCCAAGAGUUGAAAAACGAAUACAUGUCUGGUAUCAAACGGAUAUUCAACCUUGUACUUACCUACUCUGAUCCCCUAUUCUGUCUCAUUCAUGUAUCUAUAACUUCGUUAAUGAUGAAAUAUGAGAAGUCUCGUUAUUUCCAAAAUACCUAGAUAAAUAUGUCACGUGUGAAGAACUCAAUUCAUAAUCGUAUUGCAUUAAAUACACAAGGACCCUCAUUUUCCAUCCAAAUUCGAAAUCAUAUACGGUCUCGAAAGAGUAACAUAAGUACUCAAACCCAUCAAUUGUGGUGGGGGCAUGCAUGUAUAUAUGUAGCUUCAAACCCAAGGUUGGUGAGUAGUAAAAUGGAAUCCACAAUCAUGAAACACUACUUACUAUUACUUUAGUAUGCCAAUAGGAAGAGAGACCAUUUUAAUCGAGUUAUCCAUCAAUCAAAAACCACCCACCCCACCACCACACUGCACUACUCCAUUAGCAUUGGCUAGCAUGUUCUGCACCAAACAAACCCCACUUCUUCAUGUGCUGUCCGCCCUGCAAUUCACUUAAACAACACUCCUCAAUGCUCUUAUGUAGACUGUCCCACAGACCAAAUCUUAUCAUGUAUUUUGCACUACUCCAGAAACCGUCUUAAUAAUGAACCUUGGAAGUUAGUGUUUUUUUAUAUGUGAAAUGAGAGCUAAACCAGAUAAAUAAACAACUAUGAAGCAUAGAAGUACCGUGGGAUGCAUCCGAAGGUGUAAAAAUGUAUAUAUAGGGUCAACCGUCACUUGCACGUUUUCUCAUGCCAACGGGCUUUUCUCAGGCCUGAAGAUCGAAUCGGUUGGCCGAUGCUCAUCAAACUUCUAUAUAUAUGGGUUCUCAUUACAAAAAAAAACAAAUAUAUGGUUACGAACGGAGUGGCGACUCCAACGAAUAAAGAGCAGUUAAUCGCCAUGGAUUUUGUUCGAUAAAAACAAAAAUCGUUAUUAUCAUCCUUUAUGUGGUUGGUGGGGAAGCUAGCCAAAAAAGAAAGAUGCCCACUCUUACCAUAAUGGGACAUCAAUCAUUUUGACUAGUGAGUAAACCCUAAGUCCCUAGCUAUCAACUCUUUUUUGUUGGAAUUGUUCCUAUAAGAGACUUCCACAUUCCUUAAUUUAUUUCCCAUCCUAUGGUUUAUCCAAAAUUUGAAGGCAGAAUGAUCCACAUCGGGAUAUCUUGUAUGUUGGCUGUUCUAGCCUUCAUAGCAACCAGCACAAAUGCAUCAAGUGAGAGACAAACAUAUGUAAUUCAUAUGGACAAAACCAAGAUCCCUUCAUCCCAAUGGUACUAUCAAUCACUGCUCGAUUCGGUCACCGAAGCUCAAACACAAGACGACGAGGAAGGACAACAUCACCAUCAUCAAGGCAUGUCAACUCCCCCAACCCUUCUCUAUGCGUAUGAUACGGUCGUCUCAGGAUUCUCCGCAAAGCUCUCCGCCACAGAGCUUGAAGCCCUGAGCCAAACGAGCGGAUUCCUCUCCGCGAUUCCUGACGAAAUGUUGACCCUCCACACCACACAUUCCCCGCAAUUCCUCGGCCUGGAGCAAGGCCGAGGACUCUGGAGCGCUCCGAGCUUAGCCUCAGAUGUGAUCAUUGGGAUUCUCGACACCGGGAUUUGGCCUGAACACCCGAGCUUCCAUGACAAGGACGUACCGUCGCAAUCAAUGCCGUCCAAUUGGAAAGGCGGCCAGUGCGAAACCGGUACAAAAUUCUCCCCCACAAAUUGCAACAACAAGCUCAUCGGUGCUAUGUCCUUCUACAAGGGCUACGAAUCUGCAGCUGGAGCCAUCAACGAGACUGUCGACUUCCGGUCUCCUCGUGACUCCAACGGCCAUGGGACCCACACUGCUUCCACAGCAGCGGGCGGCCUCGUGGCCGGUGCGAAUUUCCUGGGGCUGGCCAACGGGUCUGCCGCCGGGAUGAAGUACACAGCAAGAAUUGCGGUUUACAAAGUGUGCUGGUCACUUGGUUGUACGAACUCUGACAUUCUCGCGGCCAUGGAACAGGCAGUGAAAGAUGGUGUGGAUGUUCUGUCGCUUUCGUUAGGAGGGUCGCCGAAGCCCUAUCACAGUGACAACGUGGCGAUCGCCUCGUUUGGUGCGGUUCAGAAUGGAGUCUUUGUGGCCUGCUCGGCAGGGAAUUCGGGACCGUCCAGCUCGACGGUCUCGAAUACCGCUCCUUGGAUCAUGACCGUUGCUGCUAGCUACACGGAUCGCGAAUUCCCGACUAGUAUUCAUCUUGGAAAUGGCGAAAUCUAUGAAGGGUCUUCUUUGUACUAUGGUAAACCCACCAAGCAAUUGCCAAUUGCAUAUGCUCAAGCAGCAGGUAUUGGUAUAUUAAUUCUGCCAAGUCAAAUUUCAAUUUUCGAUUAACUAUCCUAAAUCGAUCAGUUAAUCAAUUUUAACUCUUAACCAUACCCAAAUGUUAGGUGGAAAGCAACAGGGAGCCAACUACUGCAUCAACGGCUCAUUAAACAAGAAGCUAGUAAAGGGCAAGAUAGUAAUCUGCGACAGAGGAAUCAACGGCAGAGCCCAAAAGGGUCAGAUCGUGAAAUCAGCGGGAGGAGCUGGAAUGAUACUCGUCAACGGCGAAAACGCCGGCGAAGAACGCUUCGCCGACCCACAUAUUCUACCGGCGACUUCAUUAGGAGCCACAGCCGGAAAAUCCCUAAAAAAAUACAUAACCACAUCAAACAAACCAACAGCUUCAAUCACCUUCAAGGGAACAAGCUACGGCUCCACCGCACCUGCAAUGGCAGCAUUCUCGUCCAGAGGACCCAGCUCCGUCGGCCCGGAAAUAAUCAAGCCAGACAUUACCGCACCAGGGGUCAACAUCUUGGCCGCCUGGCCUCCCGGAGUCAGCCCGACCAUGCUCCAAACCGACAAGAGAUCCGUCCUCUUCAACAUCAUAUCGGGAACCUCAAUGUCGUGUCCACACAUUAGCGGAAUCGCCGCUUUGCUGAAAUCCGUCCACAAGGAUUGGUCCCCGGCGGCGAUCAAAUCGGCGAUGAUGACGACCGCUUACGUUCUAGACAAAAAGAACAAUCCCAUUACUGAUUUCGGAGCUUCUUCUUCCCCUCCCGCAACCGCUUUCGCGUUCGGGUCGGGUCAUGUGGACCCGGAAAGAGCGGCGGAUCCGGGGCUGAUCUACGAUAUUUCAACGGAGGAUUAUCUCAAUCAUCUCUGUAGCUUGAACUAUACCUCUGCGCAGAUAUCCGCAGUGAUGUCCGGGAAGAGUUUCAAUUGUUCUUCGAGUGAUCCGGAUCGAGCAGCUGAAGAUCUGAAUUACCCUUCUUUUGCUGUGGGUUUCAAAAGGGGUGGAUCGAGAAAUCAGAGUUUGAAGUUCAAGAGAACGGUGACGAACGUAGGGAAGAGCGGUAGGUACGAGGUAAAGGUGGAGGAACCGAUUGGAGCUUCGGUGAAUGUGGAGCCGAAGGUUCUGGAGUUUGUGAAGCCGGGAGAGAAGUUGAGUUAUGAAGUGGAAUUCGUUGCGGGCGGUGAUGAUGGCUCUGGUUCGGGUACGUCGUCGUUUGGGAGAGUUGUUUGGUUGUCGGGGAAAUACUCUGUUCGGAGUCCGAUUGCAGUCACUUGGGUACAAUAGGUAACUUGGAUGAUAGAGAAGUUUGAGUAACCAACUCGGAAAGUAGAAUAAUUAACGGCGCUAAACUUUUCAGUGAUCCGGCGUUAAAAAAUUUCGAUGAAAUCAAGCGUAAUUUAUCGAAAAUUUAUAUCCAACGUCAUGCAAGUUGACGUGACUAAAUAAAAUUAGAUAAAUGAGAUGAACGAACAACCGUUUACUCCUCUCAGUCACUAUCGACAAAUAAAGAUACUUACAUAUGCUAAAAAUUAGUAGGUAUAUACGAAAAAUAAAAUCCAAAAUGCAUAUAUUACAUUGUGAUGAAAUAAAAAACCAUAAAGAAAGACUCAAUACAUACAGUAGUAUACACGAAAGGCUAAUUAUAUGAAACUUGCAAUAUAUCAGAGGCUCUCACACAUCCUUAUCGAGCAAUAACUCCCUUGUUGCUAGUAACCACUAACCAUUAGAGCUUAGUGAGUGAGAUGGUUAGAUUGGCGUAAGUAAAUUUAUAGCCGGAGGUGAUCCGCUCCGAGACUAUUAUGCCAUACCGUUGGAAUGCUUCGUCGAUGAUUUCCAUCCGGAGAUCCAAAUGGCAGGCCAACAAUGGCUCUACCACUGCCCUCAUACAUUUUGCAAUGUCAGAUCCAGAGUCUUUUAAGGAUUCUGGAAGGUUUGCUUCACCUUCGUAAGGAUCCCAGCUCAUUUCCUUGUCCUCCAAGCAAUCUAUAGUGAAGGAGCUCUGUUUCUGAACUUCGGCUUCAACUUCCAUCGGAGAUGCCAAAUAAGCUGGUAUAUUGAACGAAGCCAACUUUUCUGUGUCUAUCAAACCCUGAUGAACAAUACCAUGCAAAACCAUAUGAUAUUCAAAAGAAUUUAAUUUUUGUUUUUCAGACUAGAUCUCUCGGUCAGUAAAAGAUAAUUUCGUACCUCAGAUGCCAUUUCGUUAAGAGCAAUGCACAAGGGAUCCAAGAUGUACAAACACCUCGAACAGUCGUCAUUCCUCCUGCCAGGAAAUGUCAACACCGUUUUCCCUCCAGAGACCAACUCCAAAGCUCGACACCUCAAGAACUCGGCGAAAUCCUUCCUAAAUUGCCCCGAGUACAAAUCAAACACGCCACGAGAGCUGCUGAUGCCAUAUGAAACAUUCCCUUUGUUCAGCUCAACAAGUCCAUCAGGAACCUGAGAAAGCCAAUGCAGACUGUAGGAAGAGAAGACAAAGUGAAGACUUUUCGUCGGGAACAAUCUCCCGUAGAAAGAACCAGGGACUCCGUUGACGAAAAUAGAAAAUUCACCAGCCUCCACCGUUAGUUCUUCCUUCAUUUGUUUCUUGAAUUUUGGCACAGAGGUGAAGAUGCUAUUAAAGUCGUUUCCGGGGAGGUCGUUCAGGAAAACCUGAAACUCUUUAGGAGGUUCUCGGCCUAGGUUUCUCGAAAUCCUGACGACAGACUUAACAAGCUCCGACACAGUGAAGAAAGUGUUGGGUCCUGAAGCACAUCCCAAAUCCGCAAUGGACAAACUUCCUUUCGGGAAGCUUGAGGUGCCGAGUACUAGUCCCGUAAUCGCCUCCUCUGUUAUUUGCCGAGUCAUUGAUAUGGCCUUUUUCUGCCAAGUUACACAACACAAAAUUUUUACUUAGAUGUCAACCCUAAGAUAUCGACAUCCCCGUGUCGAAAAGUAGAGCUGGCUGAGUGCACUUUUGUUGCAGAAAUUUGACUCUUUAAACUAAAGAGCACCCAACAAUGACAUCAAUAUCUGGUAACCAACAACUUCCGAGAUCGGAGUAAUGCUUCAAGGCGGUACGGAGUGCACCCACCAUAUAAGUGUAAGGCAAACAACGUACCUGAAGGAAGGAGUUGGUAGCGUAGCUUGUCUCGCCAGUUCCGCUAUUCAUACGUAACAUCUCAUCUACCUUCAUGAUCUCUGCUUUCUGAGAAUUCCUCUGUGAUUUUUUGUCUCUGUCUAUCUGGCCUCUGCAUCUCUCUGCUUUAUAUUUAUUUCCAGAGUGUUACGUGUUUCACCAUGGACCAGAUACUGAUCUUGGCAUUUGUUUCUGUUUUAGGUAUGUCCCAUACACUUUAGUCCUUUGCCAAUAAUAGUUACACGUUGGCCAUAUCAAAUUAAAUUCUCACGUUUUUUUGGCAAUAUCCACCUACCACCGAUAGUUGGACGGUUAGGUUGAUUAGGGUGUUAGAUGAUGUGUUUUCUCUCCCUAGUUUUUGGUAGUCUUCGGGGCGGUUAUUUGUAAUGCGUAUAACAAAAGAAUCUUAUGAAAGUAUAACGGAUGAUGUGGAUUCGGGCCUCAAACCUCUAGAUAGUCCGUCUGUGAUUAUGUCAUUAGAGUAAUUUUAAUAGAACAAUCUUAGGAAAGUAUUUAGGUAGCCAUGAAAGUAACGGAGAUGUACUUAAAGGUGUAUGAUCGGCGAUAGACAUAUAGCUCAGGGAAGCGUAUAGUUCUAGGAAUUUGAGGUCGAAAUGUAUGAGGUCGAAAUGUAUGAGGUCUCAUAAAUACAUGCAGUGCCUACAUUGCUUUUUACAGUCAUCUUUAGAUAUUGGUUCGUUUUGCCUGUUGUUGAUGGUGAUAUGUCAUGAUUUGAUUAGACCGUGGUUCGAGCCCUAUUGAAACGUUUUAGGUCAUGUCGGUGGAAUAGAACUGUUUGAGGCCAGAACUGAGACAAUCACGCUCUAAGCUAAUGACCUCCUAUGCUUAUAGACAUUGUGUCGAUAGAUCUAAAUUGUUAAAAAGUUUUUUUUUUCUUAGAGAAUGCAGCAUAUCACUAAAAAACAGUCGGUCUCAACAAGCCUCUUGGGCAACAAGACCAGCAAUACAAAGAGGUGAACAAUCAACCCAAACAUGUUCAUAUGAAACCGGUGAAAUGAAGUGUGUCAAGAGAUGAGCAGCUGAAUUUGCUUCCCUAAAAGUGAAAACCCAAUCCCGAACGUCCGUCAUCAUCUCCAACUUGUAGAUGUCCUCCAGGAUAUUACCUAGCUCCGACCUGUAAACAUCCUUCUUCCUUGAGGACUCAAUAAUCUUCUUGCAGUUGGAUUCAACAAUCAGUGGUUUGAUCCUUCUAUCCACAGCCUGUCGAAACCCAAGAAUUAAAGCUCUUCCUUGUGCAAUUUCCGUCGGCCAUCGGACCUCUUCACACUUAGAAAUAGCAAGAACAACCUUCCCUUGCCAAUCACGGAUAAUACAACCAAGUCCGAUAUUACCUUGACGAUUAACACCUGCAUUUUGUGUGCAGCUUGAAAACACCCACCCUAGGCUUCUUCCAACUGUCAUUGCGUCUUCUUUUACGAUUCUCCCGACUCUGUUCCUGUCCUUGCACUUCAAUGAAAUCAUGGAUAAAAGUUGCAGCUUUCAGAAAGACAUCCCAAUCUUGUAAUAUUUACUUUCAUCUCCAAUAAUUUAAAAAGUGAUCAAUCUUUUACAUAUUACUUUCUAUCUCCAAUAAUUACAAAAAUAAGCCACCAACAAGUCACAUCCAAUAAAAUAAUUAAUCAAUUAACUAUAAAAUUAAUUAGCUUUCAAAUCAAUUGGAUGUAAUAAAAUUUAAUUAAAUCAUUUUUAUUUGUUAAUGUAAGGGCUAUGUUAGAGUUGUCAAUGGGUCGGAUAUGGAGCGGAUACCCUCUAUCUGUUGCCCGUUAAUUAUGCCCACGAGUUUUACCCGUAUCCGACCCAUUAAGCUUAAUGGGUAAAAUAUUAUUACCAAACCCAUUUUGGUAUGGAUUUCGAAUAAACCCGUGAAUGUCGGAUUUUUCCAAUAACAAGUAAGAACCUGAAAAUUUCAUUAAACUCAAAUUAAAAUUUGAAAUAUAAGAAAUACUCAACAAGACAAUAAAUAUCAUUCCAGUGUUAAGAACAUUAACCCAGAAACGUAAACAUGAACCUGUGUGGUAGCUCAGACUUCAGAAAUGAACAUCCAGAACAUAAAACUUCAGAAAUUAAAAUGUGGUUGUUCAGACUUCAGACUUCAGACUUCGAAAUGAAAAAUGAAAAUCAAUCAAUAAACUAAUAGAACCCAAAAAUUUUAGUCUUCCUUUAAGAGUGAUCAAUCAUCAGCAAUUCAAUAGCAUUCAUCACUCAUCAAAAGUCUAUAUCUGCAAAAAUAAUUAGUGAAGUAUUGUGUAUCAGCAACAAUCAGCAACAAUCCAUAUACGAUGCAUAAACAUUUACGGUGGAGCAGUUGCCAGUUUCAAGGUUUGGAACAGCUGCAACAUCAUCUCCAUCCCCUUGCAGUUGAUGAGUUGUACCUUCUCCAUCUGUUAUAUAGUUAGAAUUAGUGUAAAAGUAUAUAAACAACAAUAGAGAUAGUAAAGAAACCAACAAUGUAAAGACUAACUCACCAGAUGCAUCUUCAACUGUCGAAUCCUUCAUUGCCAUGGUUGAGAACACGCCUUCGAGUUGUUUCAUUUCCGCUUCAGUUAGAACUACAGAAACUUCAGAAAUCAGAACAUAAACUAAAAAAACUUGAAGAACAUAAUUACAUCAUUAAUAAUAAUACCUGCAUGCAUAUCAUUUUGCAUCCAGCUCCCGCAACACAUCAUUGCCUCGACUGUUGAAGGUUGCAGCCUACUCCGAUGGGGAUCAAGAAGCCUCCCACCGGAACUACAGGCUGAUUCCGAUGCAACAGAGAUUAUCAGUACGGCUAGUAAAUCCCUUGCAAUGCAUUGCAAAAUGGGAUACUUCACACCACCAAUUUUUCACCACCCAAGCAAAUCAAAUUUAGGUGUCCUAGGAUGUAACUCCUCAACUAGAUAGUAAUCCAAUUCAGUGGUUAAUAAAGAAGGUCUGGAUUUCUUUCUUUGGCUUAUAAACCGUCAAAAUCGAUAUCGAUGGCAGAAGAAUUUGGAACCGAAUUGCUUGAAGAACCAAUAUUUUGGCUGAUUUUCAUUGGUACUCAAGUACCAAAUCAGAAACUACAGAUUUCACCCUUUCACCAACCAGUUCAGUAUUAAGACUCCAAAUUUCACAGCAUAAAAUUCUACCAAUGCCAACUUAAACCUCGAAUUCAAGACAAUAGUAACAACCAAAAGCAAAUGAAUAUCAUCCCAAUACUUAGCAAACUCAUUCCACAUUUUCUCAGCCAUUGAAACAAUCUUCGAAUCUGAAUCAACCAACCAUUCCAGCAUGCUCAAUCUCAAUUUACAAACUUUCAGAAACAACUGAUUGGCAAUAGGGUAUUUAGAACUAGACAAAACCUCAGUAAUCUCUUUGAAAACAAUAAAUUUUUUACAGACAACUACAGCAAAAUUCCAAUGAUUGUUCGUAGGGAGAGAGUUGUACCGAGAUUCUCUUUGUUUUAAUCUAACAAACACAUUCUUAUAUGGGAUAGCAACAGAAAGCAUGUUGUACGUAGAGUUCCAACGAGUGGGACAGUCAAGCACCAGUUUGGUUGAAACAUUGAGUUUUAAUUGUUGAGCAGUCUCGUGAAAGUAUUCAACUCUCCUAGGUGUGCAUGUCCAAAAAACCACACUCUCUCUUAUCUUUUCAAUCCCAUCUUUUAGAACGUCCAGUCCAUCCCUCACAAUCAGAUUAAGGGUUUGGGCAAAACACCUCAUAUGCAAAAGAGCACCAUCCUUAAUAAAAUUGAAAAGUAGAAGCCUCUGUCUCACUAGAUUGAUUAUGGAAUCAUUGAUAGUACAAUUGUCAAGCAUAAUUGUUGACAAAGUACUAUCAAUGUUCCAAUCAAGAAGACAUUGAAAGAGUCUUCCAGCCAAUCUCUCAUUAGUGUGAGGGGCAGGGACGAUCAGAAAUCUAAUUAAAUGACUUCUAAGUCCCAAUUGUUGUCUAUGUAGUGGGCAGUCACAGCCACGUAACCUCUUUUCUAAUUUGUGACAGUCUACAUAUCAAUGGUUACAACUACCCUCCCUUUAUUUUCAUCAAUGACUUGUUAAAUUUUCGACCUCUCAACCCCAUAGAGAGAAAUGAUGUCCUUCUUAAUCGUAUUCCUAUUUGGGACUUUAAAGAGAGUGUUUAGGGUACACCAAAACCUUUUGAAGUAAAGGUGGUCAACUAUUGAAAGAGGAUACUUAUGCAUUAAGAUCAUGAUGCAGAGUUCUUUCGUAGAGACCUCAUUGCUAAACUAAUUGGCACUCACCUUAGUUUUACCCUUAACUUUGUAGUUAGGGCCUAGGAUUCUCUGACUACCAUCAUGGAUUUAUUUGUGAACGCAACGAUUCCUAUGAGUCCGUAAAUGAGAAGUACCAUUAGUGGACUUCCCAACCAAAGCCUUCUUACAGUAGUUGCAUUUGGCUUUCAAACUUCCAUGAAUUAACAGUCUGAUAAAGUGAGGUCAAACAUCUGAUUUUAAGGGCCUAGUUUAACCUAAGGGAGGACCGGCAACAUCAUUUUCAGGUUGGUUUUCAGGAUUAGCAAGGAAAGGGAGUGGUGGUGGACCAUUGUUAUUCUGAACUCGUAUAUUUUGAAGAUGUUCAGGUGUCAUCUGAUUGAGAAAACAACAAUGUUUUGAAAUGAGAUCACAAGACAAAAAAGCAGAUAAGAGAGAUUAUAAUAUGAAUUCAAAAUUAUGUAUAAGAGUUCAAGUAUUUAACAGUUACAUUCAUUGAAGAAGGUAGACAGAGAUUAAGAAGAUAAAUAAAGGAUUAGAGACGGAAGGUAGAAUUAUUAUAGAAGACCAAAUUUAUGUAUAAUAGUUUAUUAGUUUUAGAGUUUUAAAAGAUUCAUUUUCAGAUUUAAGAUUCAGAGGUAGAGGUUAAGGAUUUCAUAUUGAAUUGGAGAAGAAUUAUAUUGAAUUGGAGGAGAAUUAAGAUUGAAGAUUGAAAUAGAGAUUUAUGUAAUCUGAAACUACUCCUAAAAUCACUAGUCAAUUCUGUAAUGAUGUUUGAAUUCCCAUAACAAACAGUCAAACAGGAUUCGAUCAUCAUUAUAGAAGACAAGCUGAUUUCAGAAUUAACUACAGAGUUUAAGAGUUAAUAGUUUCAUACUUUCAUUCAAUAAAAUAGACAGAUCAAGGAUACGAAUUAAGAUAGAUAUGAGUUUUCAUUGGAUAAGAAUUAAGAUAGAUAGAUACUCCGAAUUCACAAAGUAGAGACUAGAGAUUUAUUUAAUUUUUAGCUAAUCAUGAAAUCACUAGUCACUUCUGUAAUGAUGAUUGAAUCUCAUAACAAUAAGUCAAACAGAAUUCAAUCAAGAGAAGAUAAUCUGAAACUUAAUCUUUUAUACCAUCUCAAUACUACGUUGUUUUACUAACAUAUCACAUAUGGGUCGGAUAUGUUAAUAUAUGUAUAUGCCCAUCACUCAAAACACGCUGAUCGUAGGCAUACCCGAAACCGGUGACUAUCCGUGGGCCAUAGGCUUUCAGACUGUUUUUACGGACGAACUCCAAUGGGCACCCUAAACCCAUAAACUGGCGGCCAAAUCUAGCCUAUGUAAGUCUAAUCCAAUAAAAACAAAAUAUCAAUACAAAACAAAACAAAACAAAAAACGAGUUGGUAAACAUUAAGUACAGUUCAUUUGCUAAAUUUCCACUUUAGUCCGCAGACUCUACUAUUUUUUAUAAAUUAAUCACCUAAACUUUUAUAUUUUACACAUCAAUCACUAUAUUAUUCCAACUUAGACACGUACAUAAAGAUCUAAAUCCAAAAUCCAAAGACAAAAUGCAUACCAAAUCCAAUACAAACAGUAGUGUUUAGGGAAUGUCACAUUCCUUGUUGCUAGUAUCCAUUAGAGCCUCGUGAGUGACACAAUUACGUUGGCGUACCCAGUUUUAUAAUCAUAGACCAUCCGCUCAUAAACAAUUACGCCAUACCGUCGGAAUGCCUCAUCGACAAUUUGCGUCCGAAGAUCCAAAAGGCGGACCAACAACGGCUCUAGCACUGCCCUCAUAUACUCUGCCACGUGAGAACCCGAGUCUUUCAAGGUUUCUGGAAGAUUGGCUUCACCUUCGUAGGGAUCCCAGCUCGUUUCCUUAACCUCCAGCCGAUCUAUGGUGAAGGAGCCCUGUUUAUGAACUUCGGUCUCAACUUCCAUCGGAGACGGCAUGUAAAUGGGUAGAUUGAACGAUCCCAACCUUUCCAUGUCUAUUAAACCCUGAUGAGCAAUAGCAUAUCAUAGUUCACGGGUUAGAGUGAGUUGAGUAAUCUUUCGACUAGUUAGCAAGUCGUUAUUUACGAAAAUGGAUAGACGAUUUUGAAAUAUUGUAAUUAAGAGUUUAGAAAGACCAAUAUCAUACUCCAUACCUCAGAUGCCAUUUGGUUAAGUACAAUAGACAUGAGCUCCAAAAUAUAGCAACACCUGGAGUUGUCGUCAUUCCUCCUCCCCAGAAAUGUCAACACCAUUUUCCCACCAGGGACCAACUCCAGAGCUCGACAGCUCAAGAACGCCGCGAAGUCCUUCCGAAAUUGCCCCGAAUACAAAUCAAACACGCCACGAGGGCCGCUGCUACCAUAUGAAACAUUCCCUUUGUUCAGCUCAACAAGUCCAUCAGGAACCUGAGAGAGCCAAUGCAGGCCGUAGGAAGAGUGAACAAAGUGAAGACUCUCCGCACGGAACAGCCUUCCGUAGAAGGAACCGGGGACUCCGUUGAUGAACAUAGAAAACUCACCAGCCGCCAUUAGUUCUUCCUUCAUUUGUUUCUUGAAAUUUGGCAUAGAGGUGAAGAUGCUGUUAAAGUCGUUUCCAGGAAGGUCAUUCAGGAAAACCUGAAACUCUUCAGGUGGUUCUCGGCCUAUGUCUUUCGAAAUCCUGACGAAGGACUUGACAAGCACUGACACGGUGAAAAAAGUGUUGGGUCCUGAAGCACAUCCCAAAUCCGCAAUGGCUAGACUUCCUUUCGGGAAGGUUGAGCUGCAGAGUACCAGUUCUGUAAUCGCUUUCUCGGUUAUUGGCCUAGUCAUUGAUAUGGCCUUUUGCUGCCAUGUUACACAACACACAAAAUUUACUUAGUUGUCAACCCUAAGAUAUCCACAUCCCCGCAUCGAAGAGUAGAACCGGUUCAGUGCAUUUUUUAAUCAUAGCACAAGUUUGACUCAUUGAACUUAUAACACUGAAUCUGAUCAACAACGACAUCAAAACCUGGUUGCCAACAACUUUCGAGAUCGAAUCUAAAAUUGGUAAAUGAGUAAUGCCUACCUCCUGAAAUCGGUAAGGCGAAAAAUGUACCUGGAAGAAGGAGUUGGUAGCGUAACUUGUCUCGCCAGUUCCGCCAUUCAUAUGUAGCAUCUCAUCUACCUUCAUGAUCUCUGCUUCUGAGUCUGGCCUCUUGCAUCUCUCAGCUGCCUUUAUAUUAUUCUUCUCUUCUGCAUCAUUUCAUAUCUUUACGCUGUCAAAAUAAUAAUAAAAAAAUCCAAGUGCUACGUGUUUCACCAUGGACCAGACACUGAUUGUGGUCUUUGUAUCUGUUUUAGGUAAUGUCCCACACUUGCCAAUAAUAGUUGCUGGCCCAUCAACAUCUUUCCCUCAAUCAAACUAAUUUCUCAUGUUUAUCACGUACAUUGCCACCCACCUUCCACCCAUCCACCAAUAGGUCAGGUUACUUUGAGUAAGAUGAUGCCUUCUUCUUUGUUUGUAUUUGGGAGUCUUCGAAGAGGAUUUCUCCCGAGGCGCCGUGUAAGAGAAGAAAUACGAGAUGUGUCUAGAGGCGUAUGACCGGUCGUUAGACAUGUAUAGCUUGGUAAGCGUAUAGUUCUAGUUGUGUGGGUAGAGCUGUCAAUUUUGGUUAAUUCAGUAUAAUCAAACCAAUUCAUUCAUAACAUUUAUUAACCAUAGAAAUAAAUCAUUAAUUAAAUUAAAAUCAUAAUCAAACUAACCAUUACUAAUUUUAUUCGGUUAGACGUGAGUUUGACGGGACAUGAUGGUUCAAGCCCUCCCAUAUCGAAAAGUGAAGCGCAGGAUGCGGUGUAUAAGUGUGAGAGAAACAAUGUAUAUACAUGGAGUUCAUAGCGUAGCUGGGAUCUCCAGUGCCGCCAUUCAUAUGAAGCACCUCGUCCGCCUUCAUGACUUCCCACCUCUCUGUUUUCCGUCCUCUCUGUCGUCGACCAAGCUCUAGCAUCUCUCUGCCUUUCAGUCUGCCUCAUUCGUCAUUAUGUUACAAAGAUAAUGUGAUCGCCCAUUGGGAAUGGUGCCACUCACGACUCAUAUUUGGACGUUACAGUACCUUAAUUAUGAGGGGAAAAACAAGUACACCGGCAAUGAGAUUCAAGUUUACGAUAAGUUUAAAAAUUACAUUUGGCGAAAUUCAUACACUACGCAAAAAUUCUGAUUUUGAAAAUCUAACAUAAAAUUUCGUCACAGUUCGCCAACCUCUGAUUCCGGCAUUAUAUUAGCGGCGGAGGAGCUUUUGUUUCAGAGGUUAAUGGCGGAGCUUGGAUGACACUAUUCUCAUCUAUUUUUUUUAGAAACCUGUGCCACCUGAAUUCUGAGUCUGUACAAAGUCAUCAGUGGGCCAACUUUUGGCACAACCACUAAACUUUUAUUUAUGUCCAAAAUGAUCAUGUAUAUAAUGAACAAGCACUAAAAAACCCACUAAACCUGAGCAUCCGUUAUAUUUAGUUAGUGAGAUGCUGAUAGAAACGUGUUUAGUUUUUAUCAUAGUCAUCCAUUUGGACACAAUGAAGCAAUAUCUGUCGAAAACCUCGUCGAUGACUUCUCUCGUGGAACCAAACUGCCGAACCAAGAGUGGUUCGACCAUGGGCCUAAGGUACUUGGACACGAUGUAGCCGACGUCUUUCAUUGCUUCUGGGAUGUCCGAUUCCUCCUCCCCUUCGUACGGAUUCCAAUUCGCUUCCUUAACCAUUAUGCGGUCAAUGGUGAAGCAGUCUUGUUCCUGGGGUUCACCUUCGAUUUCUGUUAUUGAUGGAAAGUAAUUUGGGAUAUUAAACGAGUUCAGUCUCUCCAUGUCUAUUAAUCCCUGAAAGAACAUACAGAAACAUAUAUUGAUAUCUAAAAUGUUGAAAGUAAAGUACCUUGGGUCAACGAUCUACGUAAAUGGGCUAAUAAAUAAAAAUACAGUGUCGUUAGAUUUGUUAAUGAAUAAUAUAAAGACCAAUCUGAAUCAUCUUCAAACAAUUCGAGUUAUUAAGAUACAACAGUUCAUGACAUGGUAUCACAACGUUAAAGACUAAAAGGUCUCUGUUUUGAAUAUCGAUAGCUCCCAGUCUGUGCACGUAACUUAUCAAAAUUUGACAAAUCUCAACUCUUCCGAGAGCUUCCAAUAAGGGAGUGUGUUAAUAAAUAAUACAAAUAUUAAUUUAAAUUCUCUAUCAACAACUCGAAUUAUUAAGAUGCAACAUGCUUAACAUCAAAUGUGCUUAGUGAGUGAGAUCCAUCUCGAAACAAUGACGUGAUAUCCGUCGAAAGCCUCGUCAAUGACUUCCCUCAUGGAACCAAACUUUUGAACCAAGGGUGGUUCGACCAUCGCCCUCAUGUACUUAAUUGGCCACCUGCAGCCUCCGUCUUUCAUGGCAUCUGCGAGGUUUAAUUCCUCACCUUCGUAUGGAUUCCAGCUCGCUCCGGUAGCCCUUGUGCAAUGAUGUCAAUUGUGAAGGAGCCUUGUUUCUGGAUUUCAGCUUCGAAUCUUUUAGUGAUGGAUAGUAAUUUAGAAAGCUGAAUGUGUCUAGUCUUUACAUGUGUCUAUUAAUCCCUGAAAGAGCGAGCAGAGAUCAACAUGUGUCUAUUAAUCUUUUCGUGAUGGAUAGUGAUUUAGAAGGCUGAAGAGGGAACUCCCUACUCUGCGGAGUCUCAGUAAGGGAGAUUCAUCCCAAAUUCACUAUUACUGGUCACCGAGAAGAGUACGGGGAUUAAUAAGAGAAUCCUGAUACAUAUCCAUGAAGACAACAGAGCAAUCAAUCAACACAGAGGAACUGAAUCAACAAGAAUUAGAGAGAAAUAAUAUUCCCCGAUUUGAGCCACGACAGAAGCUCCAAUCCGUAAUCCACCAUCCGUCGGUGAAGACCCUAGUAGUCUUGAGAGGAUUCCCAUAUCCAGUUGAGAGAGAGAGAGAGCAGAGAGGUGAGAGUGGAGAGAGUGCAACUUCGAAGGAUCACGUCAGCACCUCUUAGAAUUUAUACUAGGGCUCCCAAGUCCAAACGCGUCGUUUCAUUAAGCGCUGAGAAGGGUUGACCGUCAUAACCGGUCUGACACAAUCGGCUCAAGUAUAACCCAAACUCGGAUUUGAUUUAAGGAUCAAAAACUUAACAAAUGCCCUCCUGAUCCUUGUAUCACAGUCAGCUCUUGCUUCAGUGACUUAGUCAUAGUAGAUCAGGCUUCCUUGUCUCCUUUCAUCCUGACUUAGUUCAUGUCUCAAAUUCCUUUAUGGACAUGAAGAUGGUUCCUAUAAAACACAAAUUUGUCAGUAGAAACUAUCUUAGUACCAAAAUCAACUAGAUUCUCAGAUUCAAGGAUCUUGAUAACAGAGAGAUGUUGUUUUUCAACUUCAUCUCGAAUGAAAUGAAAGCGCACAUCAAUAUGAUUGGUUCACUCAAGAUAGACAGGGUGUUUGCAAACAUGCAGAGCACUCGGCUAUCUAUAUGCAGAACUAGAACAUACGAUUUACACUCAAUUUCAGACUGGAGACCUUUAAGCCAAAUGACUUCUUUACAAGCCUCAAUAGCAGCAAUAUAUUUUGCUUCUGUGGAAGACAGAGCAAUAAUAGAUUAUUGCUAAGACUUUCAAGAAAUAAAAUUUCCUGCCCAGGAGAAGACAAAACAAGUGGUUGAUUUUCUAGUAUCCCUGUUACCAGCAAAGUCAUAAUCAAUAUAAUAUAGCCAACAAGAUCAUUUCGAGAGGUAUGCUUAGAGUAAUCAAGACCAAAACGCUUAGUUCCAUUUAUGUAUUGAAGAUCAUGUUUCAUUGCCAUCCAGUGAUGUUCACUAGGAAUUCACAUGAAUUUGCUCAAGACACUAAUGGAGAAAGCCAGAUCGGGUCUAGUACAAGCAUGACAUACAUAACUGAUCCAACAACCACAUCAUAAGGAGCACAAGUCGUCUUCCCAUGUUCCUUUUGAGAGUUUGGACUUUGAUCUUUUGAAAAAUCCAAGUGAACUCUAAGGGAACAUAAGAGGACUUAGAAUUAGACAUAGCAAAACGAUCCAUGACUUUAUAAAAAUUGUCAGAUUGAGAUAAAUGAAUGCUCCUAUCUUUUUUAUUACGAGUGAUGCCAAUUCCUAAGAUCUUCUUAGCAGUCCCAAGGUCUUUCAUGUCAAAGUUCCUUUCAGAUAAUUUUUAAUGUAUGAUAUGAUAUGAAUGUAAGAGCUGAUUAACAAAAUAUCAUCAACAUACAGCAAGACAUGCAUGGAAGACUUGGAACCAACAUUUUUGUAAUAGAGACAAGGAUCAUACUUGCUACGACUAAAACCUAAACCUCUCAUACACGUAUCAAAUUUGAUAUUCCACUGCCUAGGGGAUUCUUUCAAACCAUAAAUCAAUUUUUUCAACAAACACAUGAUCAUGUUUCGAUUUAUCAACAAAUACCCUCAGGUUGCUUCAUGUACAUCGUUUCCCUGAGGUCACCAUUAAAAAAGCAGUUUUAACGUCCAUUUAUUUCACUUCCCAGCAUACACAGCAUCCAUAGCCAAUAAAAGUCUAAGAGUCUUAUAUUUCACAAUAGGGACAAAAAUAUCAUUGUAAUCGAUUCUUUUGUUCUGAAUGGAGAUAUGUGGCCCAUUGAAAACCAUAGCAUCAUCUCUACAUGGAGAAUUCUCGAGCUUCCGCCGUUGCCACCGAGUUUGUCCAUUUUCCGGUGCGACAGCCGACAUCGAGACUUUUUUUAGUCCAAAAGUCUAUCUGAAUUAUGAGAUGAACAUUUGAGCAAGGGUCUACGGUGUUCGACACGGUCAGUUAACUUUCUUUCUUUUUGAACUACUUCGUCGUGAUCAAUAUAUACAAGCCAAUUUCGGAAAUAAUACAGAACACUUGGUACUCUGAGACCAUACUAAAAGUAGUGGUGGUGGUUCUUUUAGUUGUUGUUCUGGUUAAUAAUCAGAUUUUGAUCGAACCAUUAAUUAUUAACCAAAUUGUAUUGUUAUGCCGCACAAUGGUUGACCAUAUAAUCAAAUUACCUGGGAGGAUUGGUUGUAAACCUUGCUCGAAUUGGCCGCUACCUUCCUCAAAGAAAAGUCUUCGUCCUCCUCGUAGGUAUUUGGCGCAAGCGCAACUACAAAGUUUGGAAUUCAUCAUCUAGGACAUCCACAGCACUUGUUCCGCUCAACAUUAAUCAGUUUGAAGAUUGGAGGCAUGCACAACAGCAUCAACACUCAAAUCCUACGCCCACAACCUAUUGUUCAGCACGACAUCCUCCAACGACCACCUGAAAAUCAACACAAAUUUUUCAACUUUCCCAAGCGCAAAGACUCUGCGGGUUGAGCCUCAUACUUCAUGACUUCACAGGACAGGUACUUGGUUAUCAAACUCGCACCAUCCCGUGACGACUUCAUCCGGUUGAAGGAGAGCUUUCUGCUAUUUUGUUCGCUAUGAAUUGGUCUCGUCUUUAGGGUCUCUCGAGAGUUACCGUUCAAACCGACUUUCAUGCAACUUGUACCGCAAUCCAAAACUGUCACGAUGACGUCACAGAGAAGGGUCAUCUCGCAAAUCUUUGUAGCCUUUUUCUCUCUUGUAACACCACUUAUGAGGUGGUUUUUGUUAGGAAAGUUGGAAAUCGAACAAUCCACGAGUUAGCUUUUCUCUCGCUUUAGCUUCACCCUUUUUAAAUAUAGCUACUCCCAACUAGUUAGGUGAUUCUAUAUCUUCCAUUUGCUACAUUGAGCAUUAAUGAAUUUCUAACACCUCCAAAACAAAACGUAGUUAUCAUAUCUAAGAGUGCAUGACCACAUCUAAUGAGUUCGACUGUUCGAGAGUUAGUCGGUAUGAAACAAGAACCCUAAAGACCUUCGAAUCAGACAAAAAUCAAAAUCAAAUCACUUGUAUAUAAUUCCAACCCUUCAUCAAGUUUCAAACUCUCCCCUACAAACUACGCUUAUGCAUAUAAAAUAUACAACAUCCAUCCUUCUAUGGCAGUUGCAACGAUUAUGACGUGUAAUUUUCUCAUUUGAACAUGAAACUAUCAUCGCUAGAAUGAUAUCCAUCAUGAACAUGCAGGGAGAGAAGCUCAUACUCCAUCCCCCCCUUCAAACUUCAAGAACCAGACAUGUAAGUGUAUCGGGUUUGAGCUCCACAAAUAAGCUCAACGAGUUUCCCUGCGCAGGGGAGAAACCAGUUACAGCCUGAACACAAAUCGCAAUACACAUGUUCAACUUUCCUUGCUAGUGAAAGGUUGAGACUUGAGAGCUCACCUGUCAGGACACCUACUAGAGGUACUGGCUCUAGUGUUUUCUCAGUCUUGUCAAGUCUCUCCCUGGAAAGUUAUAAACAAAAAAAAACCCCAAUUAUAACAAUAAAACAACUGGUGUAGACCAUUUUAGGUAAAAUGGUUUUACCUUGUAUACUUGCUGAAGAAGGGAUCCCUCAUCAGGUAAAAUGCCCAUAGCAAUUUCCGCCUUCUUAGCUGAUUCAAUCAUAUUAUCCAAGGGUAAAUGAUUGUGCGUGAUCAACAGCAUAUGCACUACAUGUCCAGCAUGAAAUGAAAUGAAUUGAGAAUUUCUAACCUCGUGCUUUUCGGAAUCGUUAAGAUGAAUCUGCUGAUCUCUUUCUCUAAACUGCAGUUUAGAUAGAGGUGUAACGAAGCCUACCCCGAUAACAUCAACAGCCAGAGAAACAAACCAAGGGACCCAUGAACGAACUCCGUACUUCCUGAUUAACAAUACAUAAAUCAGGGGUCUUGUGAUGAAGAGUGCCUCCCCUAGAACAAAUAGUGCCCCAGAAGCGCCUCUUUCGGACAAUAUCUUUGAAAGUGAUGGCACCUGAACCACUAGAGCUGUAAAAAGGCCAAAGAAUCACUAAAGGGAAUUCCAUCAAACUAGAAGUAAAUUUGGCUGUAAGCAGACCAGAAGAUUACCAGGGGGCUCGAUAAUAGAUUGUUGAUGAUGAACCCUGCGUAACCAAUCUGGCUCAGCUAAAGUCCGGGCAUUUUCUCGAAAUCUGCUCAAUGCAGACAAAGCCUUGCCUUGCCCAGUCCCUGGGCUUCUCCCAUUCAUAUUCGGAAACUGGCCAGGCUCGUUGUGGUUUCCAGGCUUGGAAGUUCUUGAGAGAUCUGUAGGAUUUUCAACAUUUGGUAUCUCUCCUCCUUGCAAAAGCAUCUUAUAUCCACUGUUCCGGAACAAUGCCAACCUAACUACCACCCUAUAGCAUAGUACUGUCAUGUCAUUGAUCAACAAUAUGUUGAGUAGCUUGUUCAAAAAGAAAAAGGGUCAAUGGUAAAUGCUGCUCACUUAGUGGCUUCUGUAAGAGCAAUGAAGUUCCACUUUUUAUCAUCACCAAAAUAUUGUUGUGAGGCAACUUCAACCAAUGUCUCCAGCUCCUUUAUCAUGGAUAUGCAUAGUGGAUAAGGAAAAGAUCGAGGCUUUACAGAGCCAGCAGCAUGUAUCUGACUUGGAGUUGUAUCGAUAAUAUGCUCAUUGAGAGCAGUGAUUAUACCCAGUACAGCAGUUACUGCAGAUGAGCAUACAGAUAUUUAAACAAAAAGGAUUCCAGAAUCUAAAUUCAACUGUUUGGAAUCCUUAGAGAUAUGCAUUGCCGUAGUGAUUCUCGCUAUAACUUCAAAGAAGUGAGCUCCUAAUGGAUUCUAAGCUACAAAGAAGUAUCCAAAAGUUUUACAAAACCUGCUUCUGGCCCAAUCUCUGACUCGGAAAACCUUUCAGGUAGCAGCCACGUUACUCCCUGCAACAAAGUUGAAACUUGAACAGUUAAAAUUGAAAAAUCAAACACUUUCAAGGUCUUAGCAGGUGAAAAAUCUAAGCUGCAAUUCUGCAAAGACAAAUUCUCUUCUCCCCCUCAUGAUCGAAAGAGUCUGAAGGAAGAACUCGUUUCUCAUACUUCGAAACUCUCACUCACCCUAAUGAUUCUAUCUAGGGCAUAGGAAUCCUUGUUCAUGAAUCGAAUUCCCAAAAAUUUCGUUGACUAGGCAAAUGGUAUAGCUCCAAAUUGAAUAACAGACAUGCUUACUAACAAUCUCUACAUCUGCAUUUUGGUUUCUCACAGAAGAAUUGUGCAAGUAACCAAUUAAAUUAGCUACCUCGGCCCAAAAAAUUGGAUUCAAAUUCAUCUACCAAUCAUAAACUAAACCCGGCACAAAACUAGGACAUGAACAAAUGCGCAGAAGCAAAAGUGUCAGCAAAAGGGAAAUCGUAGAGUCACUUCUUACAUUGGCGAGUGACUCCAACGAGUGAACAUACUCUUUAUUCAUCCGCACCCAUCUCUUAUACGACUCCAUAGCACAGUGGCCUUUUUCCUCUCACCCACCUCAAUCUCACUCCCAAUUCGGAGUGGCUCUCACCGAAUUCUCCGCCCCAGAUCGUCGAAAUUACAGGUAUUCGAGCAGAGAUCCAACAAGAGAAGGGUUGAUACGUAAUACUUGCUGUUUGAUCAUAUGGGGUCUGAAAUGGGAGAGUGAGAGUCCAUGUUUUAGCCGAGAGAGGUCGAAUCGAACUGAGAAAGAAAUUUGGAGAUCCUCAGUUUCCCCAAUUUUCGGGACGGGUGUACUAACUAGAGAUCAUAUCUAAGCCGUUGGAUUCAGAUAAUGAAUUGCGCCGUGGGAAGUGUGAUUGGA